AAAAAAAAAAAAAAAAAAAAAAAAAAAAAACUCCUAUGAUUUUCUCAAUUGAUUACGUUACCAAAUUAGUGUUUUUUUUUUUUCCAUCGUGUUAUUACUUCAUUGUAAAUAGUGAUUAUCACAAUGUUGAGUUAUGUCUCACAUUAAUUAGAAAAGAAUAGAUACUUAAGUUUAUAAGGUGGUAGGUUAUUCCAUCUAAAAGACUAGUCUUUUGGGUUGGAUACUUAAAAAUCUUAUGUUAAGUCCCUCGAACAAGUGGUAUCAGAGCGAGACCCUAAUAGUCAAAAUGUGGUGGUAAAACAACUCAGGUGUGUUGGACAAAAUGACCGAAGUCCGUUGGUGAUUUCGUUCGAGAGAGGAUUGUUGAGUUGUGUCCCACAUUGACUAAAAAAAUAAAAAUACUUAAAUUUAUAAAGUGAUAAAUCACUCUACCUAAAAGACUAAUUUUUUAACUUGAAUAUUUAAAAAUUUUAUGGUAAGUCUCCCAACACACAAUAUUUUAGUUUUUGUUUUAUAUUUUGGAUAUGUAUUUUUAAUUAUGUUUGUAUCUCUACUGUCAGUGGCUUUAAUAAAUGACAUGCUGCCAUUUCAAAAAAAAAGAUAAAAAAAAAAGGAAUCUACAUUCUCAAAGUUGACGUCAUAAUUAAUAUAUAAGUGAAAAAGGGCACCACGUGGCCAAGUCAGGUAAGAUGUCACUAUACAAUUAAAUUCUUUUAUGGCAAAUUAUCAAAUCUACAUGGAUUUUGCGUUUAUAAGCCGCGUCGGCAAGCCAGAUUCAAUCAUUUGCAUCCGCGUUUACAUUUUUGUUGUGUGUGUCCACUUAUUCGGCGACACAUCAUCCAAACGGCAGAGUUUAUCGACUUUGCAGGCCAGUUUCACAUUCUGAAUUUCCGUCGUCGUUUUCAUAUGAUGGCCAUUGUCAAAUUCUAUAUAUAUAUAGUUUUUAUUUCCCUUUUUUUCCUUUUCAAUGGGACCAACCGACCAAGUACCAGCAGGUGUUUAAAUAUUAUUUGAAUUAUGGGGUUAGGUAUCUAAGUAUCUAAUUCACUGUUUAUGAUAAUAUCCAAUUUUUUAAAAAAAAUUAAAUUUUCAUUACCAUCCAAAUAUAUAAAUACAGCAGUAAGUAGAACAAAACCACAUUUAAGUCAUGUGCGUAGUGAGAUGUCAUACAUACGUACUUUCACUCAGUAUAUGCACAAUAGAUUUGAGCUCCACUGAAGUUUUCUCUCCAAUCUUUCAUAUUAAUAAUUAAUGAGAUUUGCUUGGCAUAGGUUCAAGUCUUAUCUCUUUCGUUCCUCAUUUUCUCUCAAAAUUAUAUAACUAAGUAUGGGUAUAUUUUUGUUUUAUAAAAAUAGGUAGAGUAGAUAUAUCUUUUCAAUAUUAGUAAGAUAAAUAUAUCUUAAAUAUAGGAAUAUGAAUCUAGGUUUGCAUUCUAAAAGAAUUUAUUUAGAUUAGUUUCAUUAGAUUUUUUAUUAUAAAUAUCAAUAAACUUCUUAUGGUAACAUAUUAGUAAUAAAAAAUAAUGAGAUAUGCUUCUAUGUUCGUUUUCACACCAUCAUCUUUCCCUUUCGUUCCCAAAAUAAUUAGAUUAUCUCAUAAUUGUUGACUAGUUUUUGAUAAACAAAACCGUCAAAAAUGUUAGGUUGAUAUGCGCAUAUGGUGUUACGUUAAUUAUCCAAUUUACUUAGGAAUAGUCAAUAAAGGAUGCCAUGUUAGGUUUGAUUGCACUUUUAUGAAAAAAAGACACAAGAUAAACGCACAUCUACUAGCAAGUCGAGGAGGCCCCAUAUAUUUGGGCUUCUAAAUUAGGGUUAUAUCCAAACAAAUUGAGCAUAGGGGCUUGGUAUGCAGAUAACAAACCAUUUCUUUGGUAACAUCUUGUCUACAGCACUGAUAAAUAGCUCAAUCCUAAAAUCAGGGUAACGAGUAAAUUUAAGGGGCAAGUAUCUAUUUACAGACCAGAUGAUAUUUUACAUUUGAUUAAAAAUCAACUGACACUUUUAUUUUUCAACUGUCCACUUAAGUUUUAUACAGUGGAUCAAUGCUCCACUGUCAUCUUAAAAUUAUGACAUCCUUUAUCGGAUUAUAUUAUAUGGCAAGUCCAGGACAUUGAAUUAAGUUGAUUGGAUUAAGCUGAAUUAUAUUAGAUGAUUUCAUGUUUGGUCCAGUACCGGAUUAGACUAUAUUAAAUUAUAUUUAGAUAAUAUUAAAUAGCAUUUAAGUUGAUGUUUAAAUAUAAAUAUCAAUUACUCAUGAAAUUUUAUAAUCAUAAUUAAAUAAAUUUAACAAGUAAGUAAUAACAAAAUUAAAUAUUUUGCAAAUAAGUUGUUUGGUAGUCAUAAUAUAAUAAUCAAAUAAAAACACACAAAACGAUCUAAAUAUUGAAUUAAUUUUUAUCAAAUAUUUAAAAAUAUUAUAUCAAAUCAAUUAAUUAAUGGUAUUAUUAAUUUUCAUGAUUAUUUUUUAUAUUAUAUUAGUGAUUAUUAAAUUUAGUGCAAUCCAAUAAUGCAGUAAAUUAUUAAAAUGGUUAAUUUUAUUGAUAAAUUAUUAAAUAUACAAGUAAUGAAAAUAUAAUCUCAAGAGUUAGUAGAAAUAAAAGUACCAAUUUAAUUGGAUCAUAGAUAAUAAAUAUAAAUAAAUUUUAAGUAAAUCAUAAAUAAAAAUUAAUUGAUUAAUAUUAGGUGUAAAUAAAAAAAUGAUAUAAAUAAAAGCAUCAUGAAUGGACAAUUGUUUUUCUUUAAAUCUUAUCCCAUGCAAACUCAUGUGUAAAUUAGUAUUAUUAAUCCCAUGAUUUUAGGAUUAAAUUCAAAUUUUAGUCCCCCUUAAUCCAAUCCAACUAAGCUUGCCAAACAUAGGAUAAGUAUUUAAUUCCAAAAUUAAUCAUAUCUUAUACUUAAUUCUAUCAUCCAAACAUGGCCUAAAAGUUUCUUAUUAACUAUUAAUAAAUAAUAUUAAUUUGUUAAUAUCAAUAAAAUACCCUAACUGUAUCAUAAUUUAUAUCAAUAAAUAGUAUAUAAAAAUAUAAAAAUAUAAUUAAUUUUUGUAAAUAUCAAUAUAAUUAAAAUGAAAACCAAAAAAGUUUUAAAAAAAUAUAUUUAUAAUGGUAACACAUAUGCUAUGUUUAUCAGGAAUUUACCUCUAGUGUGCCCUGAAACUUUUGUAUUAAUGUAGUUAUACCCUCAUACUUCAAAAUUAUCACAAUAUGUCUUUUGACAUGAGUAAUGUCUAAAAUACCCUCAAAUAUCUCCAAUUACACAAGCUCUGAAUACUCAACCUUGUUCUUUUCCUUUACGAGAUUUCUUCCUCCUCUUCACUGAAUUUCUUCUCCUUUGGUCGCAAUAGCUUCAUCAAAAUUACCCUUAUCAACCAUAGUAAUUUCUCUCUUGUUGGUGGUGGCAUUCUUGGAGGCAGCAUUCUCAGUGGCUGUGAAAAUCAUCCCUAAUCGACGGCCAACAUUUCAUGAAGUAGCAUCAAUAUUAGAUCUUUGCCAAGUAAAAUUUUAUAUAUACUGUUGGACCAAAAAUAAAAUAAGUCUAAUAAGGCAUAAAUAAAUUUAAUCUCAAUAAGGUCUAGCUAAUAAAUUUCUGCCCAAUUAAGCCCAUGAAGUGGUGGACAAAUCACCUAGAAUGAUCCUCCUAAGGAACAAGGUUUCAAAGCCCAAAAGGAGCCAAGGUCCUAGAUUCCUAUCCUAAGACAAAUCACUUAGGAUAAAUCAACUAAGUGGCAAGAAUUUAAAAUCCAAAACGUGCUGAGGUUCUAGGCUCUUAUCUUAGGACAAACCUCCUAAGUUAGAAGGCUCUUAUGAUCCCAAGGUCUUAGUAAAAAUAACCUAAGGAUAAAACGUUCAUUCCUCUAAUCUGUAGACAAGUUUGUAUAUACAUGUGUCAAUCCACAUGGGCACUAGAGGACAAGUGUUGCCAAAUGUCACAAGAACAAUGACAUUUGUCAUCAAAAUAACUAGGACCCAAGUCAAAUCAGUUUGGUCGAUAAAUAUGUCUUUCAUUCUCAUUAAAAGGUAAGACAAAAAAGAGACUCAAAAAGGGAAAAUGCUAACUUUCUCCCUCUAAUCUUUCUCUUUCUAAAUUUAUAUUUCCAAAAGUCCGGUGACUGACUUGACCAUCAGAGGGUUUACGCCAGUAAAGCCGGCCCUCUGAUCAUUUUCUUGUGUUUGUAGAGUAUCACAAGAUAAGGACCUUCUGAUUGCCUAAGAAAGUGGACUCAGAAGAGCAUAUAUAAAGGCCCAUAAAGAUCAGCCCAAAGAAUGAACUCACCAUCAUAAAAUCUAAUAAAGAGGAACCCAAGUCCUAAGGGGGUUGUCCUCAGUCGAAAUUUCCAUAUCAUAAUUUGGGACAAAAUUUGCACCAACAGUUUGGCGCCGUCUGUGAGGAUCUUCCGAUAAAAGUCUUGGAAGCCCUACCAUGAGCAUGGAUUCUAACAAUGAGUAUUAUAACCUUGAGGCUGGUGAUGAAAGUUCCAGAGUGGAUGAGGAUGUUCACUUCCGACGAAGGAGACGACAACGAGACCUAGAUGAUGAUAACGUGGUGCCUAUCCAUCCUCCUCCAGAUCCUCAUUUGAAUCCACCUCGCCACGCUAGACGUCGAGGAUAGCCUCGUGUUGCUCGACUUCAACAACAAGUGGAUCAGUUGGCUCGUAACUUCAAUAGAAUGUUCGGCCAAUUUCCAGCUCGAGCUGAGGAAGGCGAGAACUCAAGUGGAGGUAAUGUGGUUGAUUCCGGCUCCUCUAGAACAAGGUCUAGAGAAGAGUUAAAUGAAGAUGAUCUCAGGCAUUCCCUUAACCAAAGAAGUUCUAAGAGGAGAAUGACCAGAGAAGGUUUAGACCAAGGAGAGGAAGUCGACAGAGGAUUACAAGAAAGGAUGUAGAGACUUGAGCAAAUGGUUCGAGAAAUGGGCCCACUUGAUGAUGUAACAGCAAAACAUGAGCCACCAUUUACUUCUGAUAUAAUGGUAGUAAAAUAUCAGCCUAGGUUUCAUUUACCCCAAAUGGAGCCUUAUGAUGGGCAGAGGGAUCCAACUGAAUAUUUAGAAAUGUAUUGCACCCUUAUGGAAGUGCAAAGAGCAUCACAAACAAUUCUUUGUCGGGCUUUUCCUCUUACCUUAGUAGGAGCAGCACGAAGAUGGUUUCGAAGGUUGCAGCCACACUCCAUCUCAUCCUUUGGAGAUUUGAGUAGAGAAUUCACCUCUCACUUCCGAAGUACCCGACAAAGGGGAAAACUAGUGACUUACCUAUUAACCGUCAAACAACAGGAAAUGGAGACCUUAAGAGACUACAUCAGAAGGUAUAAUAAUGAGAUCACCCAAGUAGAUGGUUAUGAUGAUGGCAUAGCACUUUCUGGUAUUAUGGAAGGGCUCAGGAUGGGAAAGCUAUGGUGAUCAGUUUCAAAAAGACCACCCAUUUCUUACUCUGAGAUGCUUGCGAGAGCCGAGAAAUAUGCCAAGACGGAAGAAAGAUUCAAGAACAGAAAUCAAGAGAAAUGAGAACCAACCAAAGGAAAGAAAAAGAAAGAUGAUCGGAGAGAAAGAAGAGUGGUCAGACCCGAUCCAUCUCUAAGAAGAGACCAAUUUCGUCCUUGGGAAUGCUCUGAAGUUCGAGACACUCGUCCUCGGUUAGCCUCUCAAUUCACUAACUUUACAGAGCUUAAUACUCCUCGGGAGAACAAAAAGAAGCAAGAGAGUGUUAUGAGAUAGCGUUCAGGAUGGGCAAAGAAACUCUUCAAAUCACAAGCCUUGAUCCUAGGACAGUAAAAGAUGAUCAAAGGGCGAGCCCAGUUGAUGACUUGGAAGACUUUCCACUUGGUGAAGAUUUGAGUAAAGUCGUGAAGAUUGGGGGUCGAUUGCCUGAUUCGCUGAAGAAGCAGCUUGUUAGCUUUCUGAAAGAAUAUCAUGAUGUGUUUGCUUGGACGCCUAAUGAUAUGUCAGGCAUUGAUCCUUGGGUAGUGGUACAUCGUUUAAGUACUAACCCAAAGAUGAAACCAGUUUGACAGAAAAGAAGAAGUCUGAACUCCGAAAGAUCUCUGGCUGUGAAGGAAGAAGUAGAUAAACUUCUCAAAGCCAGUUUUAUCAAGGAGGCAAGGUAUCCUGAUUGGCUAGCUAAUGUUGUGAUGGUGAAGAAAGCUAAUGGGAAGUGGAAGAUGUGUGUAGACUUUACUGAUCUUAACAAAGCUUGCCCUAAUAAUAGUUUUCCUUUACUGAUGAUUGAUCAACUAGUGGAUGCUACAGCUGGGCAUGGACUGCUAAGCUGGGCAUGGAUGCAUACUCAGGAUAUAAUCAAAUAAGGAUGCAUGAACCUGACCAAGAAAAGACCGUCUUUAUCACAGAUCGAGGUCUCUAUUGCUAUAAGGUUAUGCCCUUUGGACUCAAGAACGCUGGAGCCACCUAUCAAAUGUUGGUAAAUAGUAUGUUCGUUCAAAAAAUUGGGCAUACCAUGGAGGUUUAUAUAGAUGAUAUGCUCACCAAGAGCCUUAACCUUGAAGAUUAUGUAAAAGACUUACGGGAAACCUUUUGAUAUCUUUAGGAAGUACAAGAUGCGGUUAAAUCCAGCUAAAUGUGCAUUUGGUGUGUCGUCAGGAAAAUUCCUUGGCUUUAUGGUAAAUCAAAGAGGUAUUGAGAUCAAUCCUGAGAAGAUCCAAGCGUUGGUUAAUAUAAAGUCUCCAAAUAAUGUUAAAGAAAUUCAAAGGUUGACGGGUCAAGUAGCAGCCCUGAAUCGCUUUGUCUCUCGAGCCACAGAUAAAUGCCUUCCUUUUUUUAAGGCUCUUAGAAAAGGAAAAGAGAUGAAGUGGACUGAGGAAUGUGAAGAAGCAUUUCAAAAGCUUAAGGUUUUUUUAAGGCUCUUAGAGUUGACGGGUCAAGUAGCAGCCCUGAAUCGCUUUGUCUCUCGAGCCACAGAUAAAUGCCUUCCUUUUUUUAAGGCUCUUAGAAAAGGAAAAGAGAUGAAGUGGACUGAGGAAUGUGAAGAAGCAUUUCAAAAGCUUAAGGAAUAUUUAGGAAGCCCUCCUUUGCUUGUUAAGCCAAUCCAAGACGAGUCUCUCUUCCUUUAUCUUGCAGUGUCUGAACAUGCCACUAUCUCUGUCCUUGUCCGAGAAGAUGAUGGAGUGCAAAGGCCUAUCUACUAUACAAGUAGAGCGUUGUUUGAUGCAGAAACAAGGUAUCUAAGUCUUGAAAAGAUUGUUCUAGCCUUAAUUGUUUCAGUAAGAAGGUUAAGGCCUUAUUUUCAAGCUCAUACCAUAAUCGUCCUCACUGAUCAACCAAUUAGACAAGUUUUAGCUAAGCCUGACAUUUCAGGAAGGAUGACAAAGUGGGCUAUUGAGCUUGGAGAGUUUGACAUCUUAUAUCAUCCUAGGACAUCAUUGAAAUGGCAAGCAGUGGCAAACCUCAUUGCUGAGUUUACUGAAGGAGAUAUUAUAUCACUUGAUCCUAAAGAGGAGCAUCAAGAUAAAUUGUCACUCUAUGUCGAUGGAUCCUCUAGUAAACGAGGAUGUGGUAGAGGUUUUAUAGCAAUCACUUCAGACAAUGUUGAGAUUGGAUGCGCUCUUAGGUAUGACUUCAAUGCUACUAACAAUGAAGCAGAGUAUGAAGCUCUUCUGGCUGGCCUUAGACUAGUUCGAGCCUUAGGUGCAAAGGAUUUACUUGUCUUUAGUGACUCUCAGUUGGUAGUUAAUAAAGUGAAUUGCAACUAUACAGCUUGGGAUUUCAACAUGAUUGCAUAUCUUGAUCGAGUUAAUGAGUUGUUAAGGGACUUCAAUUGUGAGGUGAAGUAAAUUCCUCGGGAGUAAAACACACGAGCUGAUGCAUUAGCUCAACUAGCUUUCUCACCAGAAAAAGACUUACUGAGAUCAGAUCCAGUAGUCAUCAUUCCCGAGCCAAGCAUAAUUAAAUGUGAAGAAAAAGAAGUGGCAACCAUUGACCAUCGGAGUUCCUGGAUGGACCCAAUUAUGAGUUGUCUUAUGAAUGAAACUUUACCUAAGGAUAAGAAUGAAUCAAAGAAUGUGAGAUACCGAGUUACAAGGUAUGUGAUCAUGGAUAAUCAACUUUACAAACGUGGAUAUUCACUUCCUCUUCUCAAGUGUUUGACACCUGAAGAUGGAGAUAAUGUCUUACGUGAAAUCCAUGAGGGGAUAUGUGGAAAUCAUUCUGGAGGACGAGCACUUGCCUACAAAGCUAUGAGACAAGGAUACUUUUGGCCGACGAUGCAACGAGAUGCCUUGGAGUUAGCAAAAAAGUGUGAUAAGUGCCAAAUGUUUGCUAUUAUACCCAAGCAACCUCCAGAGAAGUUAACUCCUCUCCUCACUCCUUGGCUAUUUGCCCAAUAGGGGGUUGAUCUAAUUGGUCCUCUGCCAAAAGGAAAAGGGUAAGUAAGGUUUGCUAUAGUUGCCAUUGAUUACUUCACAAAGUGGGUGGAAGCUGAGCCUUUGGCAACUAUUACUGAGAAGAGAACUACCGACUUUAUUCAUAAGAACAUCAUAUGUCGGUAUGGCGUACCUUAUACUAUAAUCACUGACAAUAGGAGGCAAUUUGACAAUGACAAAUUUCGUGAGUUUUGUAGAAAGCUUAAGAUAAAAAAUUGUUACUCUUCUCCUGCCCAUCCUCAGGCUAAUGGACAAGUUGAAGCUGCCAAUCGAGUGAUUAAGCAAAUUCUCAAGGCUAAGUUAGAGAAAGCCAAAGGAGCAUGGCCAGAUGAAUUACCAUUUGUCCUAUGGUCUUAUCGAACUACACCAAGGACUCCUACAGGAGAAUCUCCGUUCUCAUUGACAUUUGGUGCAGAAGCUGUCAUCCCUGCUGAAAUAGGAACACCGACUUAUCGAGUACAACACUUUGAUUAUGUCAUCAAUGAUGAGCUACAACGCCAAAGUUUAGACCUCUUAAAAGAAAAGAGGGAUCAUGUUAUAAUCAAGGUCACUGCCUAUCAGGGCAAAGUAGCUUGUUACUACAAUGCUCGAGUUAAAAUUCGGAGGUUCAGAAUUGGAGAUCUUGUUCUAAAGAAGGUUUUGCCUAAUGCUCAAGAACCAGGUGUUGGCACCUUGGGUUUUAACUGGGAUGGACCUUACAUAAUCAGAGAAGUAGUUAGGCCAGGAACUUAUAUUUUGUCUACCUUAGGUGGAAAGAUCUUGAGGCAUGCUUAGAAUACUGAGCAUCUCAGGAUUUACCAUCAAUAGUAUGAUCUUGUACUUAUAUAAGUCUGAUCUUUCCUUAAUGGUCAGACAAGUUUUGUAAAGACAAAAUGCGGAUGAAUAAAAGACUACUUCUCCCAGUCAAAUAAAUUCUCCAUGAGAUGUUAAAAAAAAAAGUAGUGAUAAUGAUGAAUGUCCUUAGAUCGAUUCUAAAUUUUCAUAAACUUAACAGAUGAAAAUUUUGUAUCUUUAUUCAAGUUCAACAAAAUAAAUGAGCAUCUGAUUUCAAGGAUAAAAACUUAAAGAAACAAAUAUCAAAGUUCAUCUCCUAAGCACUCAGCUUACACAAAAUGUUCAAAACUCUUAAAUUAAGGAAAACCCUUAGAAAUUUCUAGUAUGUUGAAAAUCAUCAUUCUGUUGCUUAGGAUGCCUCCCGAAGAGAUCCUCAAACCCUUCUGGUAUAACUAUGGAUAUCUUCUCGGUCAAAUGAGUAUCUCUUGUUCCGUCCGUACGUCCCCCGUCAAUGCAUGUCUUGGACCCAUUAUCCUCAUUCGGCUUGUGUUCAUCAAAUUUCACACCAAGCUCUUUCAAGUGUUGGUCAACCACUUCUAUAUCAGCAUAAGCAUUGUAGCAAGCAAAGAACAUACGGAAAUCCUUUAGUCCCUUCAGGUAUUCCUCAUAGCCUUGGUCAAGUAUACUUUCAAUUUGCUCCUUAGCUGCAGAAAGAUCCUUCUCGAGCCCCUUGACUUUUUCCAUCUCAGCAUUUGCUUUAUCCAAAGCUGCUCUUUCCUUAGCCUUAGCAACAUCUAAUGAACGUUGCAUCUCAGAGUUAUACUCUAUAGUCUUGGAAAGUUGGAGACUCAACUCUUGGACUUUUUUCUCAGCCGGCUUAGCUCUCUCCUCAUAUGUGGAUAAAGAGACCAAAUUCUGCAUAAGAUAAACCUAAGUUGGCAAGAGAAUGACCUUAAAAAAUAAAUAAACAAUGAGGAAAGUUAAAUAACUUUACCUUAGAAAGAAGGCUUGAGGCAAGCUUGAGGGAUUCAACAGGAUCAAGACUCUCAAUGUCCUUCAUCAAGGUUGAGGAGUGAAUAGAUAAACAUAACUGAUGCACCAAAGGAUUUUGUGGUGCAAUAAUACAAGUUCCCUUAUUAGAUGGAAAAUGAGGAGGAAUGAGAGGAAUAAGUGAUGUAAUCUGUUGAGCUUGGGAUACAGACUGAGAAGAUGAUCCACCUUGUUUUUGUUGUUUCUUUUGAGCAACGUCUGGAAUCACCAAUCUCUUCCGUUUCUCACCUUUGAAAGUGGCAUUAGGAGAAUUGUUUGAAGCCAUCACCGAAGCUUCCUUCUCAGAAAAUGAGAUGCUUGGAAUAAUACCGCGCUCAACCAAGGUUUCUUCAGAACAGGCAGCUGAGAUGCUACGCUUACCCAAGCUUAGGCUUAAAGCUUCUGCUAUAUUUCUUUCCUCGUCUACUGAAAGGUCAGGGCAAAUCCACUCAUCUGCAAAACCAAGGAAGAAAAUUAGUUUAUGAAUGAUAGAAAGAACUCAUAAUAAGAAAUAAUAAAUUAUUAUAAGAAAAUGAAAUUCUACUUGGUUGACAAAAGCGAGUCUGGAUUCUAGCCUCAAGAUGCUCCUACUUGUCCUGAACUCCUAAUUGCCUUUAAUAAAAAAAUGGUAAGGUUUCCAAGUCUUAUCUUGACGACUAGGUUCACCAUAAAGAAGAAUCUUAUCUGAAUUAGGAUAGGCAGAUAAACACUAAAAUCCUUUAGCCUUAGGACAUCUCUGUGGAUGAAAAAGAUUUUGAAAUUCAGCCACAGAAGGAUCAUUGAAUCCUAAGUAACGCCAAAGAGACCACAUCCCAAUAAUACAACACCAAGCUUUAGGAGAAAGUUGAGUUGGAGCAAGUCCUAAGGCAUGUAAUAUCCUCUGAACAUAAUGAUGAAAUGGGAGUCAUACUCUAGAAUUCAACAUGCACCUAGUAAUCCCGACAAAGCCCUUAGGAGGGUUGGUAAUGCUCCUUCUAGGUGAAGCACGACGAAGUGUUAUUGAUCUAGGAAUGCUAUAUCUAAUCAUUAAUAUCUCAAGGGACAUUUCACCUAAUCCACAUUUAGUCGUCUUUAUCGGCCAUUGAUAGGUAUCUUCAACUACAGGCUCAUCCUCAUCCUCUGAAUUUUUUAAGUUAAUCACCUCUCUUCUUUUUAUAAUUUCAUCUCAACUCUUGGACUUUUUUCUCAGCCGGCUUAGCUCUCUCCUCAUAUGUGGAUAAAGAGACCAAAUUCUGCAUAAGAUAAACCUAAGUUGGCAAGAGAAUGACCUUAAAAAAUAAAUAAACAAUGAGGAAAGUUAAAUAACUUUACCUUAGAAAGAAGGCUUGAGGCAAGCUUGAGGGAUUCAACAGGAUCAAGACUCUCAAUGUCCUUCAUCAAGGUUGAGGAGUGAAUAGAUAAACAUAACUGAUGCACCAAAGGAUUUUGUGGUGCAAUAAUACAAGUUCCCUUAUUAGAUGGAAAAUGAGGAGGAAUGAGAGGAAUAAGUGAUGUAAUCUGUUGAGCUUGGGAUGCAGACUGAGAGGAUGAUCCACCUUGUUUCUGUUGUUUCUUUUGAGCAACGUCUGGAAUCACCAAUCUCUUCCGUUUCUCACCUUUGAAAGUGGCAUUAGGAGAAUUGUUUGAAGCCAUCACCGAAGCUUCCUUCUCAGAAAAUGAGAUGCUUGGAAUAAUACCGCGCUCAACCAAGGUUUCUUCAGAACAGGCAGCUGAGAUGCUACGCUUACCCAAGCUUAGGCUUAAAGCUUCUGCUAUAUUUCUUUCCUCGUCUACUGAAAGGUCAGGGCAAAUCCACUCAUCUGCAAAACCAAGGAAGAAAAUUAGUUUAUGAAUGAUAGAAAGAACUCAUAAUAAGAAAUAAUAAAUUAUUAUAAGAAAAUGAAAUUCUACUUGGUUGACAAAAGCGAGUCUGGAUUCUAGCCUCAAGAUGCUCCUACUUGUCCUGAACUCCUAAUUGCCUUUAAUAAAAAAAUGGUAAGGUUUCCAAGUCUUAUCUUGACGACUAGGUUCACCAUAAAGAAGAAUCUUAUCUGAAUUAGGAUAGGCAGAUAAACACUAAAAUCCUUUAGCCUUAGGACAUCUCUGUGGAUGAAAAAGAUUUUGAAAUUUAGCUAUAGAAGAAUAAUUGAAUCCUAAGUAACGCCAAAGAGACCACAUCCCAAUAAUACAACACCAAGCUUUAGGAGAAAGUUGAGUUGGAGCAAGUCCUAAGGCAUGUAAUAUCCUCUGAACAUAAUGAUGAAAUGGGAGUCAUACUCUAGAAUUCAACAUGCACCUAGUAAUCCCGACAAAGCCCUUAGGAGGGUUGGUAAUGCUCCUUCUAGGUGAAGCACGACGAAGUGUUAUUGAUCUAGGAAUGCUAUAUCUAAUCAUUAAUAUCUCAAGGGACAUUUUACCUAAUCCACAUUUAAUCGUCUUCAUAUGCCAUGGAUAGGUAUCUUUAACUACAGGCUCAUCCUCAUCCUCUGAAUUUUCUAAGUUAAUCACCUCUCUUCUUUUUAUAAUUUCAUUUACAUAUCCACUGCUAUCCUCAUCUAUCUCCUCUUCAACUCACAACUACCUACAUCACUCGUAGUAGCAUGAAUGGUAGUCAAAGGAAUAGCAUCCACCACAAUAUUUUUGGUCAUUUUGAUACUAGGUCUUGUUGAACUAAGAAAAACCUACAAAGUGAAAAUGACUAUGAUUACUCUCCUAAGGAUAGCAAUAAAUAAUAAAAAGUAAUGAAUAAAUAAAUACUCACAAAAAGACGUUGGAAAUUCGCAAGAAAAUCACUAGAGAGUCGACAAAAGGCCGCCAGAAAUUCGUCGCCAGCUACUAUGAACACCACCGUCGGGCACCUUGAGAAAUUUUUCUCUCUAACCUCUUCUCUUUUCUCUUGUAAACUAUUACAUGAGAUAAUGAGAAAUGAGGCAUUAUAUAGGAGAGAGAGAUGAUCUUAGCCAAUUAAAGAGGAUUUGCAAUUAAGACAAUUAAUGAUAGAAAUAAAAUAUUCUUAGGAAGGAAUCAAAUCCUCCUAAGAUAGCUUAAAUCUCCAAAAAUCAUCCUAGGAUAGAAAUUUGAAUCAUCAAUAAAUCAUCCUAGGAUGGAAAUAAAAUUUUCCAAGGAUGAAAGGAAUCCUCCUAGGAUGGAAAUUGAAUCAUCAAUAAAUCAUCUUAGAAUGGAAAUAAAAUAAUCAUUGCUAAGGAUGGAAAUCAAGGAUAAAGAUCCUUGGAAAAAUCCUCCUAAGGAUGAAAUGUAAGGAAAAUUUCCUUAAAGAAAAUCAUCCUAAGGAUAAAAUGUAAGGAAACUUUCCUUAAAGAAAAUCAUCCUAAGGAUAAAAUUUAAGGAAAGUCAUCCUAAGAUGAAAUCCUCAUAAGGAUAAAAUAUAAGGAAAUUUUCCUUAAAGAAAAUCAUUUUAGGAUGAAAUCCUCCUAAGGAUAAAAUCUAAGGAAAAUUUCCUUAAAGAAAAUCAUCAUAGGAUGAAAUGAAAUCCUCCUAAGGAUAAAAUCUAAGGAAAAUUUCCUUAAAGAAAAUCAUCCUAAGGAUAAAAUAUAAGGAGAAUUUCCUUAAAAAAAAUUAUCCUAUGAUGAAAUCCUCCUAGGGAUAAAAUUUAAGGAAAGUCAUCCUAGGAUGAAAUCCUCCUAAGGAUAAAAUUUAAGAAAAUUUUCCUUAAAAAAAAUCAUCUUAGGAUGAAAUCAUCCUAAGGAUAAAAUUUAAGGAAAGUCAUCCUAAGAUGAAAUCCUCAUAAGGAUAAAAUAUAAGGAAAUUUUCCUUAAAGAAAAUCAUUUUAGGAUGAAAUCCUCCUAAGGAUAAAAUCUAAGGAAAAUUUCCUAUGAUGAAAUCCUCCUAAGGAUAAAAUAUAAGGAAAAUUUUCUUUAAAAAAAUCAUCCUAGGAUGAAAUCCUCCUAAGAAUAAAAUCUAAGGAAAUUUUCCUUAAAAAAAAUCAUCCUACGAUAAAAUCCUCAUAAGGAUAAAAUUUAAGGAAAAUUUUUUCUAAGGAUGAAAUUCUUGGAGAAAAUCCUCCUAAAGAUAUUAAAAAAUAAUAAUAAGAAAGUCUAAAUUUUUUAUUUAUUUAAAAAUUUGAGACUUGGGGGGGGCAACUGUUGGACCAAAAAUAAAAUAAGCCUAAUAAGGCUCAAAUAAAUUUAAUCUUAAUAAGGCCCAGCUAAUAAAUUUCCACCCAAUUAAGCCCACGAAGUGGUGGACAAAUCACCUAGAAUGAUCCUCCUAAGGAACAAGGUUUCAAAGCCCAAAAGGAGCCAAGGUUCUAUAUUCAUAUCCUAAGACAAAUUACCUAGGAUAAAUCAACUAGGUGGCAAGGAUUUAAAAUCCAAAAGGUGUUGAGGUUCUAGGCUCUUAUCCUAGGACAAACCUGCUAAGUUUGAAGGCUCUUAUGAUCCCAAAGUCUUAGUAAAAAUAACCUAAGGAUAAAACGUUCAUUCCUCUAAUCUGUAGACAAGUUUGUAUAUCCAUAUGUCAAUCCACAUGGGCACUAGAGGACAAGUGUUGCCAAAUGUCACAAGAACAAUGACAUUUGUCAUCAAAAUAACUAGGACCCAAGUCAAAUCAGUUUGGUCGAUAAAUAUGUCUUUUAUUCUCAUUAAAAGGUAAGACAAAAAAGAGACUCAAAAGGGAAAAAUGCUAACUUUCUCCCUCUAAUCUUUUUUUUUCUAAAUUUAUAUUUCCAAAAGUCGGGUGACUGACUUGACCAUCAGAGGGUUUACGCUGGUAAAGCCGGCCCUCUGAUCAUUUUCUUGUGUUUGUAGAGUAUCACAAGAGAAUGACCUUCUGAUUGCCUAAGGAAGUGGACUCAAAAGAGCAUAUAUAAAGGCCUAUAAAGAUCAGCCCAAAGAAUGAAUUCACCAUCAUAAAAUCUAACACAGAGGAACCCAAGUCCUAAGGGGGUUGUCCUCAGUCGAAAUUUCUAUAUCAUAAGUUGGGACAAAAUUUGCACCAACAUAUACAUACAUGGGUUUCUUGAAUCUUAGUCCUAUAAUUUAUAGUUGGUUAACAUUGCAUUUCUUGUUACCAUGUCUGAUAUGGUAAUGGGUUGGAUUAAUCUUGGGUUUUAUCCAAUACUAUUGAAGAGUUGAUUGAGUACUUUAUUGAUAUUGAAGCUCAGGAGCUUGAGUUUGAAAUUGCAAGGUUAAGGCCAAGGUCAGUUCAUUUGUUUGAUUUAUUGUUUUAUUAAAACAAUGAAAUGUUUUUAGAAAUGCAUUCAACUUGAUUGAUAUUUUGCCUCUUCCAAGGCGUAUUAAUAGAUGAAGGUGUACAAAUUUGGUUAAAUGCAUCUUAGAAUAAUUUAUAUGUUAAUGAGAAUGAAUGGAGUGUGAAAGGUUUUUUAAAUAUGUAACUCCUUGAUUUGCUAAUAGAAAGUGAAUUUCCUUGAUUUUUCUAUAUUUGUGAAGAUUAUCUACUUUUUGAAGUUUGAUGAUGAGAAAUAAUGAGUUCCAAUUGUUUGGUCACUCUUCUUUUCUACCUCACCAGGCACUUGCAGUAGCAUCAAUAAAUUAUAGGCAUCAAGAUUCAAGAACGUCAUGAUGCUUGUCGACUUCACUUAUUUCACUUGCAUGCUUGGUAUCACUCUGUUUUUUCUUGAAGAGUUUUUUUGACUAUAUGCCAUGAAUUUAUCUUGUCUCAUCCUGCCUGUCUCCGUUCCUUCAUUCCUCUCUAUUUCUCUCCUUAUGCUUGCAUGAGAAGAUGUGCCCAUUUCUCUCUACACUAGCUGUAACUUCGACGAAAAAGUAACUUUUUUACAACUUUCAUAUUCUCAUAGUGUGGAAUUACCUUGAACCAAAAAUUGAAGCACUAACACGUUCCAUCAUGUGCAAGUUUCAGCUAGAAUGUAUGGCCCCUUUUAUUUUUAUUGUUCAUUUUUUCUAAUUAUUAUCAUCAUCAUCAUCAGUAGCAGCAGCAGUAGUAGUAGAAGGUAUAAUUUCGAGACUUUUAAUGUGAAUUGGUCAACAUAUCUUUCAAUAUGGCAUUUUUAUUAAAGAGUGUUUUUGUUUCUCUUCAUUUAUUUUAAUUUUUAAAAAAAAAGCAAAAGAAAUUUUGUCUACCUUUUCUCAUUCUCAUAUUCUUGUUCCUGGACUCCUAAUUAUGUCUCAUGUGUUGUUGGUAUAGAAGUAGUUGUGCUAAAGGCCAAAUGCUUACCAUUUUCUUUUCUUUUCUUUAUAGAUUUGAAUUUGAACUACUUUCUCUUCCCUGUUUGUAUCUUUUUCCAUAGUCUUCCUAUCUUAUUAUUAGACAACUAAAAAAUCUCUGGUUAAUUUCAAGAAAAAAAUUUCUCCACGGUUUUAUCUAGUUUUGAUGGUCAUGGUUUUAAGCUAUUGCAAAUACCUUUGCUACUUCAGAAGAUAUCAUAUUAAGAAAAACAUUUAGAUUGUACUGAUGUGAUAUUAAAUAUCCCUCCGCCCAUCUUGCGAGUAUGAAACAUCCUUUGCUACUUCAGAAGAUAUCAUAUUAAGAAAAACAUUUAGAUUGUACUGAUGUGAUAUUAAAUAUCCCUCCGCCCAUCUUGCGAGUAUGAAACAUCCUGCAAAAAAAAAAAAAAAAAUCAGGGUAUGCAAUUUAGUACAUUAUAUAUUGAUUUUUUUUUUAAAAUAAGAAUGGUGAUUUUAUUAUUGAUAUAAAUGAAUUUUAUUAGUGGUGAUUGUGGAGCAUUUUUUAUGCAGUCUUUGGAGGUUCUAGCUCAUGGCCUUGACGUCAACACGUAUUGCCAAUUAGGAUGAUAUUACAUGAUAUCAAAAAAUAUUGGCUGUCAAAUUAUUUGGCCAUAGGUUGUGGAAACCAACUAUAUAGUGUCACACUAUCAAGAGCUUCAUUACUGUGAUUUUUUCAUUUUUGGAUAAGUUAUUAUGAGAUGCAACAGUUACAUUAGGGAUGUAGUUGACAUUUGAUGUAAUUAAAUAUAGUUUUAUUUUUUAAAAUAUAUUAUUAAAAGAAUAUAAGAUAUUUUGUGUUAUAUAUGGGAUAUAAUAGGAUGAUCAUAAUAAUUAAAAGAAUGUUCAGCUCAAAUACACUACUAUAAUCGAGUAUCUUCAUAAAUACACGACUACAGUCGAGUAUCUUUAUAAAUACAUAACUACAGUUGAGUAUCUUCAUAAAUACACGUUGACUAUAUAUUGUUGAAAGAAUAGAAGAUAGUUUUGUAUUAUAUAUGUGAUAUAACAGGAUAAUCAUAAUAAUUAAAGGAAUGCUCAGCCCAAAUACACGACUACAGUCGAGUAUCUUAAUAGAUACACACACCUCUCACUAGAAUUCAUAAUCUUCUUGUGUUUUUAUUGAUCAUUUGACACUUAUAAAUCAUUACCCAUCACUUAAACAUCAAUUGUUCAUCUCUUAAUAAAUAACUGUAGUCAAGUAAAAUUAUAUAUGCACGACAACAAUAAGGUAACUUCAUAAAUACGUGAUUGUAGUCAAGUACGUAGACAAAGAACAAAAUUACCUAAAACACUCAUCAAAAUGAUAACACAAUCAGCAUAAGUUUUAACAUAUCAAACUUCAAUUUAUCAAACAACAAAAGCUUUUUUACAUCAAACAACAUAGGUCCAACGCAUGUCAGAAUCAUAAAUAAGUUUUAAGAGAGCACAAGUUGCUACUCAAUCAUCCUAACUAUUAAUUUGCUCCAAACACUCGGCCCAUCUAUUAUGAUCCCCUUUGUUUCAAAGUCAAAUUUAGAAACAUCAAUGGAAAUAACUUGAGAUACUCUUUCUAUCAAUUGUGCAUAUGUUGUAGAACGGGGAACCAUGAUUCCUCUUACCUCAGUACCAUUAAGUGUUUGAUGGCUGUUUUGCUCAAUCCAUUCACCAUGAAACAUAUUAGAUACACAUACUGAAGUCAUUUCCUGUAAUAAUAAACAAAUAAUUAUACAAAAAGUACAAAAAUAAAAUCAAACAAGGCAUAUAAUAGCAUGUGGAACUGUCUGCCUAUUUACACGAUAGCACUCGUGUAACUUGCUAAACUACAGGAUUAUAGUGCAGUAAAUAAUCAGAGAAUAUAUUUAGUGAAAAAAUAUUUUUUUUUUUUUGCACUAGAAAAAUGCUAGUGUCAUAACAGCUACGACAUUUUUCACACUUGCACGACUGUAGUAGUGUAAAAGCAUACAUAUACGAUAAAAGUCGUGUAACUUUUAAAAUCGCACAACUACAGUUCAGUAAAUAGUCAGAUGGCGUAUUUCUUCUCAAAAAAAAAAAACUUUUGCACUGAUAAAACACUAAAAUCUCAUAAUACAACACAUGAUUAGACAACAAAUACAAAAACAAAAUCAAACAAGGUAUAUAACAAAGUGUGGAAUUAUCUGUUGUCUUGUAAUUGCUAGUUUACAAGACAGUAGUCAUGUAACUUGCUAAAAUACACAACUAUAGUCUAACAAAUAGUCAGAUGAUAUAUUUAGUAAAAAGAAAAUGUAUUAUUUACACUAACAGAAUGCUAGGUGUCAUAACAGCUACCAUGUUUUUCACACUUGCAUGACUAUUGUCGUGUAAAUUCAUACAUACACGACAAAAGUCAUCUAAGUUGCAAAAAUACACGACUCAGUAAAUGGUUAGAUGACAUAUUUCUUCUCCAAAAAAUAUUUUUCUUGUACUAAUAAAAUGCUAGGGUCUCAAAACAGUUGAAACAUUUUACAUAUUUGCGCAAUUGUAGUAAGUAAGUUCAUACGUACACGAUAGUAGUCGUGUAACUUAUUAAAACAUACGACUAUAGUCUAGUGAUAGUCAGAGGACAUAUCUAAUGAAAACAUAGAUUUUUUGCAUCAAUAGAAUAGUAGGGUGUCAUAAUAAUUGGAAUAUUUUGUACACCUGCACAAUUGCAAUCAUGUAAAUCCAUACAUACACGACUACUAUCGUGUAUGUCGGGUGCAGAACAAAAUUUUGGCAACAAAUUCAGGUUUCAACGAAUGUAGUUAUAAAAUCCAUAAAAUAGCAGUGAUAUGAUGCAAAUGUAAUGGAAAUAUGAGUUGCUUUAUUAUUUAUCACAAAUCAAACAAAACCCUAAAAAAAAAUAUAAUAUCAACAAAAUAAAUAAAUUACACAAAAUAAAUAUAAAGUUUCAAAUACCUUAUUCAUGGGAUGAAUAAUGCACCUAGCUGCAAAACUAAAAUCUCAGUACAUUGGUUGUUCAUGAGUGAUUUUGAGAGUGUGGAGUGAGUUUUUGUUGUGUGGAAUUAAAAAGUGUGAGAAGUAAAGAGUGUUGGAGGUGAGUUGUGUGUAUUUUAUAUUUUUCUUUAGGGAUAUUUUAGAUAAUGUACCACAUAAAAAUACAUACCUACAUAAUUUUCAAAUAUGGAGUAUAUUUAACUAAAUAACUUAUUUUUGAGUAUCUUAAAUAAAAACCCCAAUGUUUAUUUUACGAAUGUCUAAUUUUACUUUAUAUUUUUGCUUUUUGGUAGAAGGAAUCCCUUGCUGAAAAAGAUUUAAUUCCUAAAAAUGAAGCAGAAGCUGACAUUUCGGCUUUUAGAAUGCAUAGCCAUAAACGUGAAGAUCGAAAGAGAUUGAUCCCCAAGCAUGUGCCAAGAAACCAGCCAUUCAUGGGAAUUUGUAAGCAUUGAAUUGGUGACAGUCAUAUGCUCAGAGACUCCUGUUCUGGAAUUUGCUCGUGGAUCACAUUUUAAUGCCAAAUAAUUAAUGUUUGCAUGCUGUCACACUUUUUCAAUAACGAAUUUGAUUCAUCUUUGUUUGCACAUGAACGUCGGAAACGGAGGGCACCUUCCGAACAAUUAUUGCAUGUAUUGUUGCAUUUGAAAUCCAUCCAAUUGCAGCAAAUGAUAUUGAAGAAUUGAAAAACAGAUAAAAUGUUAAUAAUACGCUGACCAGAAGAGGUUUAUGCACCUACAAUAUAUUUUAGGAGAUUUAAAAAUAACUUUUAAAAGUUAAAAGUUAAAUUUUGAUAUUUGACAUUUUUUUUAAAAGUUAUUUUCGGUAAAAUCUCAUAUUCUACAAUAUAUUUUAAAAAGCAGGAAAAAAAUAAUUUUCUAGAAUCACACAUCCUACAAUAGUUUAAUAAUAAGAUUUACUAAAUACAUAUGAUUACUUUUAAAAACUCACAUCACUUUUAAAAAUAAAUUUUACUAAAUGUUUUACUAAUUUUAUUUACAGCUGAUUAUUUCUAUAACACAACUAAUAGUAAUUAUUUUAAAAACUACAACAUUACUAAACUGACACUAAACAUGUAAAUUUAGUAGGGAUUGUCAAUAUUUUGUCUUUUUUCAUAUGAAUAAUAUCAUGAUAUUACGUUUUGUUAUAUGUUUUUAAUGUAUGCUUUGAAUUUUUUUUAAAAUUAAUUAUCAUUUAUGGAUAAUUAAUUUUUUAUAGUAUAAUUUAAAGAUAUAAUUCAAAGAUAUACUAAUUGGAGCUCAAAAAUAUGAUCAUAUAAUUCUUUGAGAGAUUUCUUCCCCCACCUAUAUUUAUGGAAUAUGAAAUAUUUAAGUCAUCUUGUGCACUCAAUUUUUGUUGAAAGAGAGACCCACCCUUAGAUUAGGUUUAGUUAGUAGGGUAUGCUUGAUGAUUCUAUUUGUACAUAAUUGAUAAUACUAUGUUAUUAGUUAAUACAUUGUACAUAAUCCGGUGGGAUAAUCACACUUAAGAGUUAAGACCCGUCAACUUAAUUAUUCAAUUUAUAUAGAGUGUAUAUAUCUGUUAAUGUAGUUAAGUAUGUAAAGUUCUGUGGUAAAUCAUCCCCUUUUCCAUCCUUGUGGGAUGGGGCUAGGGAUUUUGAGUAUUUUUAUAUGCCGUUAUGGAGGUUAUUUCUUUUUUUUUUUUUUAAUAUAAAAAUAUCCGGCCAGGUUUAGUUGGAUUUUUAACUGUGAAUACCAAUGCUGCACGACCCCGUGCCCUUAUAGGUUACAUUAAUUACAAUUAAAAACAAAAAAAAAAAUGCAUUAGCAAUCUAAUUGCACGAGGCACAUGCCUUAUGAAAUAGCUAGUAUUGAUGUUUGAAUUUUUCUCAAAAUUGAGGGCGAAAACCCUACGCAGUAAGCAAUGAAAUGACACUAACCAAGCAUGCAUUAUCCAUGAAAGAAACCAAAAAUAUUUGUUGGGUAAUCAACGUGAUUGAUGCUAGAAUCGAUAAUGGAAAAAAAAAUGACCUUAACCAAACCUAUGAUUGAGAUAUGACAUCCUACACAUUAUUCAUUCUGAAAACAAUAAUGUUUCUUUUCCAAUUUUCUCGUCCUUUUGAAGCACGUCUGUAAAACAAAACAAAACUUUAAAAAGACUACUCGAUCCUUUGAAUUGUUAAUUUCUGCUGCAUAUCUGACAAGUUUUGGCAAUUUUUUUUUUUUUUUAGAAGCUUAUGGCUAGAAUUUAUUUUCAAAAUUUAGUUUGAAUGUUGCUCGAAGUUUAUUAUAUCGUGAUCAAGAACUAUUUUCAGCUUAUGUAAAUUUUUUUUUUCUUUCUAAACAUAGGUAUGUAGAUCGGUCUUUUUAUCAAAUUCUUAUCGUAUAAAGCUGUAGUGUGGAUCCCAUUUGCUUGAUAACUCACUUUCACUGCAAUAGUUUAUUCUAGUGGCUGAACCUUCCUUUUCCUCCCACUAUGUGAGUAACCCUAAUCUUUUUUACUGAAAUUUGUAUACCUAACUCAUAUUCAUAAGCUAAUUUUUAAAUAGGGUAAGCGAUCCUUUAGUCCCCGAAUUUUAAAUCCAUUACUCAAUUAGUCCCUAUAAUUUUAGAGAGAGUUAUUAUCCUUUUACUACUUAAGUGAUUAAGAAAUAACAACUAGGUACAACAAUUAUUAUACUCUAAUACUUUACUAUUAAUGAUGUAGAGUAGUUAUGUAUUACAAGUUGGGUACCUUCCGGAUUUCAUAACUUAAUAUAUAGGUGUCCGUUUUCAGUGUAUAAUAUAUCGUGUCAAAGCUUGCAACGAUACGAAUCUAACCCAAAAUUACUUGUGCCAUUUUACCUUGGGGUUGAGCCAAAAAUUCUGCUUUUUCCUUGGUUGUUUCCUAGUUUUAAGAUUUUUUCCUAUUUUUCCCGAUUCUUCUAAGAUUUUUAUCUUUUUUUUAGAACUCGAAUUUCAGUACCAUUUAUUUUCUUUUUCUUAUUUUGAUUAGAAGAAUUUAAUUAUCAUAUUAUAUUUCAGAUUAGCCUAUUUUGGUAAAAUUCGCAAUAUUUAAGUUUGUUAUAAAAGAGACUUAAAAACCUAGUUCAAUUCAUUCAAAAAUUUCAAUAAAAUUUAUCAUUAUUCAAAAACUUUUGUGUCUUCUAUCAAUCUACUUUUAGCGUCUCUGUUUUGUCAAUUAAAGAAUUACAAAAUCUCACAUUUUACUACUUUCUAAACAUGAUUGUUAGGUAACUACUAACAUCAUGUUGAUAUAAUAGGGGUUAAAAGUGUCUAUACAUAAAAUUACUCCAAAAUUAUAAUUUCAUUAAAUAUAAAGGGUAAAAUUGUCAUUAGAGACAUAAUGAAUUAGAAUGACUGAAAGAAAAUGUUAAUAUGCUUUGUAUUAAUAUUUUCUAACCUGAUAGUUUUUCAAAGUAAGAGCAAAAUUAGUGAUUUAAAGGUGAAAUGUAAUGGACAACUAAUAAUGUUAACGAUAAAGUAGUAAAAUGUAAGAUAUUAUGAUUCUUUGGUAGUAAAAUGUUAAGGUACAAUACUUGCUGCACCUAAUUGUUAUUUUCUAGUAAUAAAAUAAUAAUAAUAAUAACGCUUUGAAAAUUACCUAAAAGGUUUUUGUCAUUACUCUUAUAGUUGUUAAAUGGUUUUUGUCGUUAUUCUUAUAGUUGCUAAAUUUGACUUUCCAAGGGUUAGUAGUUUUUGUGUCUGAUGUAAAUUAAAAUAAAAAUAAAUUUUAAUGGAAAUGCAUGCACUAUACACCAUAUGGAUGUUUUGGAUAAUUUUAUAUAUGUUUUUUUCUUCUAUAAAUAAGAGUAAAAGAUCAUGAAAUCCUUCACCCUCUCAAAGCUUAAUUAUAUAUAGAAGUUGCAUGUUCUUGUUUUACUAUUAAUGUUUCUCUCUUACAUCUCAUUUUCUUAUUUUGCUGACUUUGUAUUGCAGAUACAACUUGAAAUAAGGUGCAUAUUCCAAUUCCAGGUGAUCUUGUUCUAGUAAGUAAGUUUUAGAACAAUUAAAACCAAAAUCUUGCUCAAGACCGCGCAAUUUGUUCAUGAAAAACCGCAUCUGGGUAUUGGUUUGUCAGGUAUUUCAUCAGUAUUUACAGAGAGGAGCAAGAAGAAGAAGAAGAAGAAGAAGAAGAAUACAAGAUUGGAUAAAAAUGGAUAAGCCUAUACCUUGAUGCUGCUGCUCAUGUAUAUAGGCUGCGUGGUCUUGCGCAAGAUAUUACUUGAGAAAAAAUAUGCACACCUCAUUUGCUGUAUAUAUUCAGUAUAAGUUUAGUUAAUUAAAGUUUCAGUGUUUAUUAUUGCCUAGCUCCAUCAUUCAGUCAGCUGAUAUAGGUGCUUUUCCCUUUUAAUCUUUUAACUUUUUUUUUUUUUUUUAACAUUAAUAUUUACUUGUUUCCAGGUAUUCUGGUGGGAAUUUAUAUCAAGUUUCAUAGAUUUAUUAUAUAAAGAUCUAGGUAUAUUUUUACAUGACUAACAUAGUAUAUAUAGGUUAAUUACAAUUACUUAAUUUUGAUACUUUUUCAGCUGUGGCAGCUAUGUGUAAGUGUUUUAUGUUGCUUAAAUGAUAACUAAUUGACAUCUAUCAGAUGUUUUAAUGAAUGCUUUGUUUGAUUUUUGUACACCGGAAAAACAACACCAGUUACCAGUAUAAUUACAUGUAAUUAAUUUAUUAACAAACUAAUUCAUUCGUAUGAUUGGAUAUGCAAUAAAGUUAUUUUGAGUUUAUUGUGCUUAUGCAUUAUAGUUUUCUAAUAUGCAUAUGAAUUGAUAGUAUAUCCACUUGCAGUGCUAAAAUGAAAACAUAAGACAAAAUUACACAAUUAACAAUUUUACCACUUUAAAAAGAUAAAAUAAAAAUAAUACUUAUGAAAAGUAAUAAACAACAUCCAAACUUAAACUAAUCCAAUAUAUAAAAAUUUAAUUAUACAAUCUAACAAUCAAAAUUAAAUCAUUGCGAUACAAUAAUUAAUAAUUCAUCCAAAACAUAUUAUAUGAUAAAGACAAAUUAAUUUUUGUAAUAAAUGGGCCGAUAAUUAUCUUGAGGUGGUCUAAUAUGAAUAUGAUAGCUAGGGUUAUUUAUCAUGACAUGUUGUUUCAACUUAUUUAUUAAUUAUGUCAAUAAUCAUGCACGUGGCAUUUGUAUCAUAAAAAAUAUUACCAUCUCUUCGCAUUAGUUACUCUAACUAGUGUAUUUCUAUUUUUUAUUUAUUAAAUUUUAAUUUUAUCUCAUGCAGCCAAAAAAAAAGGGGGGAAGAUAGUUAAGAUGGAUAAAAAGAAUUGCCAAAAUUCAUAAUUUUUCUAUAAUAAAACCUCUCUAUAAUGAUACUUUAUGUAGGAAUAACCUCCAUAUAAUAAAAAAUAAUUUUGAUUUCAAUUUGGACUAAUUAUAAAUAAAAAAUAAAUUCCACAUUGUAAUAAAUUGUAACUUUUCUAGAAUGUGUACAUAGGGAUGGCAAUGGGCACCGCCCGCAGCGGGUUUGCCAUUACCAAACCCAAACCCGCACAAAAUUUAAAUUACCAAACCCACUCGCAACCCGCAGCGGGUUUUAAUUUUUUUUAAAAAACCCACCCGCAGCGGGUUUUAACAAUUACCAAACCCGCAAUGGUAUCCGGCGGAUUUUUUGCGGGUUUCCGUAUUUAAAAUCACAAAUAUUUAAUAUAUAAAUUUAUAAUAAUAACCUCAAAUUCCAUAUAGCAUACUCAAUCACCCAUCCAACACAAUGCCUAUAAUAAUAAUUAAGAUUAAUAUUUUCAAAUACUAAUUCGAAGGGAAAUGCCUUUAGUUUUCUUUAGGUUAUGACUUUCGAAUAAGAUAUGGGCCACAUACAUACAUACACAACUUUGAGCCUUUGUCUAUUUAGUAAUUUGAUUAAUGACAUUAUUUUCUUUAUACAUUUUUAUAUUUAAAUUAAAUUAAAAAUAUUUGAAAAAAAAUAUUGCGGGUUUGGUGGAUAUCCAUGCGGGUAUCCACCGGAUAUAAGGUUAAUACCAAACCCACCCGCAUCCAUGUGCGGGUUUUAAUUUAUAAUACUAAACCCGCCCGCAACGGGUAAAAUUACCCGCAACGGGCGGGUUUUGGCGGGUGGGUUUGGGCGGGUUUGCGGGUACAAUUGCCAUCCCUAUGUGUACAUAACAAAUUACUAGGCAUAAUAUUGUAAUUUGAUUUGGGUAAAUUUCACAUUAUCUACUUGUGAAAUAUCAACUUAUCCUCAUAUCUGUUUAAAAGACAAAAAGAUAAUGGGGUUUAGGUUGAAAAUCUUUUUAUCUUAUUUAUAAAAGUAGGGUUAGUUGAGAUUUACAAUAAUUUAGAAAAUAUUUAGAAGAUUGUCAUUUUAUCAGGAGAUAAUUCAAAAUUAAUUUUUUUUUUUUUUUUUACUUUUUUAAAUUGUUGAAUAGAGGGCUUUGGAAUUGGAACCACGUAAAAUCAGUUUUAAAAUUAGUAAUGCUAGAAUUAUGAGAGUAAAAAUAAUAAAAUAAAUAAAAAUACAAACAUUAAAAAGUAUGAAAAUCAUUAUUUUAGGCCCAUGGCCUUAUCUCCAAAUUAGGCCCAAUCGUUUUUAUGACGCUUUUUCGAGGUCCAUACCCGGCCCAAAUCAUUCGUGGGCCCCGCGGGAAUUUAUGCCAUCCCAAAAACAGAGAAGCUCUGUCCAAAGUGCAGUCCGCCAACUGCCAAGUGAUAAUGGGCGCCAUGACAAGCAUAUAAUCCAGCGACGAAAUCUUCACUGCUUACCAUAAAUAAAUUAUAGUAACAAUAAUUCAACACGUCUCUUUUGCUUAUCUCGAUCUGAUCGAUAAACAUUUUCGUAAAAAAAAAAAAAGAAUAAUAAACAACAAAUGAUUCAAUUGCGAUUUUUGAAAUCCCCUUUGCUUUCCUCCUCCAACAUUCUUUCCAAUUUUUCUCCGAAACCCAGAACCGGAACCCUUCUUCCUCAUCCCGUCACCAAGUUCAAGCCUCUUUCUCAAAUGGAUUCUUAUUCUACCACUACGACAUCGUCUUCUUCUUCUUCUUCAUCGAAGCUGCUGUUUCGCCAGUUGUUUGAGAAGGAAUCCUCCACCUACACUUACCUUCUUGCUGACGUCAAUCAUCCCGAUAAACCAGCUCUGGUUAGUCUCUCUUGUUUGUAAAGAUUUUACGUUCAAUGGGGGCUGUUUUGGGAAUUUUUUUAUUUUGUAAGUGCUUUUUUUUUUUUCUUUCUGAAAGCACUUUGUUCAUAAGUGCUUUUUCUUGAAGUACCUUUUUUUUUUUAUGAGUGCUUUGCAGACGCUUGUUUUAUAGAAAGAUCUUUUAAUAGUGUGGUUGGAGUUUUGUGAUUAUCUUUUGGGAUUGUGUUAAGGGGCGGACCUACAAGAAAAAAUCGUAUACCCCUUAUUUUUUUACUAAUUUAGUAAAAUAAUAAAUUUUUUAUUUUAUUUUUAUAUAGGUUGCUAACUUAAUUAUAUUUAUAUUUUUAUCAAUUUAUUAUAACAAUAAGAAUUUUAUUUUAUAUCCAAAUACGUCCUUACUGAAUUAUCGUUAUAUUUUCAUCAAUUUAAUAUAAUAAUAAAAUUUUUAUUUUAUAUUUAAAUAUGUCCCUAACUCUCUGCUGUACGGCCAAGGCGGAUGUACGGUACAGCAGAUAUCAAUGUAAUAUAAUAUCGUCACUAAUAUUAAAAGUACUUAUAAAAACAAAAUAUAGUAACAACUAUUAAUAUUUUUCAUAAAAUUUUUAUAUGAAUUUUUACAUUUUAUUUAUUAAUUAUAUUAACUAAGAGGACGAGUUAGAAAAUAAAAUUUGAAUAUUUUAAGAAACUUUUGAUAGAAGAAUCAUCGACAUCUAAUUUUUUAAAGGGAGAUAAAGCGCUUGACAAAGAAAUAGUUGUACCCAAACGCUUUUUUGCUGAAUUGAAUUUAGUUUAUUAUUGAAACUUUUAAUUAAUAAUACUUUCAUAAUUUGAAUAGAUGAAUAAAUUUUAAUUGUUUAAAUUAUUAAGUCUGGUAAUUUAAUACUUUACUUCAAAUAUAAAAGUUUUACUUAUUAUUUUUAAUUGAUUGUAAUUACAUGUAUUGAUCUAUUUUAAUUUUAAAUUCUUAAUUAAUUUUUUAAUCCUCAUAUAAUUACAUGUUAUUUUAGGUUGCAAUGUCAUAUUUAUAUAUUGAAAAAUAAUGUUUUCAUAUUUGAGUUGUCUUUAAUUUUUUAUUCUUUUUUUAUAAUUAUUUUUGUUUGUAAUACAUAUUUAGAGGGAUAAGGUUCUUAGUGUUCCUCCUUAUUUAAUGUACCUAUUUCUACAUAUAAUUUUUAUGUUCAAUUCAAAAUAUAAAUUUUAAAAUUUAGUCUAGGUAAUAUUAAGUCCUAGGUCUGCCCCUGAUUGUGUUGAAAUAGACAAUUAGAUUUUUGAGACAAAAAAGGCUUCAGAAUCCUGUGUCUUGGGAAAAAUAUUUUUAAGUGCUUUUUGUAGAAGCACUUUCAAAUUCUGAAUUUUUGGCUUACCCUUAUGCUAGAAUCUUGAAAUGAUGGCAUUUCAUAAAACCAUUUGAUUAGUUUAAUUUCAUGCAGUGAAAAUGCAAAUGCAAAUCCAUAACUUGAAUCCCCUUUAACAUUCAUUUUUAUGCUAAUGUUCAUAUUGAAAUGCCUUUGAAAUGUAUGUUUGUAUUGGAAGUUGAUUGACCCUGUCGACAAGACCGUUGAUAGAGACCUGAAUGUUAUUAAAGAACUGGGAUUGAAGCUUGUAUAUGCCAUGAACACCCAUGUACAUGCUGAUCAUGUCACUGGAACGGGUCUGAUUAAGGUUUGUUAGUAUUCAUUUUCUACCAUUGCUUGUGAAUCUGAUGUCUUAUUUUUACAUGGCUUAAUUGGUGCUUGUUUAUGUACUUGUUUGCUGCAGAGUAAGGUUCCGGGAGUGAAAUCUAUUAUAUCAAAAGCAAGUGGUUCCAAGGCUGAUCUUCAUGUUGAACAUGGGGAUAAAGUCUCUUUCGGUGAUCUCUUCCUUGAGGUAUGUAUAGUUGGUGGCUUCCAAGCUGCACUAAGCAAAUCUUAAAAUUUCUUUCUUAUGGGGAUAAGGUUACUAGCCUGAUAUGAUGUCCUGUUUGCACCAAUCUGUCACAAAAGCAAUAGUUUCCUUUAGGUUUCUUUCCAGUAGGAGCUCAACAGAGUGAAUGACAAAGCAGAUAUGGUUGUGAUGAUGUCUGGAGGAAAGCAUAGAUUGAGGCAUCAGUUGAUAAUUGCCUAAAGUAAUGGCAAAAAACGAUGACAAAAAGGCCUCUCUGCAUCAGAAAGUUUCUCAGAAAUAAAAUUAUUGUACAAGUUCAUUCCUCUGUCUGGACUUUAUUCUAAUAUGAUUACCUAGUUUUGCUGCAGAUAUGAUCUGCUGAGUGUUUUCAGACCUUUAGAAAAUGUGAUACGCAGAAUGGUGUGGAUCUCUGAUCUGGUUUUCUGAUGAUUAAAAUAUUGAGUCCGCAGAGCAAGAAGUCACUUUUCUGGAUAUCUGUUUGCUAAGUGGUUAUCAAACUUAUUUCAUUGAAGAUGGCAUAUGAAUGAUAGAAGUUUUAUGUUUCUGUGAAGAACAAUCAUUGAAAUUAAAUUUGUAAACUACAGGUCGCUGUAUAUGACAUUACUUAUAGAUUUAGUUUUCUGCAAAUUUUGUUGCUUGCUAAAUCAAAUGUAGCUGUGCAGGUUCGUGCUACUCCUGGCCAUACGUUGGGUUGUGUUACCUAUGUUUCUGGUGAAGGACCUGAUCAGCCUCAACCAAGGAUGGCAUUCACUGGAGAUGCCUUACUGAUACGUGGAUGCGGGAGGACUGAUUUUCAGGUAUUGGGUCUUAAAACUACUUGAUCAGGAAAAUGAAAAUCUUUUCAGAUAAUUAUUCAUAAAUGUUCAAUUAUCAGAAUCUCACAUAGAGCUGAAAUUUUUUUAAGACAAUAACUGCAUCCUGUUUUAGUCAAAGAAUAAUGGCUGUGCCGUGUCAGUUGGCACAUCUUUCCUAUCAAUUCUGGAAAGAAUAAUGGUUGUGCCGUGUGAGUUGGCACAUCUUUCCUAUCAAUUCUGGAUCAUCCUAAGAUUUUAUGAAGUGUUCUAAUUUUUAUAUCUUCUGUUUGGUAGCUCAUGGAUCAUAAACUAAUGGCUUUUUUUCAUAAAAGGAUGUGGAAUAAACCACUGUAGUGAGUUGUUUUGACAUAAUGCAACUCUUUUAAAAGGGGAUGAUUCAGGUUUUUACAGUGGUGUUUUAUAUUGUUUAACUCCUUCAUAAGCAUUCAAGUACCAUCUGUAGGUUAGUUUGAAACCAUGAGAAAACAACACACUUUAUAGUUGUAAUAUUUUGUUUCUCUUCAGCUGAUCCAUCUUUAUCUUUCCAUUUUGGUGAUUGAUUUUGAAAAGAUGUUUCUUCUUUGGGAUGAUGUUCAUUACAUUAUCAAGCUUCCCUAGUGAUUGAUAAUAUUAUCCCAUGGUGGCAAAUUUAUUAUUGUUAUAUAUUAUCCUGUGUAUUCAAACCAUUUGGAAUACCUACCUGUGAUAUUUCAUUCCACAAGUUUCUUGACUAUCAUAGAUUUUAGGUUCUAACAAUACUCUCCCAUAAGAAAGUUUUGGGGGAUUUUGGGGUAUCAGGAAAGGGAAGAAAGGGCUUAUGUGGUUUUCAUUGCUUCUUUAACAUCUUAUAAAUGAUGGAAGGUGUGCAUAUUUAUUAUUCUUUUGUUUUUAGCUCAGACAGAACACCUUCAUGCUUGUUUCUCUUCAUCUUUAAUGAAUGCUUUAUAUGUGGCAAAGAUUUAAUACUUGUUACUUUCUUGAAGGGAGGAAGUUCAAGUCAGCUCUACAAGUCAGUGCAUUCACAGGCAAGGACAUGGGGUUCUGUGAAAAAAAGAACAAGAGGAGUGAAAGAAAAAAAGAAUUUAAUACUUCAAGCCUUCUGUUAAUUGUUAGUAACUUUUGUCUUGUGUUUCUAGAUAUUUACUUUGCCGAAGGACACAUUAAUCUACCCGGCUCAUGAUUACAAGGGAUUCACAGUGAGUUAACAGUCAAUGUUGCAUCUUUUAUUUAUAUUUGAAAUAGUCCAAUGACGCGUAAAAGUUGCUUAUACUAUACUGAUAUGAAUUUCAGGUAAGCACAGUGGGAGAGGAGAUUCAGUACAAUCCUCGCCUAACGAAAGAUGAGGUACUUGUUUGGCUAAUGUUGAAUUCUUUUAUUUCUAUGGAUUACUCGUGAUUGCAUUAUCAACUAACUGUUAGAGCCCUUCUAAUUGGGAGGUGGAUUGUCAUUGCUUUUUCCUUAAAAGAGUUUCGGUUAGAUUUUCAUUUUGGGUAUUCUUUUUAUGACAAUACUUUUCACAACAUUUUGCAGGAAACAUUCAAAUCCAUAAUGGAAAGUGAGUAUAUGCAAAUUACAUGUUGAGUUUGAUUUAUCUUAUAUUUAGUUGUAGUCCUUUCCUAAUCUGUAAAACAACUAACAACUGGGACAAAUUUUUUCACUGACAGAUUUAAACCUGUCAUAUCCAAAGAUGAUAGACAUAGCAGUUCCGGCAAAUUUGGUUUGUGGAAUGCAAGAUCUGGCCUCCAAAGCCUGAUGAGCUUCCUUGGGCGAUGCCCAAAUGGUGAUAACCUCGGUACCUGCUGUUCAAGUUACUCUGUACAAAUGAUAUAUAAUGGCUCUUAAUUGGGAUAAUACAAAACAAUAACAAAGAAAAAGUUGUUAAGCACCUACAUAAUGUAUGGAUCAGUGAAAUGAUGAAAAUAAGAUAUAAUUGAAUAUCUUUGUGGGUUGGUGUUGAAUGUCAUAAUUGUCCUGGAAUCUCUGUUGUAGGAAUUGCCUUGGAAUUGUUGGAUAAGGUUUGAGCACUGGGAUUUUGAUGCGUGAAUCCCUUGGCUGGAAAAAUUUAGAUUGAAAUUUAUCUGGCUCAUUCGACCCAACAGAGACAAAUUCAUGUACUUUUAAUACUAUGAAGCAUUUGAGGUCCAUGGUUGUUGAGUGCAGCACAUGAAUAGCAGGUCCCUACCAUGUGUUGGAUCCAAUCCCAUUUCCCAAUCCUGCCUUCUUUGGCAAAUGUAUUAAUUCAACUAGCACAAGGCCAGCUAGAUUAUACUUCACUCCUUUGUCCUAGGAGACUGAUUAUUUUAAAUUUUUUAAACAAUAAUUCUCUUCUAUAUAUGGCAGUAUUUUCUUUAAAAGCAUGCAAUAAUUUUACCUAUUUUUCAUCUAAGGUCCUUUUUUCCCCCUCGGUCUUAGGCCACAAGUUUUUAAGUUAAAAAUAGUAUGUAAUUAUACUUUCGCAACUAACAAUAUCUCAUUGUGAAAGAUUUUUAUUCUCAAAAGUGAAUAUUUCAAAUGGGUCUAAGACAAAUGCUAAACUCAAUAAUCUUAUCCAAAAUUUUGAUAGCAAUUUUUGCCAUGGAUGAAUAAUCAAAGCCAAGGUAACUCCAAUAAACAAAAUAUUUCUUGUGUUUGUAUAACAAUAAAGUUGAUUUUUUUACAAAAAUUGGAAAAUAAACUAAGGUUGGACUUCCAUUCUAAAUUUCAAAUCACCGGAUUGAUUUAUAGAAAAUUUGGUAUAUUUGUGAUUAUCAAUACCAAGAAAUUUAUACAAAUAAAUUUUUCAUGUAAUAAUAAAAAAAAUCAAUAUUUAUUACUUAAAUUUAUUAAGGAUUUCAUUUUGAUGGAAAAAGAAACUACAUUUUUAAAAAUUGCUCUUAAUAUGCUACGUUUACAAAUUCCCAAAUACAUCAACAUUAAUAUCAAAAUUUUUAAUAAAUUUGUCAAAAAUUUUGUUUAAAAUGUAUACAAAUAAAUUUCUAAAAUUUAUUAAAAAAAAUGUUCGUUACUACGUUUUUGGUGAAUUUUGAGAUUACCCAUUUAGAUUUCAAUUUUUUUUAACAAUAUUUUACAAUAAUAGGAGAAAAGGAUAAGAGAUACUCUUAUUUUAGAAAGAAUAAUGAAUGGCCACACAAAUUCUUUUUGAGAUGCACAAAAUUAUAAUUUUUUUUUUUUUUUUUUUUUUUUGGGGACAAGUCUUCGGCAAUCUGUAUGACUUAUUCAUGAAUGUGAAAAGAGUCAUUAUGUUCCAAACUACGUGAUCAUUUCAUCAAAUCAUGGAUGUUAUUAGUAGUUUUUCCUGAAGGAUUCAAUUUGUCAAACAAAAUCUAAUAACAAAAACAACAAUAAAAACUACAAUAAUACAAUAAAACCUCUCUAUAGUUAAAAUUUUAAAACCAACUAAUUUUAUUAUUAUGAACAGACAAUAACUCAAUAGAUAUAUAGUCACAAAAUUAUAUUUUUGACUUAACUAUCCUUAAUGUAAAUAAUAUGCACUACAUUAAUAAUUAGUGUUAAAUUCAAUGUAUAGACAUUGAUGAAAAAGAUAGGCAUAGUUUUAAAAACCAGUCCAUACAUUUAUGUACGGUUGGGAAUAUGUGAGUUAUUUAAAAAAAAUUAAACGUUUUCAUUCUCUUUUAUAUUUCUCUCUUAAUAUAAAUUUUAUAACUAUUAUACAAUAAUUUGAUAACAACUAUAAAAAAUAACUUAUUGUCUCAAACAAUUUUAGAAAAAAUAUGUUCUCAAUUUUAAACUUUAACCGUAAAACAUUUAUAUAUAUUUUGUAAUAUAUAAAUAAUUAUUUCUAUACAGAAUCAAAUUUCUUAAAAGGAGAUCCAGGCAAAUUUUAACUGAUUAUAAUAUAAAAAUUUAUUCUUACGUAUAAUCCGCUGGAUUGAAAUUGUAAUUAUUUAUAAACACAUUAAAACUAUUUAAUAACUAUUCAGAUAUUUUACUCUUGACGUGUGCGCAAAUAAUGAAGUUAAAAUGGCAAUAGACAUCACCAUCAGCAAAUGAUCGUACGAAUUGUUAUAUGCUUCAACAGCGUCACACGGAAAUUACAGCACAGCUUCUUGUUCUCUGGCCUCCUCUAAUAAUAACGAAAACUUCAUUGACUUUUGCGUCUUCUCUUUUGCCAAAUCCAAAGAUCCCAAUUCAUCCCAUCAAUCAAGAUCAUGAGUGAAGAUGACAAAAACAGAGCCGUUGUUGUUGGUCAUCAACACCACCAUCACCACCACGAUCAGCAGUCACCACCACCGCCACCGCAACCACCGUCCCAAUUCACCCCACCGGUCAUCACCAUGAGUGAAGACGACAAAAACAGAGCCGCUGUUGUCGGUCAUCAACACCAUCAUCAUCACCCUGAUCAACGGUCACCACCCCCACCACCCCAGUACGGUACGUUUCAAGGCGUAGCCAAUUACCCUCCGCCGCAGCCGCCGGCAAUUGGGUUCCCUCAGCCCGUGCCCCCAGCUGGCGUUUCCGGCCAAUCCUCUUCGCAUCUCCACCACCACCAUCAUUCUCCUUACUACCCCCAAGGAUACCAAACUGUUCCAGGUGAAAAUGCGACCAUUUUGGCGAAUAUUUGAUCCAUCGAUUUGUAUUUAAACAAAGUGUAGGGGUGGUCGAUGAUAUUUACCAUUUUUUUGAUUUAUUUAUUUAUAGGUUAUGCCGUAGCUGAAGGGAGACCAGUGAGAGAGCGUCGCCUUCCUUGCUGUGGUCUUGGUGUUGGCUGGUGCUUGUAAGUAGUUGUUGCUAUUUUUUUAAACUUUUUGUAUAUCAACUCGAUAACAAUGUAAUACUGGGGAUCCAAAUUACUAUCCCUGUAUUUGGGUUCCAUUGUGGCUGCUUAUAUGUAACUGUUACGUCAUGUUAGUCAUUAAGUGUUUAUUAAUUUUUCAUGAAUUAUAGUUUCACCAGUUCCUGAUCAACAUUAAUAACUAAUAUGCUGUAGCAGUGAUAUAAAAUGCCACAUCAAUUGAGAAGCAAAUGUUGGGAUAAUGGUUGAGAUCCUAUGGCAUUACUCUUUUGAUGAUCCAUUCAUUUACUGCUCUUUUUUUUUUUUUUUUUAAAUGAAGGUUUAUUUUGGGUUUCUUCCUUGGUACCAUCCCAUGGUAUGUUGGGUUAUUUGUGCUGAUGUGUGCAAGGAUUGACAUCCGAGAGAAGCCUGGAUAUAUUGCUUGCACCAUUGCUGUGAGUCACUCUAAACAUAAUUUACUUUUGAGUUUUAAAAAUGGUUGUAUAUUUCGAUCACUGCUAUCACCGAAGUCUCUAUCUCGCAUAUGAUGAUAAUUACGUUGUUACUUACCACACAAAUUUUCGUAAUUUUUUGUUUGUAGUGAGAGGUCGGAGAUUAGUGUCGAAAGGGUGUUCUUAUUCUGUUGUGAAAUUGGCGGAGAUGGUUACUUAUUCCACUUCAUGAUAAAAUCAUUGGUGAUUGCUAUGCUGGAGAUGAAAAUUUAAGUAUUGAAAAUUUGUGUUAGAUCGAUACGAUCAAAUAACCUUUCCUUUCUUAGAACAACGAUGUCAUAGAUACCAACAUGUUUGUGUUUAUCAUUCAUUUGGGUUCUCUGUACAUUCCUAUUCCUUAGAGUAAAAGUAUCAGUCUUGCCUGGUUGUUUUUACCGUUGCAUGGUUGUGAUCAAAGUUAUUUUAAUGGAACACUUGAUCAACUUCUCCCAGUUUUAAAUAACGGAACCUGAAUAUCUUUUCAAUUGAUCUUACUUGCUUGUAUGCUCGUACCCAACAAUAGGAAAUGCAGAAUUUAGUACUGUGGAUUUUUUCAGCUCGUGGCUGGAGGCAGUUUUCAGCUUUUUUGUCUGUAAAUUAUUCCAUUAUGUAUUUAGACAGAGAUCAUUAAUUUGAACUGCUAGAGUUCUUUUUCUAUUAUUUUUAACGUGCUCCAGUAAACAGCUGUUGACUUCCAAAACCAUUUUUCAUGAUUGUGUAAGUCUACUGUCCUUUUUGCUAAUACGUUAUCAUAAAAUCCUUCAGUUACAGAGAGGGAGGAGAUAUUGGGAGGGGUGGGGUAAGGAGUGAGAUGAAGCUUGAAAAUAUUUGCUAAUUUGUUCAAGCCUAGGUUCAGGCUUAGCUUGUUUAUAGUUCUGUAAAGGCCAAUGGAAAUUAGGUUUAAAAUUCUGGGGUUUUGUUUGCAAUAAGUUUUCUGUGAAUAGUUGUUAUACCGGGAGGUGCAUACUUGAGUGUAAAAUUUCAGUUAUCAAGAAUAUUUUCCUUCAUUUUCUAAUCGAUUUGUCUCUUUUUCCUACUUUUGUUAAAUGGCCUUGUAGCUUAUGUUUUCGAGCCAUGUUUGAUGCACAUAUUUCAAAUUUGAAUGACAGAAGAUCUGCAAGAUCUUUUCAUCUUUGUUUUGUGGAACCUCCAUUUCUUUUAGCCUCAAUUCUUGCCCUACGCUACUAUAACAGGUGUUCUCUGGCCUUCCUCUUGCAAUGAAGUUUGACUAUGUUAGCUCUGUGCUCGUCUUUUGUGCCAUUUCUGCUUCAAUGUGAUGAGUUCUGUCAAUUUAUUCUUACGCUUGUUUCAUGCAACAGAGGUUCUUGAAAUUUUUGAACGGUGAAGGAAACUUCACUGUCAGUAUCAUAAAUAUGCUCCUGCAAAAUGAUUGUGGGUUUGAACCUGUAAUGUAAUUAACCGGUUGUGAGAGUGCAAACAGUUUACAAGUUUAUGAUGUCUCACAUCUCAUCCAAUUUCCGACAUGCUAAUCCUGCAUCAGAGUGUCUUCAUGUUUUUUUUAGUCAACUAAUGGCAUUUUAUAUGAUCUUGAGAAAAUAUACCUCCGUUUUCCCCGUCUCUUUCCUUCUUGAACCGACGGAAUUGCUUUAAGUGGUAUUUAAUGUUGCUGAAUAUUGGUGACAGAUGCAGAAGCAAAGUUACCUCAAUUAGCAUAGCAAGUUUCAUGGGUGUGAGAUAUGUCAUCUAAAGUUGUACCCUGUCCGAAACAAUUCUCCUUGCAUUAGCUAGCUCUUGUUUUCUGGCCUAGUAGUAAUAUUACCUAAAGUUGUACCUUGUCUUAAACAGUUCUACCUUCUUUUUUUUAUUUUUUCCCCCUCUAUGAAGUUUGGGGUGCAUUCUAUAAUAUUUAGAGUUGCCCCAAAUGGAGAGCUACCAUGUUUCUUCAUCUACACUGCUUAGCUAUUUCUCUAACACAAUGCAAUUUUUGCAGGCUGUUCUUGCUACAAUUGCAAUUAUUCUUGGUGUAACAAAGGGAGCCGAUGAGUGGUAGUUGUACAGGUGAAAAAUGGAUAUACUCAUCUCUGAAGUCCUGAACUGUAUCUGGGGUUUUAAACAUCGUGUGAAAUCAUGAAAGAUCUAGUAAGUCCUUGAAUGUUAAUUAUGGUUAACGGUACUCCACAGAACUGCAGAGACUACAGUGCCAUUUGUUAGUGAUAAUCUUGUUUAUUGAUGGAGUUCUUUGUAUUAUAAGAGAAGAAUAUUUCAGUAUGUGCUUGACUUGUUAAAUUAUGGAAUUAUGAUCUUUUCUUAAUUAUAUGUAUGUUUUUGCAAAUCAUGUGGUAUUAAGAAAGUGUUUUGAUUAUGAUAUAAUUGCUUAGGGUUAGGGUUUGAGCUCGACACUUGUACGAAGAAUUGCAGCUACAGAUGAAUCAUGAUUUUAUAUUAUAAACUGUGCAGAAAAUGCUGUGAAAAUCAAUUGGUCCCGUAUAGAAAUGUAUAGUAGUCUUAUUAAUUUGGGGAACUGAAUUAUUAAGUGAAACUAUGUCGCUGUAUUUCAAAUGUAUCUAUUCUCAAUUGAUACACAAAGUUCACUUGCUUUAUUGCGUUUACUUUUCGGAUUACGGAAUCAGAAUCCGAAAUUGAUAACAUUGUUUUCUCUACAAAAUAAAGACGAGAAUUAGAAUUGGAAUCAUAGGGUCCAUACCAAUUUGAGAAUGAGAAAUGAGAUUCUCAUUUCUAAAAUUGAUCAUUUUGUUCUAAUUAAAAUUAUAAAAUUUUGAAAAUAUCCUCAUUUGAAUUAAAAAUUAUAAAUAGCAUAAAAGAAAAAAGAUCAAGCUUGUCACUGCCAAAGCUCCCUCGCCGUCAUCGAUCGUUGCCUGUGGAGUAGCAGUUGGUCACUGGUCGUCGCGUCAGUGGCAGUAGCAAUCGUGGGCAACAAUCAUCACGUCGUAGAAGUCAAACAACCACCAGGAGCAGUCGUCGUGAACUGAUGAUGAUGAUGCUGAUGAUGAUGAUUAUUAUUAUUAUUAUUAUUAUUAUUAUUAUUAUUAUUAUUAUUAUUAUUGAUAAAAGUUUUUAUAAUUAAUGAAUAUAUUAAUGUUAAUAAUAAUAAUAAUAAUUUUUGCAUAAAUAAUCAUAAUAAUUAAAAUAUAAAAUGAUAAUUAUGACUAGUAUUUGUAACAAUUUAACUUAUUUCGUUUUUUAUUUCAAUAAAAAGUAAACAUAUUAGUGGCAAUUUAGCUCAUUUCGAAUCUGAUUCCUAUAGUUCAAGUAAAUAAUUUUUUGUAAUUUUCAUUUCACAUUCUGAUUCCAACUCAUUUUCAUUCUGGUUUAAUAAAUGUACCAUAAAAGUUAGCACUACUAACAUGUCAUUAUUUACCAUAUCAGUCUACAUCAUUUCACUCAACAAAAGGAUUCUAUUUUACAUAAAAUUUCAGUCACAUCAUGAGAAUAAAAUUCCGGGAGCUUGUCAAUUUUUUUUUUCAUUAAAAUCAACAUAUAACACUUAUUCCCUAUUGUUAUUGUAGUACUUAAUAAUUUCUCCCACAACAUAAUUUUACAGUAUACCCUUAUUUUAAGUAUAUUUUUAUUCAUAUUUAUUGUAAAUUAAAGAAAUUAUAUAAAUAGGAAUUAAAAUAAAAAAUCAAAUCCUAAAAAUAAAAAAAAUAUAAGUUUUGAUGUGAAUAAAAAAUUAAUAAUAAGAUAAUUUUUUGCUAUUUUUUAUUUUGAACAUUUUUCUUAUAAUAAAUGUAUAUUUUAUAUUCUCAAUAUCAAAUAUCAAUCAAAUGAUCGAUAACUCCUUUUUUUCUUUAAAUUUUAUUGUGCAAAGAGGUUAUUGAAUAUUAUGAAAAUAAUAUGAGGUUAGUGGUAUAUGUUGAUUUUAAUAAUAGAGAUACCGGCGAUCUGCUUAAAUUAAGUCUAAAAGCCAUCAAUACUCCUAGGUUUCUCAAGUGUAUAGUUUUUGAAAUGGUCAUUCAUGUCUUCAUUUAAAUAAUUAUACCCAAAUAGAAUACAAUUUGGUCAUUGUAAUCGAUGGGCAUAAUUAUCUAAAAAGGAGUUCGUGCGCCCAUGAAUAAACUAAAACUCUAAAAGGGACUUAUAUGUACAUUUAUAACCUAUUUGGAGCAGCUGCCCCACGUCUGUAAAAGAGGAGAAAUUUUAUCUCAGAUAUAGGUCUGGCCCCAAACGCGGCCUUAAUCAAAUUUGGAUUUUCUCUCAAAACUAAUUAAAAAUAAAAUUGUUUUAUUAUAAAAUUACCCUUAAUCCUUAUUAUAUUAUGCUAUAUUGCUUUAUUAUGACUUUGUAACCAAAUGGAUCCUUCUGAAAAAAAAAAAAAAAAGAAACAAAUUGGUCCUAGGGUUUUGGCACCAAACCCUCAAUGCAAAGCGCCGCAUAUAAACCCCGGUUCCCCUCCUUCACCUGCAGUGAGCCAGCUCUCCUUGGAGGAAAAAUGGUUACCUUCAGGGUAAGUGUUUGAUUCAAUUCCUUUUCUCUUCGUUUAGAGAAAUAGAUUGUUGAAAACGAUGACGUAUUGAUUUGGGUUUCUGUUCGGGGUUGCAGUUUCACCAGUACCAGGUUGUGGGAAGAGCUUUGCCCACAGAAAAGGAUGAGCAUCCCAAGAUUUACAGAAUGAAGCUCUGGGCCACCAACGAGGUUCGUGCCAAAUCCAAGUUCUGGUGAGUAAGGCUUCAUAAUCAUAUCAUUCAUUCAUUUUAUUUCUUAAUGUAAUAAUAGAACCCGGUACAAUUUAUUUUUAUGUUUUGUUAAAUUAGUAAAUGCAGUAUUAAAUUGUCCUAUCAAGAGUUCUCAAAAUUGAUAAUGUAUGGUUUAAAAUCUUUUAUUCUAUGCACAUAUAGAGAUUUGUUGUAGUAAGCACGAUUGCCACAUCUUAUAUUUUAGGCACCCAACUCAUGUGGCAGAGUUGGUCACUUUGUAGUUGUUAUUGCUCUCCUGAACACUUUUCACCAUUACCUGUUGCUCGGAUGUUGAUUUUAAAGAAUUUUUCCUGAGGCUGGAAUUUCCGUAGUGAUUUAAUGACUUUGAUUAUUAUCUUCAGCUGAUUUAGAAUUUUUUUCUUCAUGAAAUGUGUCUUUUUUGUUUAGUCUCCUUUUUCGGCUGUUAACUUUUAUCUUGUUGUCCCGUUUAGGUAUUUCUUGAGGAAGCUGAAGAAAGUUAAGAAGAGUAAUGGGCAGAUGUUAGCAAUCAAUGAGGUAUGUCUUUGCUGCAUCUUGUUAAAUAUCACUCUUUUUUGUUUAUUACUUCUUGCUAUUGCAUAAGUAUUAGUGAAGAGGGGUCGGCACCUUCCAGUGUGCUGCUUUAGAUUUCCAUCUAAACAACCUUCUCUUUUGGCACUUAAAUGAGUGGGUGUAUUUGAUUUGGUAUUGAUAAUAUCAGAAUGCAUGAAAAUUCAGUGAGCAUGUUACAAGUGCAUGACUUCAUAUGACCUUAAUUCUCUUGUUGAAUAGCACAAGUCAAAUGAAAUUUGGAUGCAAAUACAGAGUGUGAAUAUCUUAUAAAUGAGUGUUUCAACUCCUGGUUUAACAUUUUUGACAUGUUUAAAUGCAAUUCUUACAAUUUAAAUGAAUGAUAGUUUCAUAGUGUUUGUGCUGAGAGAUUACUUGUCUAGUGAGUUGAGGUUGCUGCUUCUUUAAAAUUUUUAUGCAUGGUUUUGUUCAAAUUAAUUCAAUAUUUGGGGACCGCAGAAGUCUUUCUUGAUAGACUGGAUGGAUAUAAGAGGGAUCAUUUUUUGAGAUUUCUUUAACUUGAUUUGUGACUUUGGCAUGGCAUCUGCAAGAACUUUCUGUUUUAGCUUCAGGUAAUAAUUUUCAUGGUAUUCUUUGGGCAGUAAAGUUUUAAAGGCAUUAAAUUUUGAGUUAUUCAAUCUAAGUGAGAGUUAAUAUAUGCUUUCAUGUGAACCGAAGAAGAUGACAUGCAUUGUAGAAAAGUUAAAAAACUUAACAUGUGUCUCUUAAUGAAAGGUUUCCCAAUUUGCAUAGGUAGUUGCAUACUUGGAAAUCAGUAAUGGAGUUUUUGCCAUUUCCUUUCCAAAUGGAAGUAAGUCUCUUGGCUCUACUUCUUAACUGGAAAUAACAGAUGUAUGACCAUUCUAUUUUGUGUUAUUAUUGAAACUUGAUGGCUAUUAGUUGUGUCUACCUGUGCUGGUCUUCGAAUCAAAGGUUUUAUGUGCACUUUAACAGUCACUCUGAGGAAUUAUAUUAUUGCACCAUUGCAGCAUCCCAUAUGUCAACAUGUUGCUACAACUUCUUUAUGAUUUGUAGUAUAUAUUUAGCAUAUAAUCCUUAGAAGGUGUAUGAGUAUGUUGCUCUUUUUUAAUUUAUAUGGUGGAUUUUUAAGUGCUCUGCUUUAUGCUUUAUGAUAAGAUUAUCUUUGUCUAAUUUCUUUAAUUUGUACUGCAGAUUUUUGAGAAGAAUCCUACCAAAAUUAAGAACUAUGGAAUCUGGUUGCGAUAUCAAAGCCGAACUGGGUAUCACAAUAUGUACAAGGAAUAUCGAGACACUACUCUUAACGGUGCUGUUGAGCAAAUGUACACUGAGAUGGCUUCUCGUCACCGAGUACGGUCUCCAUGCAUUCAGAUCAUCAGGACAGCCACAAUACCAGCCAAGCUCUGCAAGAGAGAAAGCACAAAGCAGUUCCAUAACUCCAAAAUCAAGUUCCCUUUAGUGUUCAAGAAAGUUAGGCCCCCCACGAGGAAGCUCAAGACCACAUAUAAGGCGUCAAGGCCCAACUUGUUCAUGUAACCGCCUUAAAUGGGCGUCAGUGCUUUGCAUUUUGCAUUCUCUUUUUCCGGCACAUUACGACUGUCUUUUUUAGUUUUUCAUACCAUUUCUUUUACAAGUAUGGUUUCAGAAUCUGAUUAGAAACCUCUGUUGAAUUGUUCUUAACUUAUGAAGUUGCUUACCUUCUUUUGAAAAAGCUGUGACAUUCUUUUCAUCUUUUGUUCUAUUUCUUCAAGUGAAAGGAAAUUUUGAGUAGGUUUUGUGUAGCUACUAGUAUAAAGUUUCUAUGUUGGUGCUUAUAAAGCUUACUAUUUUCAUCUAUUUACUUUGGUGGCAUUUUUUUUUUGUUUGAAAUUUAAAUAGAUUUGAAUUAAUCUGAAUUCUGAAUAAAGUUGAAUAUCUGAAUUUGAAUGAUAUGUUUAAUUUUUUUUUGUCUAAAUUGCUUUUAUUUGAAUUGUUAAAUAAAUAAUAAACAUCAUAAAAAAUAUAAAAUAAGAUAAUAUAUUAUCAUAAUAUAAAUUUUAUUCAAUUGAAUACGACUUUUUAGUGUUUUAAAUUAGUAUAUGUUAAUCAAUUUUAUUGUAGUUUAUGAUAUUUUUAUAUGAAAAAUUAUGAAGAUAAAUAAUUUUAAUAUGAAGAAAAUAAAAAAUAAAAAAUAAUAGUAAUCUACUAGUGCACUAUAAAAAUUAAUUAAUUAGACAGAGAUAUCUUAGAGAAUAUCUUUUAAUGAUAUUAUUAAGACUUUUUAGAUUAAACAAAAAAUUUAAAAAUUAGCUUGAUAACUGAAUGAUUUAGUGAUUGAAAAUUUUCAUUAAGUUGAAAAAAUAAAUGGACUCAAUGAUUUAAAUGAUUUAAAUUAAAUUAAUUAAGUUAAAAAAAAAAAACAGCCGAUUGGUACACCAUAGUUUGUGACCUUGUUUAUCAUGUUUGAGAAUCGUGGAUUAUAUUCAUGAUAAAGAUAAAUGAAAUAGGAGUAGAGAUGAAGAUGAUAGAUCCAUUGCGUCUUGUCUGUAUCACAAAGCAGAGUUCUAAUCGUUUUGUAUUUCUCUGAAAGCAGACCCCAAAAUUAAGCAGAGCCAUUAAUCCCCAUAACAGUAGAAUUGAAAUUCCGUAUAAGCCAAGACAAAGUGGACCUACAUUCGUGUGAAAGCAGAGCACAUCAUGCUGCUUGAUUAUGCAUUUACGAAAAGGCAGUAUAUUUCCUGGCGUCAUAUGACAGAAUACAGAUCUUGUUUCUAGAUGCUUGCCAUUCAAAUGUAGGUUUAGAUUUUAUUUUACAAACAUUUAUACUUAAAAAUUCUUACUAUAUGAAUUUUAGUUUAUUUUUUAAAAUUAAUCGAUCCCAUACAGUCUAGUUCUAGAACAAAGUCCACAGUUCACAGUCACAUGCAAGCUUGACACGUAUCGUUAACACCGCUUACUGGGGACAAUGUCUUUGUCCGGGGAAAUUCUGAAAUCAUCGAUCCAGAAAACACCUAAUCAAAGACACAUGCAAAGGAAAACGAUUUUCUCAUUCGCUUGAUGACUAUAUAUACUCUUCUCGUUCGUCUCUUCAAAUUUAAACCCACAAAAUCUGUCAGUGUGAAAUGGAGUUGCCUCUGAAAUCCAUAGCUUUGACCAUUGUUAUUGUAACGGUGCUAACAUGGGCAUGGAGAGUGCUGAACUGGGUGUGGCUGAGGCCCAAGAAGCUGGAGAAAUUCCUGAGACAGCAAGGUUUAAAAGGCAAUUCUUACAGGCUUCUGUUUGGUGACUUGAAAGAAAAUUCCAUCGAGUUGAAGGAAGCAAAAGCCAGACCCCUCAGUUUGGAUGACGAUAUUGCUAUUCGUGUCAAUCCAUUCCUUCAUAAACUGGUAAAUGAUUAUGGUAUGUAUGUCAAUCCCGGCGUGUACUCUUUUAACUUUACUCGUUCAAAAGUAGAUUUGUUCUGUUCUGGACUCCAAUGACUCAAAUAUCUGGACUGCGCCACUGCUUAAAGAAUUAAUCCUGUCUGAUGAAAGAAAUUUGAUUAGACUUCUGAUUCAGAAGAGAUGGUUCACGUAAAGAUAAUUCUUGAAAAUUUUGGUGGGUUAAAACUUAAUUUUAUUUUUACGCUUCUUUGAUCAGAGAAAAAAAUCGAUGUUGCAGCUAAACUUCUCUCUCUCUCUCUCUCUCUCUUAAAAUCGACGUUGCGGCUAAACUUCUCUCUCUUUUUUUUCCUUUUUUUUUUUUUUUUAAUUAAGUGGUGAUACUUUACCACUCAGCCUUGACCGAGUGGCUAGAACCACUAAUGUCUUGAUGAGAUAGGCGUGUGGGUGUAAUUCAACCUGUGGAUGGGCUAUGCCACAUGUAAAAUUCCCAGAGGGCAGCGUUGUUCCUUUUGCUGAGUGUUGUCUGAUUAAUUCACUGUUUCAAAGCCAUUAGGCUUUUACAUAAUCUUAUAAAAUCGUGCCAUGUUUCUAAUUGUUUACCUUAUAAUGGGCAAAGUUGCUUGUUAGAUCUUUUCUGCUUGAGGUAAAAUCAAUUAGUAUGAAUGGUUAUUCUUUGACUGAUUUGUGAAUAAAAUCACUAAAUUUUCACAGCUUAGGUAUACUACCAUUUUCAAUGUACCAUCUGCCUCUAACAAGUAACAUGUGCGUAUAUUGGUAAAAAAUUUCUGCAGGUAAGAAUUCUUUCAUGUGGUUUGGUCCGACACCAAGGGUGAAUAUUAUGAAUCCUGAUCAAAUAAAAGCGAUAUUUACCAAGAUCAAUGAUUUUCAAAAAGUCAAUUCAAUCCCACUUGCCAGGCUGCUGAUAGUUGGAUUGGCUACCCUUGAGGGGGAGAAGUGGGCUAAACAUAGAAAACUCAUCAACCCAGCCUUCCACCAAGAGAAGCUCAAGGUUUAUUAAUUAACUUCUCCAUUUGUUUACAUAUCUUUGGAAGAUUCGAUUUUGCCCUCAUUUAGAUUUCUUGCUUUUGUUACAGCUUAUGUUGCCAGCAUUCUACUUGAGUUGUAUCGAAAUAAUUACAAAGUGGGAGAAGCAAAUGUCUGUAGAAGGAUCAUCUGAGUUGGAUGUAUGGCCUUAUCUUGCAAAUUUAACAAGUGAUGUGAUUUCUCGAACGGCUUUUGGGAGUAGUUAUGAAGAAGGAAGAAGGAUUUUUCAGCUCCAGGCAGAGCUAGCUGAACUCACAAUGCAAGUCUUUCGUUCAGUUCACAUUCCAGGAUGGAGGUAUAUUCACAUUUCUCUUCACUGGAAACAUUCAUAUAUACAUGUCAUAUAGGAUUAUUUAUGAGUAGGCUUUGAUUAGCUUUGUGGGAGUUAUUUUCUUUCCCGCAAAAUAUUAGAAGUAGACCUAGCUGAUUUCGGCUCAGAUAUCUUGAUUGUGCUAAUCAUAGAGUUAUUCUAAGAGGCUCCAGCAGAUUUCUGAUUGGUAAAAGAGGGCAAAAAAAAAAUUAAGGGUUUGAUUAGUUUGUUUAGUUCUUGUCUUUUCAGUUGUUUCAUUGGUUAUAUAUAGGUUUUUACCUACAAAGAGAAAUAGGAGAAUGAAAGAAAUUGACAAGGAAAUCCGGGCUUCAUUGAUGGGAAUCAUCAAAAAUAGGGAGAAGGCAAUGAGAGCAGGGGAAGCUGCGAAUAAUGACUUGUUAGGCAUACUGAUGGAAACCAGUUUUAGAGAGAUUGAAGAACAUGGAAAUAACAAAAAUGUUGGGUUCAGCAUGAACGAUGUGAUCGAAGAGUGUAAGCUAUUUUACUUUGCCGGCCAAGAGACUACCUCUGUUUUGCUUAAUUGGACGAUGGUCUUAUUGAGCAAGCAUCAAGAUUGGCAAGAACGUGCAAGGCAAGAGGUUUUGCAAGUGUUUGGCAAUAAUAAGCCCGACUAUGAUGGAUUGAAUCACCUCAAAAUUGUAAGUACGAAGGAAAUAGUAUUCGAUAUUGAUCAAUUUGAUCAUAUUAAUCUCAGUUGUGUUUGUAUGUAUGUGACAGGUCCAGAUGAUACUUUACGAGGUACUCAGGCUUUAUCCGCCCGUAACUGUGCUUAGUCGAGCUGUUUUUAAGGAAACGAAACUCGGAAACUUGACAUUACCCGCUGGGGUUCAAAUUGGCUUGCCAAUGAUCCUAGUUCACCAGGAUCCUGAACUUUGGGGUGACGAUGCAGUUGAGUUUAAGCCGGAAAGGUUUGCGGAAGGAAUUUCAAAGGCGGCGAAAAAUCAAGUUUCAUAUUUCCCAUUCGCAUUGGGUCCUAGGAUAUGUGUUGGACAAAAUUUUGCUCUAGUAGAAGCAAAAAUGGCCACGGCAAUGAUUCUUCAAAACUACUCAUUCGAGUUGUCUCCAUCCUAUGUCCAUGCUCCAACGGCGGUUCCAACCCUUCAUCCGGAACUGGGUACCCAAUUGAUUCUACGGAAACUAUGGUGCAAAAAUAAUUAAUACCGGCAACUAUAAGAUGAGCAUGAUGCCAAUGUAGACUUUUUUAUAAUGAAGUUUAAUGUAUUUAGGGUGCGUUUGGCACAUUGUAUUGUAUUAUACUGUAUUGCAUUAGUACUGUAUUAUAAUAAUAUUGUACAAUAUUUGGUGCUACACUGUAUUAUUUUUUUGUGAUUAAUUGAAAUUAAAUAUUAUAUUAUAUUAUAUUAAUAUAUUUAAAUUGUGUUAAUAUUUUAUAUUAUUUAUAUUAUUAUUAAUUUUAAAUUAAUAUGAUUCAAAUUUAUUCAAAUUUAAAUAUUUAUUAUUAGUUAUAAUAAAUUAUAAAUUUAUGAAUAAAUUAUAAUGUAAAAAUAUUAAUUUAUUAAUAAAUUAAUAUUAUUCAAAUUUAUUGAACACUAGGGUUUCAAAUAUACAAACUUAUAUUUAUAGUAUCUUUGAAAGUCUUAUUGAUAUAAAUACAGGUACUGUUAAAAUUGAAUCAUUUAUUGAUUUAUUAUAUGUUAAAGUCGAUGUACAAUAGACACAAUUCACUUGACAUAUUAAAUUCUUUGUCCACAGCAAGUUCCAAGAAAAUAAUAAACCUAAUAAGAAUCUAAAUAAACGUGCUUCACUAUAAUUAGUAACCAAGAUAUUAACUUAGUUACAAGACUCAUAUAUCUCUAUCUUAGGAGCAUCUACAUAGCAUUUUCCCAUGGAUUAUUCUUCUUCCCAAUAUUAAUUUUGCUCCAAUAAGUAGUCUUUGUGAUGUUGCUUCUCUUUUUAUUGGAAAAAAAACCUUCAAGCAUGUCUUCUAAGAUCUGAUUCAGCUUCUCUUCACUUAUUCUUUCCCUAGCAAGCAGCAAUAUUAAGGCUUCUCUUCAUCUGUAAAAUUAAUGUUGAAUAUUAGAAUAAGAACGGUUAUGCUAUAUCCAUAAAUAAUGUCAAAUAUCAUCCCUUACCAUGCGGGCUCUCUUCAGCAGCAACAACACCGCCAUUUACAAUGCUGCUACUAACCUCAACAACUUCACUAUUGCAGCAACAAUAGCAACACCAGCUUCAGCAUCUUCAGCAAUCACUCCAUCUCCAUGCUCUUCAGCAACAUCGCAAUCUUCAAGAUUUUCAAGAGUCUAAGGCUCCAUCAUCAAAAUUCAAAACUACUUUCAACUUAAUUUGAAGGAUAAAGGAAAUUUAAAUAGAGUGGAAAACAGUGCAUCCAAAUGGGUGUGAUAGGAAUUUCAAAUGCACUCCACUCUUACUGUGGCUUCUCCUAAUCCAUUCAUUCAUUUCUUCCAUUUAAGGAGGCCAUCACCAUUCACCCCUCAAUGUUAUUGCAUGCAAUUACCAAAAUGCGUUCUGAGCACCCAAUGAGAAGAUGUGAGACAUGAAUAAGUAUGCAUGAAUUCACAAGAAGNNNNNNNNNNNNNNNNNNNNNNNNNNNNNNNNNNNNNNNNNNNNNNNNNNNNNNNNNNNNNNNNNNNNNNNNNNNNNNNNNNNNNNNNNNNNNNNNNNNNNNNNNNNNNNNNNNNNNNNNNNNNNNNNNNNNNNNNNNNNNNNNNNNNNNNNNNNNNNNNNNNNNNNNNNNNNNUACAGCAGUAUUAUUAAUUUUAAAUUAAUAUGAUUCAAAUUUAUUCAAAUUUAAAUAUUUAUUAUUAGUUAUAAUAAAUUAUAAAUUUAUGAAUAAAUUAUAAUGUAAAAAUAUUAAUUUAUUAAUAAAUUAAUAUUAUUCAAAUUUAUUGAACACUAGGGUUUCAAAUAUACAAACUUAUAUUUAUAGUAUCUUUGAAAGUCUUAUUGAUAUAAAUACAGGUACUGUUAAAAUUGAAUCAUUUAUUGAUUUAUUAUAUGUUAAAGUCGAUGUACAAUAGACACAAUUCACUUGACAUAUUAAAUUCUUUGUCCACAGCAAGUUCCAAGAAAAUAAUAAACCUAAUAAGAAUCUAAAUAAAUGUGCUUCACUAUAAUUAGUAACCAAGAUAUUAACUUAGUUACAAAACUCAUAUAUCUCUAUCUUAGGAGCAUCUACAUAGCAUUUUCCCAUGGAUUAUUCUUCUUCCCAAUAUUAAUUUUGCACCAAUAAGUAGUCUUUGCGAUGUUGCUUCUCUUUUUUAUUGGAAAAAAAAAAAACUUUAAGCAUGUCUUCUAAGAUUUGGUUCAGCUUCUCUUCACUUAUUCUUUCCCUAGCAAGCAGCAAUCUUAAGGCUUCUCUUCAUCUGUAAAAUUAAUGUUGAAUAUUAGAAUAAGAACAGUUAUGCUAUAUCCAUAAGUAAUGUCAAAUAUCAUCCCUUACCAUGCGGGCUCUCUUCAGCAGCAACAACACCGCCAUUUACAAUGCUGCUACUAACCUCAACAACUUCACUAUUGCAGCAACAAUAGCAACACCAGCUUCAGCAUCUUCAGCAAUCACUCCAUCUCCAUGCUCUUCAGCAACAUCGCAAUCUUCAAGAUUUUCAAGAGUCUAAGGCUCCAUCAUCAAAAUUCAAAACUACUUUCAACUUAAUUUGAAGGAUAAAGGAAAUUUAAAUAGAGUGGAAAACAGUGCAUCCAAAUGGGUGUGAUAGGAAUUUCAAAUGCACUCCACUCUUACUGUGGCUUCUCCUAAUCCAUUCAUUCAUUUCUUCCAUUUAAGGAGGCCAUCACCAUUCACCCCUCAAUGUUAUUGCAUGCAAUUACCAAAAUGCGUUCUGAGCACCCAAUGAGAAGAUGUGAGACAUGAAUAAGUAUGCAUGAAUUCACAAGAAGACAUAAAAUCUUAAGUAAAGCACCAUAUUUAAAACUUCUCAUAUCAUUCCUAGGAUAAAAUCGGACCAAAAAAUACAACUUUGCAAUCAUGAGUAACACUAGUGUUAAUUGUAAUUAACCUAAUUCAAUAAAUUGUCAUAACCUAAUUCAAUAAAUUGUCAUCGUUACUUCAGGUUCCACAGUAUUCAAACUCUUAAUACAGCAACCCAGCACAAAAUAGGAACUAUACAGUUAACAAGAUAUAUUAACACAUAAGCUAUACAUAGCAUUUUAAGUUACUUCAUGUUAAAGUUAUUUAAUCAUACUUCAGAUACCCAUAUUAUCAAAACAUGCCCCCUUCAAUUAAGGGUCAGUAACCUAUGCCUAGGUAAUAUAUAUUUUUCAAGGAAUAUAACCAGAAUUUGCUCCUUUAACUUCCACAAGCCGUGUACUCUUCAUGGUUUGUUGGAGAGCAAACCAUCUGUGCCAUCUUGGUUUCAUCAUCGGCCACCAACUCAGGCUUCCCCUGAAUCAACAAGAGUUGGAAAAGUGAAACAUUGGGAAACAGAAAAAAAAAAGUAACUGACUGUUCUAGCAGCAAUCAUCUUAUUCAUGCAAGAAUCAAUAACUGACUGUUCUAGCAGCAAUCAUCUUAUUCAUGCAAGAAUCAACCAUGAUUUUCUUUUUUUUUUUGAAAAAUUCGAAUCACCAAUAUUUUUACAUUCUUCUCCAAAUUCUUAACAUUCACCUCAUUCCCACAACAAUUGCUAGAAAACAGAACACAAACAUUCAAACCAACAAAGAAGCCAACAAAUAAAAAAAAAAAAUGCCCAUCUCCUAAAUUCAUCAAUUCAACACCACAAUCUCCACUACCCUCUUACUCACUCUCUCUCACAUCAACGCCUCUACACUUCCAGAUUUCAUGAAAAUGAUUUCAAUAGAUUAUUUUUAUUAUUUUUUUAUUUCGCUUUAUAGAGCCAUCAACUAAAACACUUGAAUACCUAAAUGGAAAAAUGAAAUCUGCACGUGAAUCCGUUCGAAUCUCGCCAUAGCACCACCGCCGCACCACGCUGUUGUUCGAAUUCAAAUGACACCGUCGCUCCAAUUAAAGAUUCAGAUGCUGCGGCUGCACCACUCAUUUAAUGAUUCACGCUGCACGACGGCUGGGCUUGGCCGCACUGACAAGGCGUUUGCUAUGUUUGGCUCUUGAGAAAUUGAAGGAGAAUGGAGGAAAAUCAGUGAAUAGAUGAGUGAGUUUGAGAGAAAAGUAUUGUUUUGGGUUUUGAGAAGGGAAAUUUUGUUUCAUGGUCGUGGCUGAGGAUCGUGUUUGGAAGAAGAAAAUAUUUUAUUUCUCUUUUCGAAUGCAAUGCGGCCUAAUUACGACUCCCCCACGGGUUUAUUUUUUGCGGCGUUUGGUGUAUUAUAAUGAGGUUUAAUACAAAGUUAACUUUUUACCAAACAUGAUAUUGUAUUGAUUUAAUACAAUACAGAGUUUUAAUGUGGUGUAAUGCUGCGUGCCAAACACACCUUUAAUUUUGUAUUGAGAUUCAAAGCUUAGACAAGAGCUGUUUAGAUAUUUAAAUUGAGCUCAACACAACUCUAGUUUUAUUUAGAGUAAAGACGUUUCCCCACAUUGGAAAAUUUUAUAAUGCCAUGAUUAGAAUUACAGCAUUAAUGUUGUGGUAAAAAAUAUAUUUUAUAAAAUUAUACAUAAGACAAGUGAUUGGAAGAUAAAACAUGUAAAUUAAUAUAAGCCAGUUAAUUAUUAAAACAAUUAACAUGAUUUCUACAUAAUUUUAGUGAAAAAAUAAUUUAUUCAUUACUUUAGCUAAACAAUGAAAAAAAAAUAGUCAUCAAUUUAAGACCAAAAAAAUUAUACUGAAAACAAGUAGAAUAAGUUUUAUUGAAUUGGUUUAAGAAUAAAUUCUAUAUUUGUCUUAAGAUAUUUAUAAACUUUUUUUUUUCAUUUUCUGUCAUUGUUUUUUUUUUUUUACUACACAAGUUAACAAAGCGAAAUAAUUUAUCUUAAUGUGGAUUAAAAAAAAAAAACAUAUUCUUAUAUUACUAAACAGAUAUAUGACAUAUCAAUAAAAUUAUAUCUAAUUUUGAGUGUUACAGAUGCUUUUUGUAAUUUUAACCGUCACCUCUUACUUGUAUUUAGAAACUAUUUGCAUUGCUAAUGAGGAGAUUUAGAAGGAUGAGAAAUCAUGUCAUCUUACAAUAAAUUUGAAAAACAUUAAAAGAAUAGAUUUCAAAAUAUAAUUUUGAGAAUAAAUUUAUAUAAAACAUCACAUUUAUUACAUAAGACCAAAACUAUCAUUAUUCAAUUUAAAAUAGAAUCAAUAAAUAAAUAAGGUAAUCAAUAUUAUAAUGAGUUUUUAUUUUACAUUUGUAAGUUUUUUUUAAUAACUCUUAUAUUAAUUUUGUAAAUUACACCUAAACUUAUGUUUUAUUUUGUACUUAAUAUUGAUUUAUAGCUUUAUAUUAUGUCUUUAAAUUUUUAUUUUGUUUACUACCAAUACAUUAAUUUACCAAUCUUAUAUUAAUUUACUUUUUUUUAUCUUUUAUUUACAUGUCUUAUGUUUCAUUUACGCAAUUUAUAUUUUAUUUCACACUUAAUAUUGAUUUAUAAAUUAUAUAUUACAUUUGUAAGUUUUUCUUUUGUUUACCAAUAAUAUACCAAUUUAUCACUCUUAUAUUAAUUUGUUUGUUUUACCUUCUACUUACAAGUCUAAUAUUUUAUUUACAUAAUUUAUAUGUUAGUUCACAGUUAAUAUUGAUUUACAUGUUUUAUAUUAAAUUUAUAAGUCUUAUGUUUCAUUUACAUAAUUCAUAUUUGAUUACAUAAAUUCAUGACAUCAUCGAGUGACCUUGUACUUUAUAAUCGGGUGAGGCUAUUUAUUUAUUCGAGAGAGGCUAUUUAUUUAUAUAUUCUAAAAGUUAUUUUUAAUCCUCUUUAUUUAAUAAAAUUUUAGAUUAUAAAAACGUCCUUUUAUGAAAUUAGUAUUAAGGAUUGAAUAAUUUUAACUUGAAACAAAUAUCCUUGACACACCCAUGUAUUAAAGAUUGAAGAGUUCUUUGCAAAUUUUUGUCAUGGGUGCACGUAUCCUCACUCUAAUAUCGUUUUCACCAAAUAUAUUUCAUUAACAUCUUCGAAAUAAGAUUAACGGAAAAUUAUAUUUAUGUAACUGAUACCUCAAUGAUAAAUUGUAGGCAAUACAUACUAAAAAUCAAAAUCACAAGAACUAUGAUUCAAUAGAAGAAACGAAGAAUUAUGAUUCAAUAAAAGAAAAGGGAUAUAUAAUUUAUCUCAAGCCUUUAAUAAGAAGAAAGAAAAUUACUUUCGAAAAAGAAUAAUAAAACAGGAGCAAAAAAAAAAACAAUUCAAGACUAUUUUUUAGAUUUAUAUAUUUUACAUAGUAAAAAUUUGAUUUUAAAAUUUAAACGUUGUAUUUGGAGUAAUGAGUGCGCAGGCGGACCUAAGCGGGGGUGUAGCCCGGAUUAGUCCAGGAAAGUUAUUUAUACCCCUUAUUUUUUCAUUAAUUUUAUAUAAUAAUAUAGUUUUAUUUUUUUCAUAUAUGUCCCUAAUUUAACUACCCUUAUGUUUUUUUUUUUUUUAUCAAUUUUUAUAAAAUAAUAGAGUUUUUAUUUUAUUUUUAAAUAUGUUCCUAAUUCAAUUAUAUUUUCUUCCCAAUUGGAAUUAGUGACUUAUUUCAUGAAAAUAUAUUUUCUUCCCAGUUGGAAUUAGUGACUUAUUUCAUGAAAUAAUUAAAUUAUAUAUUUAUUGAAUAGAUUGAAAAGAUUUGGGGACUAAAAUAUUAUUACUGUUUUAAUUUAUUUAUAAAAAUAAUUUAAUUGAAAAAAUGCCAAUACUUACAAAAACAAAAUAUAGUAACAACUAUAACUUUGUCCAUUGUAAGUAGGAUUACUGCUUGGUUAUUGUUAAUGAAUUUUUGCCAUUUUAUUUGUAAUCAUCAAGCUUACAUGCAUUUGCCGUUUUGCUGUAAUUUUGGUUAUUGGGCAUAAUUUUGAUUAUUGUUCGUUACUUUUUACCUAAUUAAAUUGCUUUGAGUUGUGAUUGGCACUUGAAUUUAAUAGAUUAGGAUUAUUAGUUGCCUAUUGUUAAUUAAUUUUUGCUUACUGUUAAUUAAUUUUUUAUUUGUAACCAUUAAGCUUACAUGCAUUUGCCGUUUUGCUGAAAUUUUGGUUAUUGGCCAUAAUUUUAGUUAUUUUUCAUUACUUUUUACCUAAUUAAAUUGCUUUGAGUUAUGCUGUAAUUUUAGUUAUUCAAAAUGUUUCCUCGUUUUUAAUCUGGUAGAUGAUGUUACCAUUACAACUACAUUUACUUUACAAAGGUGAAAGACAUCCUAUAGGGUUGAUUGAACCUGAAGAAUAUACCCUGCAGCAGAUGAAGAAACUCCUGAAAGUGUGCAGUUAUCGGUUACCAACCCAAGGGACAAGCUUUCGAUUACUGUAGAUUCUGAGGCAGUGUUGCAGGCUCAGUUCGCUGUACAUGAUUAAAUGGAAGUGGCAGUGUUUGAAGCCACAAUUUUGCCAACCCUACGUCCUGAUUUACCACUUUGUGGGGUGUUACAAGCGAUGCUACAUAACUGUGGAGUGCAGUUAUCUGCAGAGCAAAUUACAUGGGUGAAUGAUGGUGGAAAUGAACCACCACCUAGGACUGGAGGCAUACAAGGGCCACCAACAGAACUGAAUGAGAAUGAUGGGCAUGAGAAUGAUGAUGAUGAUGUAGUAUAUUCAACUGAUGGGAGUCGUAUAGAUGACACUGAUGAUGAUGAUGCUGAUAUUUUAGCUUGAAAUUCUUAAUUGAUUUACUUAAAGGUUUUAUUGAGGACUUUUUUAGUAUUUUAAAGAGUGUGCAGAGUUAAGAGAGUAGCUUUUUUAGUAUUUGAUGAGAUUGUGGUUGACGAUGAAACAGCUGAAGUAGAUCCUCAGCUGUUAGCAGACACAUCAGAUUCAUAUUAUGAUUUGGGUACCACUCAGCUGAAGGAUGAUAUUGAAGUGCAUGCAUAUAAGCCAAGGCGUAAUGGUAAACAUAGGCUGAGGUUAGGAGAUGUAUUUGAUGAUGUUGAACAGUUUAGAUAUGUGUUAGGUGAAGUGAUGGUGGAUAAAGGCAAACAUGGAGGCAGAAGCAGUGCUGCUCGGUAUUCAAGUAGCUCAGAAAACAAAUUGUGCCCAAUUCAUUGUUGAAUCAGACUUGAAGGAAGUUGUGGAGCUCACUUUAAACAAGAAGGAAAGUUUAGCUAAAAUUUGUUGGAACAUUGAAGAAAUACAAGCAGAGUUGAAAAACCAGGCCUCGGCAGCUAUUCGUUUUGUCCCAAGAAAGUGUAAUGUAAUAGCCCAUAACUUAGCUAAUGUAGCUCUUGAGUUUGAGGAUGCUGUCACCUGGAUAGGUGAUUUCCCUGUCUAGGUGUUGAUGUUGUUUGUGAUGGGAGGUAAAAUAAGGGGCAAGGGUGGAUUUGCAAUCGAAGAGUUGCAAAAGAAGCAUGAAUGUAGACAGACUGGAAAGUCAGUGGCUGUGAACAAUAAAUGGAUAGCAGAGAAAAUUAAGAGCAAAGUUGCUGUAGAUGCGCAUGUGAAGAUUUCUGUUCUUCGUGAGUUUAUGCUGGAGACUUAUGGUGUGCGGAUAUACAUCCGCCUUGGCCGUACAGCAGAUUCACAAGUAUGAUCCUGGUGCAAUUUGUAAAGUGCUUUGUGAUGCUGUAACUAGGCCUGAGAAAGUGCUCUUUCAAAGAUUCUUUAUGGCAUUUCCAGCUUUCCGUGCUUGUCAUUAAACUGCUAUAAAAUAUAUAUAAUAUCAUGAAAAAAUUAAAUGACAAUAAGAUGAUAGUUGUAAUCAAUAAUCAAUUGAUCACACAACUAAUUCAAGCGCUCAAUAUUUGUCAAUGGCAUAACUUUUCCCUUUCUUAUAUAGUGCAAAUUUAAUGAAAUAAAUUUUAGGGAAAUUAUCAGCCAUAUACUCUUAAAUGACACCCGUAUCAAACGUGUGUGAACACUUUUCAAGUGUAUUACUCGUAUACCCUAAGUUGACAAAACACUUAUGCCAUCCAUCAAUUCGUUAACUUCCAUUAGAUUCGUUAACUUCCAUUAGAAAGUUAACAGAAUUGUGACAAAUUGACUAUUUUACCCUUGAAACUCAAAAUAUAAGGUAAAAAGAUAAAUUUACCCCAAAAAUUAACGUAAAUUUUCAAUACACAAUUUUUUUUUAUUUUGUUAUUAACAAUACAUUUUUUUAUUAAAAAAAUGAAUUAUUAAUGGUACAUAUUAUUAACAAUUAUUCAUAAAAAAUAUCCAUAUUAUACCAUAAAAAAUUAUUAACAACAUAUUAUUCACAAUUAUACAUAUUAUACCAUAAAACUUUCCAGUUGGAACUUGGAGGAGUAGAUCUUCAAAAUUAGGUUAAAUUUUAGAGGAGUAGAUUCGGUUGUAAAGUAGUUUUUUUAGCAAUUAUUAACAAUUAUCCGAUAAAUGGGAUGACAUGUCAUUUUUGUCAAUAUAUAUCAUAUGACAUGUCAUUUUGUACUAGGUAAAUGAGAUGACAUGUCGUUUUUGUAAAUCAAAGUUUCGUCAAUCUUAAAAGACUAAAUUGCCCUUAUGAUGUCAACGCUUGCAAACGGAAGUUAACGGAUUGGCGGAUGGCAGAAGUGUUUUGUCAUCUUAGGGUACACGAGUGAUACAUUUGAAAAGUGUUCACACACGUUUAAUGCGGGUGUCAUUUAAAAGUAUAUGACUGAUAAUUUUCCUAAAUUUUAUUGCUUGAAUCUAGAAUAUCUUGACUAGAACUUAUUGGUUUAUUGGAUUCGAAUGAGCUUUACUGGUGAGAUAGUUUUGACCAAAUCCAAGUAUCCAACAACUCGAUUAGAUUUGUUUUCGACCAAAGGAGUUGAAGAAAAUUUUAAAAAAAAUUUAAAAGUAUGAAACCAAUUUUCUCUUAUGUCUACAUUGAACAGAUUUAGACAUGAUUAAAAGAUGAGAGCAUGAAGUAUAUACAUACUAUUAUGUCUUUAAUAGUGAUUUACGUUAGAGACAAUUUAGUAGUAAAAAUGUUUUCUAAAAAGUGGGUCAAAUGAGUAUUAUGGUGGAUUCAAAUAGUCCCACCAUUUUUCAAAAGAUUAGGUUAUUUAUACUCCAAAAAUUACUUUGAACACUUUAUUAGUCUGUACAAUCAUGUGCUGAAUUUAAAAUAAUUAAAAUUUACUUUCUACACUCUUUAAAAUACAAAAAAAAGACCUUAAUUAAACUAGUUAAACUAAUUUACUCAAAACACCAAUUAAACUAUUGAGCAUCCAAAAUGAAUUAAUAACAACUUAGUAUGUACACAAAGGAAUCAAAUUAUAUUCUAAACAUAUUCUUUAUUAGCUUUUGUCUAUUAAAGAAUGUAUUCAAUAUUAGUUUUUGCACCCAAUUUUUUAACCAAACAAUUGAAAAUAUUUUUGCCAUCUAGCCAAAAAAAAAGAAAAAAAGAAAAAAAGGAAAACAAGAGGAAGAAGAAAUAGCCGAAGAAAAAGAAGACUAAAAGAAGGAUGAGGAAGAGGAAGAAGACUGCAAUUUUUUUUUUCUUCUGAAAAUCAAAGAGUAAAAAUAUGCUCAAAAUAUAUUAAAAGUAUUGAUUUGCUCUUUGUUUAACUAAAUAUUGUUUAAGAUAUUGGAUUAAAAAUUUUUCGGGUUUAUGGCAAGAUAAUCAUAUAUUGAAUAGUGAGUGUUUGGAGUAAUUUUAUUAUGUUAGUUUAUAAGAGAGAUUCCAUAUUAGUAAUUCAUAUAAUAGGUAUUUUUGUAAUAAAAUAAUUUAUUAAAAUAAGAAUAUUCAUAGUAAUGUUAAGAGUGCAAAUAGCCCUACCCUUUUUAUAAAAUAAGUAAAUGAGUAUACAUAAAUAAUAGUAUAUUUUGAGUAUUUUUUAAAGCGCAAAUAGGCCCACCAUGCAUAAUUUAUUUAGAUGAGUUUUAUUUUAUUUAUUUUUUUAUUAAUUUCAGUUAUCUCUAAAUUAUUGUAAACCUUAAUUUACCCUAAUGAUCAUUCAAAAAAUAAGAUCAAAUGGGAACGAUUGAUGAUUUCUUUUUUCUUUUUUUACCUUCUUAAUAGUAAUUGUGGAUUGAUUAAUGUUUAUUAUAGUUUGAGGAUAUUUUGAGAAUAAUUAAUGUAUUAGGGGUAAACAAUUUUUUUUUUUCAAAUAAUUAACCGAACUUACAUUCUCUAGUUCUAUAGAAGACAGUCAAUGAGUGACAAGUCCACAAAGAUCACCACAUGCAUGAUUGAUAUUGACACGUGUACCAUUAGCUGGAAACAAUAUAAUGGUACAGGAAAAUUCGAAACUAAGAAAAGCCAUUAAACAUAUGCAAACGAAAAUAUUUUUUUAAUUCACUUUCAACUAAUCUACCACGUAGGCAAGUCUCAUUUCUUUGAACACUUCAAAAAUCUCUCUGUGUGAAAUGGAAUUGCCCCUGAAAUCCAUAGACCUGACCAUUGUUAUCGUAACAGUGGGAACUGGGCAUGGAGAGUGCUGAACUGGGUGUGGCUGAGGGUCCCAAGAAGCUGGAGAAAUUCCUGAGACAGCAAAGGUUUCAAAGGCAAUUCUUGCAGGCUUCUGUUUGGUGACUUGAAAGAAAGUUUAGACGAUAAUAUCUCGACUGGAUUGUGCCAUUAUUAAUAAAACUAAUUCAGUUUGCACAAUUGUAGAGCUGUUAUAAGUGGAAGAAAUCCAAAUAGACUUCUCGUUAUAAUUGUAGUUAGUAGAGAUCAUACACAUCAAGAUAAUUCUUGAAUAUUUUUAUGGGUUAAAACGUAAUUGUUUUUUUAUUAAUGAAGAAAAUAUGUAUGGUGUUGAAACAUUUGAGCUAUGUUGUUUGCGAGACCAAUAAUUUUCUUGAUAUCAUGGGCCAAUGGGUGUAACUCAAGCUGUGGUAAGUUAUGCCACGAGCAAAAUAACCAGAGCUUAAAAAUUGAUGCAGGCAAUAAUUCAUUUAUGUGGUUCGGUCCGACGCGAAGGUUGAAUAUUGUGAAGCCCGAUCAAAUCAAAGAGAUAUCUACCAAGAUCAAUGAUUUUCAAAAAAUCAAUUCAGAUCCACUUGCCAGAUUAUUGGCACUUGCAUUGGUUAGCCAUGAGGUGACAAGUGGGUUACUAUAGAAAUCUUAUCAACCAGUUCCACCAAGAGAAGCUCUAGGUUAUUAAUUGAUUUCUUCAUUUGUUUACAUAAAUGUCUUCAUUUUAAUUUCUUUCUGUUUCGUUUCAACUUAUGUUGCCUGCGUUCUACCAAAGUUGUAGUGAAAUAAUUACAAAGUGGGAGAACCUGACGUCCAAAGGAGGAUCGUGUGAGUUGGGUGUACGGCCUUCUCUUGCAAAAUUAACUAGUGAUGUGAUUCUGAGGACGGCUUCUGGGAGUAAUUAGCAAUGUAGGAGUUGAUUUUCUUUCAAAAAUAUGGAAGUAGGUUUGGUGAGUUGGGUGCACGGCCUUCUCUUGCAAAAUUAACUAGUGAUGUGAUUCUGAGGACGGCUUCUGGGAGUAAUUAGCAAUGUAGGAGUUGAUUUUCUUCCAAAAAUAUGGAAGUAGGUUUGACCCAUCCUGGGCUUAUAACUUCGAUCCAUGUCGUCAUAUGGUUAAUCUAAGAUGUUAAUCAUAUUGUUGAAAUCGAUAAGUAGGAUUUGAUUAGUGCAUUCAAUACGUUCUUGUAUUUUCUAUUGUUCCUAUUUCUUAUAGGCUGGCUGGUACCUUCAGAAAGAAAUAAGAGAAUGAAGGAAAUUGACAAGCAAAUACGAGCUUCACUGAUGGGAAUAAUUAAAAACAGAGAGAAGGCAAUGAAAGCAGAGGAAGCUGGAAAUGAUGACUUGGCAUACCGAUGGAGACCAAUUUUAGAGAAAUUGAAGAACAUGGAAACAACAAAAAUGUUGGAAUAAGCUUCAACGAUGUGAUCGAAAAGUGCAAGCAAUUUUACUUUGCUGGCCAGGAGACUACCUCUGUUUUGCUUAAUUGGACAAUGUUGCUAUUGAGCAAGCAUCAAGAUUGGCAAGAACGUGCAAGAAAAGAGUUUUUGCAAGUUUUUUGCAAGAUUAUGGUGGAUUGAAUCACCUCAAAAUUGUAAGUACGAAUGAAAUUGAGUUGAAAUAUGCUUUACUAUAGUUGAUAAAUUUUGGUCGUAUUAAUUUGCUUUUUGUGUGCAUAUCUUACAUGUUCAAAUGAUAUUCUACUAGGUAUCCAGGCUCUAUCCCCCAGUAGUUAUACUGGUCUAGCAGUCGGAAUUUUAGGAUGAAAAACAAUGAAAUUUGGACGGAAACAACAAACAUUUAAGGCUGGCGAUAGCACUGUCCUUAAGAUAUCUCAAGAUGCAGUAUUUCGGUGCAAGAAGGGCUAACAAAAGUAGUUUGAUUUCUAUGAUACAAUUACUAUUACGAUUGUGAUGUUGCACUUCAACUUGAUAGUUUAGAAUAGCAAAACGUACAAUGACGAAAGAAAGGAAAACAGAGAGCAACAAAGAACAGAGAGCAAGAGAGUAAGUUUUCGGAUGAAGAGAGCAAGAGAGUAAAUUUUCGGAUGACCAUAGUGUGAUAUAUUCGGCUCUUUAAAUAGAUACAAGCCCUAACCCCUUUUUCCUCUCUAAAUUCGAAUUAUAAUUAUAUGAGUAAUGAUAUAGUCACGUCAUUAAUUCAUUGGCUGAAUAAAAAUAUAAAAUAAUAAAAAUAAAUCAUGUGGGCCAAGUAAUAUUUAAUUUAACCAAUCUUAUCAUGCCACAUCAGUUUGUACAAAAUAAGUUUGUACAAGAGUUUAUGGCUGUAUCAUCACUCUAAUUAUAUUUAUUAAAUCCUAAUUCGAUUAGGAAUUAAAUUCUCAAUUUAAUUCAAAUUAAAAUAAAUAAAAUUAAAACAAAGGACAAAAACAUAAUAAAUGGCCAAGCCCACACAUAUACACAACACCCCAUGGGGGGAAGGAGGGUCCCCAUUGCGAGUGAGUUAUUGGGUACGAGCAACCAAUUAAUAGAGUCAUGGAAUGAGCUCCUCACUCGCUCUUGGUUUCAUGCAUAUGGGCCUCCUCUUCAUAGGCUUGUUACUACACUAUAUUUGGUAUCUAUAUAAAAACCAACUUAUACUCUGUUGUUUAAGCAAUGUGGAAUAUUGGUAUUUUAAAAUACAAACUCAAUCUUUAACAAUCCUCCACAUAUUUCAAAAUACUCAAUUUCUUUCAUCAUUGUCCAUAGAGUUUAAUGCAUAUGAACUGGUGCCAUUUGGGUUAUGAAUUGGCCAUUGAAUAACUAACCAUGUGUCAUAGGAACUUGGUGAAACUGAUAAUUUCUAUAAACCAAUAUUCUUUUUUUUGUAAGGCAGCUGACUAGAAGCUCACAUUAAACUCUCUCAAUGUUUUGUUGUUCUACGGUUUGGCACUUUAGUAGCCCUGUGCUCUUGUAUUCAUGAGCGCUCUAGAGAAGCAUGUUUAACUCUCAUAGGAACUUAUCCAAUUCCACACUAACAUAGGUGAACCUCCAUCAAGUAUGUCAUGCAGUUUUAACACACCACCAUACAUAAAAAGUGAGUUAUGGAGUUCAUUAAAAGCUCAAUUGCUUAACCUAACUCACUGCGAUAAACAUUAUCUUAUUAUAACGAGGACUUAUAAAUAAAGAAAAUCUUUAUUGAAUAAAAAUAAGAUUACAUAAUAUUGAUAGUGUUCCAAAACAACAAGUAACUUAUUGAACAUUUUUCAUGUGAUCUCCAAUCACAUAGGUAGGGUUACCAUCACUCUUGUCUUCUAAUCUAGACACUAGUCCCAUCUCCCUUGAUGUGAUCUCUACUAAACUCUUGUUUAGUUUUUUUGGUUAGAGGAUCGGCCAAAUUCAACUUUGACCUUAUAAAAUUUAGGCUCAUAACAUCUUAUUCCAGUAGCUGCUUAAUGAUACUGUCUCAUAAUGUCUAUACUCUUUUUAAUAUUCUAAAUUAGUAUAUAUUAAUCAUUUUUACUAUAGUUUACGAUGUUUUUAUAUGAAAAAUAUUGAUGAAAAAUUAUGAAGAUAAAUAAUUUUAAUUUGAAGAAAAUAAAAAAUAAAAAAUAAUAGUAGUCUACUAGUGCACUAUAUUAUCACAAGUUAUAGAGGUAGGUAAUAACAUCAAUUAUUAAAAUUUAUUUAGGUAAGGGUAAAAAUUAAUUAAUUAGAUAGAGAUAUUUUAGAGAAAAUCUUUUAAUGUUAUUAUUUAGACUUUUUAGAUUAAACAAAAAAUUUAAAAAUUAGCUUGGUAACUGAAUGAUUUAGUGAUUGAAAAUUUUCAUUAAGUUGAAAAAAUAAAUGGACUCAAUGAUUUAAAUGAUUUAAAUUAAAUUAAUUAAGUUAAAAAAAAAAAACAGCCGAUUGGUACACCAUAGUUUGUGACCUUGUUUAUCAUGUUUGAGAAUCGUGGAUUAUAUUCAUGAUAAAGAUAAAUGAAAUAGUAGAGAUGAAGAUGAUAGAACCAUUGCGUCUUGUCUGUAUCACAAAGCAGAGUUCUAAUCGUUUUGCAUUUCUCUGAAAGCAGGCCCCAAAAUUAAGCAGAGCCAUUAAUCCCCAUAACAAUAUAAUUGAAAUUCCGUAAAAGCCAAGACAUAGUGGACCUACAUUCGUGUGAAAGCAGAGCACAUCAUGCUGCUUGAUUAUGCAUUUACGAAAAGGCAGUAUAUUUCCUGGCGUCAUAUGACAGAAUACAGAUCUUGUUUCUAGAUGCUUGCCAUUCAAAUGUAGGUUUAGAUUUUAUUUUACAAACAUUUAUACUUAAAAAUUCUUACUAUAUGAAUUUUAGUUUAUUUUUUAAAAUUAAUCGAUCCCAUACAGUCUAGUUCUAGAACAAAGUCCACAGUUCACAGUCGCAUGCAAGCUUGACACGUAUCGUUAACACCGCUUACUGGGGACAAUGUCUUUGUCCGGGGAAAUUCUGAAAUCAUCGAUCCAGAAAACACCUAAUCAAAGACACAUGCAAAGGAAAACGAUUUUCUCAUUCGCUUGAUGACUAUAUAUACUCUUCUCGUUCGUCUCUUCAAAUUUAAACCCACAAAAUCUGUCAGUGUGAAAUGGAGUUGCCUCUGAAAUCCAUAGCUUUGACCAUUGUUAUUGUAACGGUGCUAACAUGGGCAUGGAGAGUGCUGAACUGGGUGUGGCUGAGGCCCGAGAAGCUGGAGAAAUUCCUGAGACAGCAAGGUUUAAAAGGCAAUUCUUACAGGCUUCUGUUUGGUGACUUGAAAGAAAAUUCCAUCGAGCUGAAGGAAGCCAAAGCCAGACCCCUCAGUUUGGAUGACAAUAUUGCUAUUCGUGUCAAUCCAUUCCUUCAUAAACUGGUAAAUGAUUAUGGUAUGUAUGUCAAUCCCGGCGUGUACUCUUUUAACUUUACUCGUUCAAAAGUAGAUUUGUUCUGUUCUGGACUCAAAUGACUCAAAUAUCUGGACUGCGCCACUGCUUAAAGAAUUAAUCCUGUCUGAUGAAAGAAAUUUGAUUAGACUUCUGAUUCAGAAGAGAUGUUUCACGUAAAGAUAAUUCUGGAAAAUUUUGGUGGGUUAAAACAUAAUUUUAUUUUUACGCUUCUUUGAUCAGAGAAAAAAAUCGAUGUUGCAGCUAAACUUCUCUCUCUCUCUCUCUCUUUUCUUUUUAAUUAAGUGGUGAUACUUUACCACUCAGCCUUGACCGAGUGGCUAGAACCACUAAUGUCUUGAUGAGAUAGGCGUGUGGGUGUAAUUCAACCAGUGGAUGGGCUAUGCCACAUGUAAAAUUUCCAGAGGGCAGCGUUGUUCCUUUUGCUGAGUGUUGUCUGAUUAAUUCACUGUUUCAAAGCCAUUAGGCUUUUACAUAAUCUUAUAAAAUCGUGCCAUGUUUCUAAUUGUUUACCUUAUAAUGGGCAAAGUUGCUUGUUAGAUCUUUUCUGCUUGAAGUAAAAUCAAUUAGUAUGAAUGGUUAUUCUUUGACUGAUUUGUGAAUAAAAUAACUAAAUUUUCACAGCUUAGGUAUACUACCAUUUUCAAUGUACCAUCUGCCUCUAGCAAGUAACAUGUGCGUAUAUAUUGGUAAAAAAAUUCUGCAGGUAAGAAUUCUUUCAUGUGGUUUGGUCCGACACCAAGGGUGAACAUUAUGAAUCCUGAUCAAAUAAAAGAGAUAUUUACCAGGAUCAAUGAUUUUCAAAAAGUCAAUUCAAUCCCACUUGCCAGGCUGCUGAUAGUUGGAUUGGCUACCCUUGAGGGGGAGAAGUGGGCUAAACAUAGAAAACUCAUCAACCCAGCCUUCCACCAAGAGAAGCUCAAGGUUUAUUAAUUAACUUCUCCAUUUGUUUACAUAUCUUUGGAAGAUUCGAUUUUGCCCUCAUUUAGAUUUCUUGCUUUUGUUACAGCUUAUGUUGCCAGCAUUCUACUUGAGUUGUAUCGAAAUAAUUACAAAGUGGGAGAAGCAAAUGUCUGUAGAAGGAUCAUCUGAGUUGGAUGUAUGGCCUUAUCUUGCAAAUUUAACAAGUGAUGUGAUUUCUCGAACGGCUUUUGGGAGUAGUUAUGAAGAAGGAAGAAGGAUUUUUCAGCUCCAGGCAGAGCUAGCUGAACUCACAAUGCAAGUCUUUCGUUCAGUUCACAUUCCAGGAUGGAGGUAUAUUCACAUUUCUCUUCACUGGAAACAUUCAUAUAUACAUGUCAUAUAGGAUUAUUUAUGAGUAGGCUUUGAUUAGCUUUGUGGGAGUUAUUUUCUUUCGCGCAAAAUAUUAGAAGUAGACCUAGCUGAUUUCGGCUCAGAUAUCUUGAUUGUGCUACUGCUGUACGGCCAAGGCGGAUGUACGGUACAGCAGAAAAAAAAAAGAGUAUGCAGAGUAAAAANNNNNNNNNNNNNNNNNNNNNNNNNNNNNNNNNNNNNNNNNNNNNNNNNNNNNNNNNNNNNNNNNNNNNNNNNNNNNNNNNNNNNNNNNNNNNNNNNNNNNNNNNNNNNNNNNNNNNNNNNNNNNNNNNNNNNNNNNNNNNNNNNNNNNNNNNNNNNNNNNNNNNNNNNNNNNNNNNNNNNNNNNNNNNNNNNNNNNNNNNNNNNNNNNNNNNNNNNNNNNNNNNNNNNNNNNNNNNNNNNNNNNNNNNNNNNNNNNNNNNNNNNNNNNNNNNNNNNNNNNNNNNNNNNNNNNNNNNNNNNNNNNNNNNNNNNNNNNNNNNNNNNNNNNNNNNNNNNNNNNNNNNNNNNNNNNNNNNNNNNNNNNNNNNNNNNNNNNNNNNNNNNNNNNNNNNNNNNNNNNNNNNNNNNNNNNNNNNNNNNNNNNNNNNNNNNNNNNNNNNNNNNNNNNNNNNNNNNNNNNNNNNNNNNNNNNNNNNNNNNNNNNNNNNNNNNNNNNNNNNNNNNNNNNNNNNNNNNNNNNNNNNNNNNNNNNNNNNNNNNUCUCUCUGGGUAAACUCUGAGAUUUCCCUGCGAAUAGCAUUGGUUUUAUGCACUGGGAAAUAUUUAUUCAAAAAUUUAGUUACCAUUUGUUCCCAUGAUGAAAUGCUAUUGGCAGGCAAUGUAUUAAGCCAUGAACGAGCUCUAUCCUUUAAAGAAAAUGGGAAUAAUCUGAGUUUAACAUCAUCGUCUGAAAAAUUUUCAUAUUUAAAAGUUUGACAAAUGGCAUGAAAAUCAUUCAGAUGAUUAUAUGGGUCCUCAUUUUCUAGGCCAUAAAAUGUGGGGAGACAAUUUAGCACACUAGGUUUUAAUUCAAAGCUCCUAGCAGCUACAUUUGGGUAUCUUAUGCAUGAUGUGCUCAAAUUAGCUAAGGGACCUGCUGUACGGCCAAGGCGGAUGUACGGUACAGCAGAUAAGAUUAGCAUGAUGCCAAUGUAGACUCUUUUAUAAUGAAGUUUAAUGCCAACGGAACUCUGUUUAGAUAUUUAAAUUGUGCUCAACACAACUCUAGUUUUAUUUAGAGUAAAGAAGUUUCCCCACAUUGGAAAAUUUUAUAAUGCCAUGAUUAGAAUUACAGCAUUAAUGGUGUGGUAAAAAAUAUAUUUUAUAAAAUUAUACAUAAGAUAAGUGAUUGGAAGAUAAAACAUGUAAAUUAAUAUAAACCAGUUAAUUAUUAAAAUAAUUAACAUGAUUUCUACAUAAUUUUAGUGAAAAAAUAAUUUAUUCAUUUACUUUAGCUAAACAAUGAAAAAAAAAUAGUCAUCAAUCUAAGACCAAAAAAAUUAUACUGAAAACAAGUAGAAUAAGUUUUACUAAAUUGGUUUAAGAAUAAAUUCUAUAUUUGUCUUAAGAUAUUUAUAAACUUAUUUUUUUUCAUUUUCUGUCAUUUUUUUUUUUUUGUUUUACUACACAAGUUAACUAUGCGAAAUAAUUUAUCUUAAUGUGGAUUAAACAAAAAAUAAAAUAAAAAUAUAUUCUUAUAUUACUAAACACAUAGAUGACAUAUUAAUAAAAUUAAAUCUAGUUUUGAGUUUUACAUAAACUUCUUGUAAUUUUAACCGUCACCCCUUACUUGUAUUUAGAAACUAUUUGCAUUGCUGAUGAGGAGAUUUAGAAGGAUGAAAAAUCAUGUCAUCUUACAAUAAAUUCGAAAAACAUUAAAAGAAUAGAUUUCAAAAUCUAAUUUUGAGAAUAAAUUUAUAUAAAACAUCACAUUUAUUACAUAAGAUAAAAACUAUCAUUAUUCAAUUUAAAAUAGAAUCAAUAAAUAUAUAAGGUAAUCAAUAUUAUAAUGAAUUUUUAUUUUACAUUUGUAAGUUUUUUUUAAUAAAUCUUAUAUUAAUUUUGUAAAUUACACCUAAACUUAUGUUUUAUUUUGUACUUAAUAUUGAUUUAUAGUUUUAUAUUAUAUCUUUAAAUUUUUAUUUUGUUUACUACUAAUAGUUUUAUAUUAUAUCUUAUAUUAAUUUACUUAUUUUAUCUUUUAUUUACAUGUCUUAUGUUUCAUUUACGCAAUUUAUAUUUUAUUUCACACUUAAUAUUGAUUUAUAAAUUAUAUAUUACAUUUGUAAGUUUUUCUUUUAUUUACCAAUAAUAUACCAAUUUAUCACUCCUAUAUUAAUUUGUUUGUUUUACCUUCUACUUACAAGUCUAAUAUUUUAUUUACAUAAUUUAUAUGUUAGUUCACAGUUAAUAUUGAUUUACAUGUUUUAUAUUAAAUUUAUAAGUCUUAUGUUUCAUUUACAUAAUUCAUAUUUGAUUACAUAAAUUCAUGACAUCAUCGAGUGACCUUGUACUUUAUAAUCGAGAGAGGCUAUUUAUUUAUAUAUUCUAAAAGUUAUUUUUAAUCCUCUUUAUUUAAUAAAAUUUUAGAUUAUAAAAACGUCCUUUUAUGAAAUUAGUAUUAAGGAUUGAAUAAUUUUAACUUGAAACAAAUAUCCUUGACACACCCAUGUAUUAUAAAAUCUUAAAUCACCAUCAUCAUCUUCUUCUUCUUUUUAAAUCAAUUCUUUAUCAAUUGGAAAAUUUGAAAGAUUGAAGAGUUCUUUGCAAAUUUUUGUCAUGGGUGCACGUAUCCUCACUCUAAUAUCGUUUUCACCAAAUAUAUUUCAUUAACAUCUUCGAAAUAAGAUUAACGGAAAAUUAUAUUUAUGUAACUGAUACCUCAAUGAUAAAUUGUAGGCAAUACAUACUAAAAAUCAAAAUCACAAGAACUAUGAUUCAAUAGAAGAAACGAAGAAUUAUGAUUCAAUAAAAGAAAAAGGGAUAUAUAAUUUAUCUCAAGCCUUUAAUAAGAAGAGAGAAAUUACUUUAGAAAAAGAAUAAUAAAACAGGAGCCCAAAAAAAAAAAAAUCAAGACUAUUUUUUAGAUUUAUAUAUUUUACAUAGGGAUAUUAUCAUUUUCCCACUAAAGGUAUUCUGACACAUCAUGUCAGUACCAUGGUUUGGUAAAACUAUCAUUUUACCACUAAAUGUUUAAACUGUUAGCAUUUUCCCACAAUUCCGUUAACUGAAUAAAAAUUAUGCUGACGUCAUAAGGGUAUUUUGGACAUAUCACGUGAGGCGAAAACGUUGCGUUUUGCAAUUGUAAAGAAAGCGGGCAAUUUGGACAUGGAGCCCUAGAAAUCGAAAUCAAUCCCCCUCUCUCUCGAUUCUUCUUCCAUCUCUGCUCUCUCUCGCUCAUUGUAACUGACGCAUAUCUCUCUCACUCUCGCAGCAGUGUUCUUCCAUCUCUACUGUCUUCUACUUUGUCCAUUGUAAGUAGGAUUACUGCUUGGUUAUUGUUAAUGAAUUUUUGCCAUUUUAUUUGUAAUCAUCAAGCUUACAUGCAUUUGCCGUUUUGCUGUAAUUUUGGUUAUUGGGCAUAAUUUUGAUUAUUGUUCGUUACUUUUUACCUAAUUAAAUUGCUUUGAGUUGUGAUUAGCACUUGAAUUUAAUAGAUUAGGAUUAUUAGUUGCCUAUUGUUAAUUAAUUUUUGCUUACUGUUAAUUAAUUUUUUAUUUGUAACCAUUAAGCUUACAUGCAUUUGCCGUUUUGCUGAAAUUUUGGUUAUUGGCCAUAAUUUUAGUUAUUUUUCAUUACUUUUUACCUAAUUAAAUUGCUUUGAGUUGUGAUUGGCACUUGAAUUUAAUAGAUUAGGAUUAUUAGUUGCCUAUUGUUAAUUAAUUUUUGCUUACUGUUAAUUAAUUUUUUAUUUGUAACCAUUAAGCUUACAUGCAUUUGCCGUUUUGCUGAAAUUUUGGUUAUUGGCCAUAAUUUUAGUUAUUUUUCAUUACUUUUUACCUAAUUAAAUUGCUUUGAGUUAUGCUGUAAUUUCAGUUAUUCAAAAUGUUUCCUCGUUUUUAAUCUUAUAGAUGAUGUUACCAUUACAACUACAUUUACUUUACAAAGGUGAAAGACAUCGUAUANNNNNNNNNNNNNNNNNNNNNNNNNNNNNNNNNNNNNNNNNNNNNNNNNNNNNNNNNNNNNNNNNNNNNNNNNNNNNNNNNNNNNNNNNNNNNNNNNNNNNNNNNNNNNNNNNNNNNNNNNNNNNNNNNNNNNNNNNNNNNNNNNNNNNNNNNNNNNNNNNNNNNNNNNNNNNNNNNNNNNNNNNNNNNNNNNNNNNNNNNNNNNNNNNNNNNNNNNNNNNNNNNNNNNNNNNNNNNNNNNNNNNNNNNNNNNNNNNNNNNNNNNNNNNNNNNNNNNNNNNNNNNNNNNNNNNNNNNNNNNNNNNNNNNNNNNNNNNNNNNNNNNNNNNNNNNNNNNNNNNNNNNNNNNNNNNNNNNNNNNNNNNNNNNNNNNNNNNNNNNNNNNNNNNNNNNNNNNNNNNNNNNNNNNNNNNNNNNNNNNNNNNNNNNNNNNNNNNNNNNNNNNNNNNNNNNNNNNNNNNNNNNNNNNNNNNNNNNNNNNNNNNNNNNNNNNNNNNNNNNNNNNNNNNNNNNNNNNNNNNNNNNNNNNNNNNNNNNNNNNNNNNNNNNNNNNNNNNNNNNNNNNNNNNNNNNNNNNNNNNNNNNNNNNNNNNNNNNNNNNNNNNNNNNNNNNNNNNNNNNNNNNNNNNNNNNNNNNNNNNNNNNNNNNNNNNNNNNNNNNNNNNNNNNNNNNNNNNNNNNNNNNNNNNNNNNNNNNNNNNNNNNNNNNNNNNNNNNNNNNNNNNNNNNNNNNNNNNNNNNNNNNNNNNNNNNNNNNNNNNNNNNNNNNNNNNNNNNNNNNNNNNNNNNNNNNNNNNNNNNNNNNNNNNNNNNNNNNNNNNNNNNNNNNNNNNNNNNNNNNNNNNNNNNNNNNNNNNNNNNNNNNNNNNNNNNNNNNNNNNNNNNNNNNNNNNNNNNNNNNNNNNNNNNNNNNNNNNNNNNNNNNNNNNNNNNNNNNNNNNNNNNNNNNNNNNNNNNNNNNNNNNNNNNNNNNNNNNNNNNNNNNNNNNNNNNNNNNNNNNNNNNNNNNNNNNNNNNNNNNNNNNNNNNNNNNNNNNNNNNNNNNNNNNNNNNNNNNNNNNNNNNNNNNNNNNNNNNNNNNNNNNNNNNNNNNNNNNNNNNNNNNNNNNNNNNNNNNNNNNNNNNNNNNNNNNNNNNNNNNNNNNNNNNNNNNNNNNNNNNNNNNNNNNNNNNNNNNNNNNNNNNNNNNNNNNNNNNNNNNNNNNNNNNNNNNNNNNNNNNNNNNNNNNNNNNNNNNNNNNNNNNNNNNNNNNNNNNNNNNNNNNNNNNNNNNNNNNNNNNNNNNNNNNNNNNNNNNNNNNNNNNNNNNNNNNNNNNNNNNNNNNNNNNNNNNNNNNNNNNNNNNNNNNNNNNNNNNNNNNNNNNNNNNNNNNNNNNNNNNNNNNNNNNNNNNNNNNNNNNNNNNNNNNNNNNNNNNNNNNNNNNNNNNNNNNNNNNNNNNNNNNNNNNNNNNNNNNNNNNNNNNNNNNNNNNNNNNNNNNNNNNNNNNNNNNNNNNNNNNNNNNNNNNNNNNNNNNNNNNNNNNNNNNNNNNNNNNNNNNNNNNNNNNNNNNNNNNNNNNNNNNNNNNNNNNNNNNNNNNNNNNNNNNNNNNNNNNNNNNNNNNNNNNNNNNNNNNNNNNNNNNNNNNNNNNNNNNNNNNNNNNNNNNNNNNNNNNNNNNNNNNNNNNNNNNNNNNNNNNNNNNNNNNNNNNNNNNNNNNNNNNNNNNNNNNNNNNNNNNNNNNNNNNNNNNNNNNNNNNNNNNNNNNNNNNNNNNNNNNNNNNNNNNNNNNNNNNNNNNNNNNNNNNNNNNNNNNNNNNNNNNNNNNNNNNNNNNNNNNNNNNNNNNNNNNNNNNNNNNNNNNNNNNNNNNNNNNNNNNNNNNNNNNNNNNNNNNNNNNNNNNNNNNNNNNNNNNNNNNNNNNNNNNNNNNNNNNNNNNNNNNNNNNNNNNNNNNNNNNNNNNNNNNNNNNNNNNNNNNNNNNNNNNNNNNNNNNNNNNNNNNNNNNNNNNNNNNNNNNCUGCUGUACGGCCAAGGCGGAUGUACGGUACAGCAGAUACAAGAUGGAGAGGGAAUUACAGAAAAUGGAUCCGAAAAAUGGAUUCAGAGAUAUCAAAUUAGGGGGGGGAGGCCCCUUUUUAUAGAUACAUGGAGUAAAUCAUGGCCAUCGGAUUAAAAAUAGUUUGGACGCUCAGGAUUGCGCCACGUCAUCAGUCAACAUUCCACGGUUUGACCACGCGGAUGAACAGUAUGCGGUUUGGUUGAAAAUAAUCCUGUGUGAUGCAUGCAUCGUACGCGAGAUUUUUCGUCCACUGAUAUGCUGCCACGUCACCAUCAACAGUACAUAAGAGUUUUAGUCCAACAGGAUCGUGACACCUCAUCAGUCAAUGCCACAUCAUUGGUCAAUGCCACGUCAUUGAUCCGUCUAUGUGAACAGUGUCGUGAACAGUAACGUAGACAGUACCGUAUACAUGAAUAGUACCGUAUAUGUGAAUAGUGUCAUUUUUUCUUUUAUGCUCCUCCUAAGGUUUUCGACCGUCCUGAGUUCAAAAGUGAUGUCCGUUUUGCCAUCUGAUCUCUCAUUUAUUGUGAAAUGACUAUAAUGCCCCUAAAAUACAUAAAAUACUUAAUUAAAAUAAAACACAUGUAAUUAAAUCACAAGAAGGUUAAAUACAUAAAAGUAAGGGUUGUUAAUAAGACUUGAAAUGUAAAAUGACGGUUUUCUCCUUUAUAAAUAUGCAUUUUCUAACACUCAACAGGUAUGGAUGCUAAUAAUGGAAUGGUCCCAUUAGCAUUAGCAGUGUGUGAGAUAGAGAAUACUGAAACCUGGUCGUGGUUUUUAGAAAUUCUGCAUUCGUAUUUUGAUAAUGGCUUAGAGCAUAUUACAUUUUGCUAAGAUAGGCAAAAGGGUUUGUUGGGGGCCAUUGAGAUAACUUGGCCUACUGCAUAUCAUAGACCAUGUGCUAGGCAUAUAUAUACUAACUUCUACAAAGAACAUCCUGGUGUUAGUUUGAGAAAUCUGUUUUGGAGGGCUGUCAGUAGCACUAACAAGUAUGAUUACGCUAUUGCAAUGGAAAACCUCAAAAAAGAGAAGUUAGAGGCAUGGCAGUGGCUGGAGACUGAGCUUGCUGGGUUUACUUGGUCAAGACAUGAGUAUGACAAGAAUUGCAAGGUAGAUCGUACAACUAACAACACUUCAGAGUGUUUUAAUAGUUGGAUAUUACCCCACAGAGAGAAGCCUUGCUUGAACAUGCUUGAAGAAAUUAGAUGCAUGUUCAUGACACUCUUCACAAAAAGGAAAAAAGAAGCACAAUCUUAGACCAACAUUCCACCUAGAGUGAAAAAAGAAUUGGAUGUUGCAUAUGAAUGUGGAAGCAAGAUGAAUGUAAUGGCUUCUGGGGAUCUUCACUUUCAAGUAUAAUUCUAACUCAUGUUCCUUAUAAUUAAUUUUUUCCUGAACCUGAAUGUUUGUUAGGUUAAUCAAUUUUUUUUCCUCAACCUUAUAAUUAUUAUUUAAUCAUUAUGUAAUUUUUGUUAGGUUAAACACAAGGGUUAUUAUCCAACAAGGAGGUUCAUUGUCGAUCUCAUGAGCAGGUCUUGUGAUUGUGGUUAUUGGGACCUAGCUGGAAUCCCCUGUACUCAUGUUAUGGCUGCAAUUAGUCAUGCUAGACACACAGCAACAGAGUAUCUACCAAAAUACUUCGGCAAAGAGGCGUACUUGAACACAUAUGCAGUGAUGUUCAAGCCAAUUCCUAACAAAGUUACAUGGGACCCUUGUGAUAGGCCCAAGCUCUUUCCACCUGAGAUUACCAAGAAGAUUGGUAGACCAAAAAUGUCAAGGAAAAGGGCAGCCACUGAGCCAAUAAAAAAAAAAAAAUCAUUUUAUAUCUGCUGCUCAUUUUGUGGUGGGAUGAACCACAAUGUCAGGAAAUGUGCAUUAAGGCCAUCGAUAGCAAGAUAAUUAAGAGCUCAGCAGGUAACAGCCACUUAACCUAAUGUUUUAAUUGUUUUUAUGUGUAUUGAAAUUAAUUUUUUAUUGUUUGUUAUCUAUGUAAUUUUAAAUAGGGAGUUAGUGGGCCGGGAGAAAGUUCUAAUGCAGCAAGUACUUCAAAGAGGACAAAGAAAGUGGUAAUUUGUUUAUUGUUAUUCAUUGAGUAAUUUUUAGUUUGUUAUAAAUAUUGAUGAUUUGAUUAUUUAUAUAUUUCAAUUUAAAUAGGCUGUAGGUGGUUCACAAGAGAGCUUUAUUGCUCAUAGAGGAAGAUGAGGUACUGGUAAUAGAGGAAGAGGAAGGAAUAGAGGCCGAAGGGGCCAAAGGAGUAACAGAGCAAGAGCAAGAGGCGAUGGAGUAAGAAGACGUAACAAUGGUAAGUUAUUGUUUCAAAUUAAUGUUUGAUGUCUGCAAAUAGCUAUUGUUGGUCUUAGAUAAUGAGGUAAUAAUUUUUUUGUCCUGGCCAAUAUGAAGCUGAUAAUGUUUCCCCGAAUCCAACUCAAGGCUCACAAGCUUCACAGAUAUUAGAUGCUGUAUGAAAUAACCAUUAAGGUGCUGUUAUGUAUUUUAGAUGCACAAAACUUUAUAUUAGUGCAUUAAGUUACUGUUAUGUAUUUUAGAUGCACAAACUUUAUAUUAAUGCAUUAAGUUGUUGUUAUGUAUUUUGGAUGCACAAACUUUAUAUUAGUGCAUUAAGUUGCUGUUAUGUUUUUGGAAUCCACAAACUGUUUUGAUUACUUUCCAGUUGCAUUACAUCUUAAACUAUAAUGCUUCAUUACAUCUUCAGCUACAAUGAUUGAUUGCUACAAUAUUUUUUCAUGUUUAUUACAUUACUUCCUCAUAAAUAAGCCUAUCACAAUGCCACAAAUAAAAACUACGACCAAUUUCAGUUUCGCUUCAAUGCAUCGUAGUAGUUCACUUAUCUUCAUCACAUCUUCAUUUAGGUUCAUGCCAUGAUUGGAUGUAAUGUUACGCAUUUCCAUAUCUUUUUUUGCUGCCCAUUGCCAAAAAUUACACUUUUUAAACCUGCAUGUACAAACCUGGCAUGAUUGCUAGUAAUAAAAUGAGCUUACUGGUGUUUAAAAAUGGCUUGGGCUUGCUGGUGCAGUGGUAUUGAAAUGUUUACUGUGGCUUGUAGUUGUGCUGGGUUGCCAUUUUCUUUCUUUUUCAGCUGGGUUGUUGGUGCUCAAAUGGGGUUGCUGGUAGGGGUGGGCAAAAUACCCGACCCGACCCGAAAAAUUUCGGGUUCGGAUCGGAUCGGAUCGGGUUAUAAAGGAAAUCCGAUCGGGUUGUGAUCGGAUCAGGUCAAAUCCGAUCCGAUCCGAAAACCCGAUCGGGUUGCUUUAAAAAAAAAAACCUAAAUCUAAACACACACGCCACACACAAACAACCUAAAUGGCUAAACAGAACAUAUACGAACACUAUGGCUCACAGACUCACACCAACACUCUCUGUGUUCUUUCUCUUCACUCUCUUCUUUCUCUUCUUUCUCACUCUCCGUGUUCUUUCUCUUCACUAUCUUCUUUCUCUUCUUUCUCACAACUCACACAAACAACUCUCUUUUUUCUCUUCACUGUCUUCUUUCUCUUCUUUCUCGCAACAACAAAACUACAGACGGUUAGCACAGCAACGGCCAUAUGCAGCACACCACUCGACCAGAUCUGCUGCACUGACGACAGGAUCUGCUUGCUGCUGCAUCGACGGUUGCUGCACUUCACUUCGAUUGGAUCUGCUUUUCCGGUAGCCACCGACAAAACCUGUGAAGCCAUGAGCCAUCGACGAAACCCGUUGCCGCUUGAUCCAUCGGCUGCUGCUUGACCCGCGCGAAGUGAUCCAUGGUUGUUCUUCCAACGAGACCGAGACUGAGAUUCAUGACACCAAGUCCUCCAAGCUCACAACUUUUUCAAUUCUAUUUCAGUUUAUAUUUUUUUUAUGACAGUCAUUGGAAAGUGGAAAUGGACUAAAAUGAACUAAUUGCAUAAAAGUGAUCUUGUAAUUAUUAAAUAAUUAUUAAACAACCCAAAAUUAACACAAAUGACUUUUUUUGUCCUUAACCCGAAUUGACCCGAAAUUGAUCCGAAUUUUAGAUCCGACCCGAAUAUAACCCGAUCCGAUCCGAUCUGAUCUAAAAUUCGGGUUGAGUUCGGAUGAGUUUCUCUCCAACCCGAUCAACCCGAAAUCUGAUCGGGUUGAUCCGAACCCGAUUUUGCCCACCCCUACUUGCUGGCCUUUGAUUUGGGGUUGCUGGUUGCGGGUUGAAAUGGCAACCAGCAGCAGCUCUUAUAAGCAUAAAAGUAGCCGUUAUUUGAAUGUAACAGCUACUUUUGGGGUUAUUUUUGUAAUUUAAUCAUCACUUAUUGUUGUUCAUUCUUAAAGGGCAAAAUCGUCUUUUACGCUCUAGGGGUAAAAUUGACCUUUUAAUAAUUUUUCGUUAAAUAUUAACUGAGUUUUAACGAAAUGGUGGGAAAAUGCUAACAGUUUAAACGUUUGGUGGUAAAAUGAUAGUUUUAUCAAACCAUGGUACUGACAUGAUGUGUCAGAAUACCUUUGGUGGAAAAAUGAUAAUAUCCCUUUUACAUAGUAAAAAUUUGAUUUUAAAUUUUAAACGUUGUAUUUGGAGUAAUGAGUGCGCAAGCGGACCUAAGCGGGGGUGUAGCCCGGAUUAGUCCAGGAAAGUUAUUUAUACCCCUUAUUUUUUUUAUUAAUUUUAGAUAAUAAUAUAGUUUUAUUUUUUUUAUAUAUGUCCCUAAUUUAACUACCCUUAUGUUUUUUUUAAAUCAGUUUUAUAAAAUAAUAGAGUUUUUAUUUUAUUUUCAAACAUGUUCCUAAUUCAAUUAUAUUUUCUUCCCAGUUGGAAUUAGUGACUUAUUUCAUGAAAUAAUUAAAUUAUAUAUUUAUUGAAUAGAUUGAAAAGAUUUGGGGACUAAAAUAUUAUUACUGUUUUAAUUUAUUUAUAAAAAUAAUUUAAUUGAAAAAAUGCCAAUACUUACAAAAAAAGAUAUAUAGUAACAACUAUCUAUCAACAUUUCAUAAACUUUUAUGUGAAUUUUGAGAUUUUAGUUAUUAGUUACAUUAACCAAGAGGACAAGUUAGAAGAUAAAAUUUAAAUAUUUUGAGGAGUUUUUGAUAGAAAAACUAUCAACAGUAGGUUCUUUAAAAAAAAGGUAGAGUGUAUGACAAAGAAACAAUGACACCCAAAUAAAUUUAUGUUAAGUUGAGUUUAGUUUAUUAUUGAAAUUUUUGACUAAUAAUAUUUUAAAAUUUAAAAAGAUGAAUAAAUUUUAAUUGUUUAAUUUAUUUAAGUUUGGUAAUUAAGUACUUGACUUCAAAUAUAAAAGUUUUACUACCAUUUUUAAUAAAUUGUGAUUACAUGUAUAGAUUUAUUUUAACUUGAAAUUCUUAAUUGAUUUACUUAAAGGUUUUAUUGAGGACUUUUUUAGUAUUUUAAAGAGUGUGCAGAAUUAAGAGAGUAGCUUUUUUAGUAUUUUAUGAGAUCAUGGCUGCAGCUGUUAAGAGAGUAGCUUUAAAAGGAAAUGUGGCAAACAUGGAGGCAGAAGCAGUGCUGCUCGGUAUUCAAGUAGGUCAGAAAACAAAUUGUGCCCAAUUCAUUGUUGAAUCAGACUUGAAGGAAGUUGUGGAGCUCACUUUAAACAAGAAGGAAAGUUUAGCUAAAAUUUGUUGGAACAUUGAAGAAAUACAAGCAGAGUUGAAAAACCAGGCCUCGGCAGCUAUUCGUUUUGUCCCAAGAAAGUGUAAUGUAAUAGCCCAUAACUUAGCUAAUGUAGCUCUUGAGUUUGAGGAAGCUGUCACCUGGAUAGGUGAUUUCCCUGUCCAGGUGUUGAUGUUGUUCUCUUCUUCUUAAUCAAUUGAAAGCUUUACUUUCUCAUAAAAAAAAAAAAAGAGUGUGCAGAGUAAAAACUAAUUAUUUUAAAGAGUGAGUAUAUUUGAACCCACCAAAUUACUUUGUAAACUCAUCUACUUAUUAAUUCUAUUGUUAAAAAUUUUAUAUUAUACUUUAUAAACUCAUGUUAAUAACCAACAUAUGCUUGAAAUUAAUUCAUGAUUUUCUGCAACAUUUUUCUUCUCUUCUUCUUCUUCCAGCUCUCCAACCCUUGACGCAUUCAUAACCAAAGGUCGUAUCCUUCAACUUCUCAAGUGGAAUUUAUUUUUUGUCCGUGCUUGUCAUUAAACUGCUAUAAAAUAUAUAUAAUAUCAUGAAAAAAUUAAAUGACAAUAAGAUGAUAGUUGUAAUGAAUAAUCAAUUGAUUACACAACUAAUUCAAGCGCUCAAUAUUUGUCAAUGGCAUAACUCUUCCCUUUCUUAUAUAGUGCAAAUUUAAUGAAAUAAAUUUUAGGGAAAUUAUCAGCCAUAUACCCUUAAAUGACACCCGUAUCAAACGUGUGUGAACACUUUUCAAGUGUAUUACUCGUAUACCCUAAGUUGAGAACACUUUUCAAGUGUAUUACUCGUAUACCCUAAGUUGAGAACACUUUUCAAGUGUAUUACUCGUAUACCCUAAGUUGAGAACACUUUUCAAGUGUAUUACUCGUAUACCCUAAGUUGAGAACACUUUUCAAGUGUAUUACUCGUAUACCCUAAGUUGAGAACACUUUUCAAGUGUAUUACUCGUAUACCCUAAGUUGAGAACACUUUUCAAGUGUAUUACUCGUAUAUCCUAAGUUGACAAAACACUUCUGCCAUCCACCAAUCCGUUAACUUCCAUUAGAAAGUUAACAGAAUUGUGACAAAUUGGCUAUUUUGCCCUUGAAACUCAAAAUAUAAGGUAAAAAGAUAAAUUUACCCCAAAAAUUAACGUAAAUUUUUAAUACACAAUUUUUUUUAUUUUGUUAUUAACAAUACAUUUUUUUGAUUAAAAAAAAUGAAUUAUUAAUGGUACAUAUUAUUAACAAUUAUUCAUAAAAAAAAUCCAUAUUAUACCAUAAAAAAUUAUUAACAACAUAUUAUUCACAAUUAUACAUAUUAUACCAUAAAACUUUCCAGUUGGAGCUUGGAGGAGUAGAUCUUCAAAAUUAGGUUAAAUUUUAAAGGCGUAUAUUCGGUUGUAAAGUAGUUUUUUUUAGCAAUUAUUUACAAUUAUCCGAUAAAUGGGAUGACAUGUUAUUUUUAUCAAUAUAUAUCAUAUGACAUGUCAUUUUGUACUAGGUAAAUGGGAUGACAUGUCCUUUUUUUAAAUCAAAGUUUCGUCAAUCUUAAAAGACUAAAUUGCCCUUAUGAUGUUCGCGCUUGCAAACGGAAGUUAACGGAUUGGCGGACGGCAGAAGUGUUUUGUCAACUUAGGGUAAACGAGUGAUACAUUUCAAAAGUGUUCACACACGUUUGAUACGGAUGUCAUUUAAGAGUAUACGACUGAUAAUUUUCCUAAAUUUUAUUGCUUGAAUCUAGAAUAGCUUGACUAGAACUUAUUGGUUUAUUGGAUUCCAAUGAGCUUUACUGGUGAGAUAGUUUUGACCAAAUCCAAGUAUCCAACAACUCGAUUGGAUUUGUUUUCGACCAAAGGAGUUGAAGAAAAUUUUUAAAAAAAUUUAAAAGUAUGAAACAAAUUUUCUCUUAUGUCCACAUUGAACAAAUUUAGACAUGAUUAAAAGAUGAGAGCAUGAAGUAUAUACAUACUAUUAUGUCUUUAAUAGUGAUUUACAUUAGAGACAAUUUAGUAGUAAAAAUGUUUUCUAAAACAUGGGUCAAAUGAGUAUUAUGGUGGAUUCAAAUAGUCCCACCAUUUUUCAAAAGAUUAGGUUAUUUAUACUCCAAAAAUUACUUUGAACACUUUAUUACUUUGUACAAUAAUGUGUUGAAUUUAAAAUAAUUAAAUUUUACUUUCUACACUCUUUAAAAUAAAAAAAAAGGACCUUAAUUAAACUAGUUAAACUAAUUUACUCAAAACACCAAUUAAACUAUUGAGCAUCCAAAAUGAAUUAAUAACAACUUAGUAUAUACACAAAGGAAUCAAAUUAUAUUCUAAACAUAUUCUUUAUUAGCUUUUGUCUAUUAAAGAAUGUAUUCAAUAUUAGUUUUUGCACCCAAUUUAUUAACCAAACAAUUGAAAAUUUUUUUGCUAUCUAGCCAAAAAAAAAAAAAAAAGAAAGAAAAAAAAGGAAAAAAAGAGGAAGAAGAAAUAGCCGAAGAAAAAGAAGACUAAAAGAAGGAUGAGGAAGAGGAAGAAGACAGCAAUUUUUUUUUUGUCUUCUGAAAAUCAAAGAGUAAAAAUAUGCUCAAAAUAUAUUAAAAGUAUUGAUUUGCUCUUUGUUUAACUAAAUAUUGUUUAAGAUAUUGGAUUUAAAAUUUUUCGGGUUUAUGGUAAGAUAAUCAUAUAUUGAAUAGUGAGUGUUUGGAGUAAUUUUAUUAUGUUAGUUUAUAAGAGAGAUUCCAUAUUGGAAAUUCAUAUAAUAAGUAUUUUUGUAAUAAAACAAUUUAUUAAAAUAAGAAUAUUCUAGUAAUGUUAAGAGUGCAAAUAGCCCCACCCUUUUUAUAAAAUAAGUAAAUGAGUAUACAUAAAUAAUAGUAUAUUUUGAGUAUGUUUUAAAGGGCAAAUAGGCCCACCAUGCAUAAUUUAUUUAGAUGAGUUUUAUUUUAUUUAUUUUUUGUUAAUUUCAGUUAUCUCUAAAUUCUUGUAAACCUUAAUUUACCCUAAUGAUCAUUCAAAAAAUAAGAUCAAAUGGGAACGAUUGAUGAUUUCUUUUUUCUUUUUUUACCUUCUUAAUAGUAAUUGUGGAUUGAUUAAUGUUUAUUAUAGUUUGAGGAUAUUUUGAGAAUAAUUAAUGUAUUAGGGGUAAACAAUUUUUUUUUUUNNNNNNNNNNNNNNNNNNNNNNNNNNNNNNNNNNNNNNNNNNNNNNNNNNNNNNNNNNNNNNNNNNNNNNNNNNNNNNNNNNNNNNNNNNNNNNNNNNNNNNNNNNNNNNNNNNNNNNNNNNNNNNNNNNNNNNNNNNNNNNNNNNNNNNNNNNNNNNNNNNNNNNNNNNNNNNNNNNNNNNNNNNNNNNNNNNNNNNNNNNNNNNNNNNNNNNNNNNNNNNNNNNNNNNNNNNNNNNNNNNNNNNNNNNNNNNNNNNNNNNNNNNNNNNNNNNNNNNNNNNNNNNNNNNNNNNNNNNNNNNNNNNNNNNNNNNNNNNNNNNNNNNNNNNNNNNNNNNNNNNNNNNNNNNNNNNNNNNNNNNNNNNNNNNNNNNNNNNNNNNNNNNNNNNNNNNNNNNNNNNNNNNNNNNNNNNNNNNNNNNNNNNNNNNNNNNNNNNNNNNNNNNNNNNNNNNNNNNNNNNNNNNNNNNNNNNNNNNNNNNNNNNNNNNNNNNNNNNNNNNNNNNNNNNNNNNNNNNNNNNNNNNNNNNNNNNNNNNNNNNNNNNNNNNNNNNNNNNNNNNNNNNNNNNNNNNNNNNNNNNNNNNNNNNNNNNNNNNNNNNNNNNNNNNNNNNNNNNNNNNNNNNNNNNNNNNNNNNNNNNNNNNNNNNNNNNNNNNNNNNNNNNNNNNNNNNNNNNNNNNNNNNNNNNNNNNNNNNNNNNNNNNNNNNNNNNNNNNNNNNNNNNNNNNNNNNNNNNNNNNNNNNNNNNNNNNNNNNNNNNNNNNNNNNNNNNNNNNNNNNNNNNNNNNNNNNNNNNNNNNNNNNNNNNNNNNNNNNNNNNNNNNNNNNNNNNNNNNNNNNNNNNNNNNNNNNNNNNNNNNNNNNNNNNNNNNNNNNNNNNNNNNNNNNNNNNNNNNNNNNNNNNNNNNNNNNNNNNNNNNNNNNNNNNNNNNNNNNNNNNNNNNNNNNNNNNNNNNNNNNNNNNNNNNNNNNNNNNNNNNNNNNNNNNNNNNNNNNNNNNNNNNNNNNNNNNNNNNNNNNNNNNNNNNNNNNNNNNNNNNNNNNNNNNNNNNNNNNNNNNNNNNNNNNNNNNNNNNNNNNNNNNNNNNNNNNNNNNNNNNNNNNNNNNNNNNNNNNNNNNNNNNNNNNNNNNNNNNNNNNNNNNNNNNNNNNNNNNNNNNNNNNNNNNNNNNNNNNNNNNNNNNNNNNNNNNNNNNNNNNNNNNNNNNNNNNNNNNNNNNNNNNNNNNNNNNNNNNNNNNNNNNNNNNNNNNNNNNNNNNNNNNNNNNNNNNNNNNNNNNNNNNNNNNNNNNNNNNNNNNNNNNNNNNNNNNNNNNNNNNNNNNNNNNNNNNNNNNNNNNNNNNNNNNNNNNNNNNNNGUAACUCAAGCUGUGGUAAGUUAUGCCACGAGCAAAAUAACCAGAGCUUAAAAAUUGAUGCAGGCAAUAAUUCAUUUAUGUGGUUCGGUCCGACGCGAAGGUUGAAUAUUGUGAAGCCCGAUCAAAUCAAAGAGAUAUCUACCAAGAUCAAUGAUUUUCAAAAAAUCAAUUCAGAUCCACUUGCCAGAUUAUUGGCACUUGCAUUGGUUAGCCAUGAGGUGACAAGUGGGUUACUAUAGAAAUCUUAUCAACCAGUUCCACCAAGAGAAGCUCUAGGUUAUUAAUUGAUUUCUUCAUUUGUUUACAUAAAUGUCUUCAUUUUAAUUUCUUUCUGUUUCGUUUCAACUUAUGUUGCCUGCGUUCUAGCAAAGUUGUAGUGAAAUAAUUACAAAGUGGGAAAACCUGACGUCAAAAGGAGGAUCGUGUGAGUUGGGUGCACGGCCUUCUCUUGCAAAAUUAACUAGUGAUGUGAUUCUGAGGACGGCUUCUGGGAGUAAUUAGCAAUGUAGGAGUUGAUUUUCUUCCAAAAAUAUGGAAGUAGGUUUGACCCAUCCUGGGCUUAUAACUUCGAUCCAUGUCGUCAUAUGGUUAAUCUAAGAUGUUAAUCAUAUUGUUGAAAUCGAUAAGUAGGAUUUGAUUAGUGCAUUCAAUACGUUCUUGUAUUUUCUAUUGUUCCUAUUUCUUAUAGGCUGGCUGGUACCUUCAGAAAGAAAUAAGAGAAUGAAGGAAAUUGACAAGCAAAUACGAGCUUCACUGAUGGGAAUAAUUAAAAACAGAGAGAAGGCAAUGAAAGCAGAGGAAGCUGGAAAUGAUGACUUGGCAUACUGAUGGAGACCAAGUUUAGAGAAAUUGAAGAACAUGGAAACAACAAAAAUGUUGGAAUAAGCUUGAUCUCAAGAUGCAGUAUUUCGGUGCAAGAAGGGCUAACAAAAGUAGUUUGAUCUCCAUGAUACAAUUACUAUUACGAUUGUGAUGUUGCACUUCAACUUGAUAGUUCAGAAUAGCAAAACGUACAAUGACGAAAGAAAGGAAAACAAAGAGCAACAAAGAACAGAGAGCAAGAGAGUAAGUUUUUGGAUGACCAUAGUGUGAUAUAUUCGGCUCUUUAAAUAGAUACAAGCCCUAACCCCCUUUUCCUCUCUAAAUCUGAAUUAUAAUUAUGUUUAUUAAAUCCUAAUUCCAUUAGGAAUUGAAUUCUCAAUCUAAUUCGAAUUAAAAUAAAUAAAAUUAAAACAAAGGACAAAACAUAAUAGAUGGCCAAGCCCACACUCAUACAUGACACCCCAUGGGGGGAAGGAGGGUCCCCAUUGCGAGUGAGUUAUUGGGUACGAGCAACCAAUUAAUAGAGUCAUGGAAUGAACUCCUCUCUCGCGCUUGGUUUCAUGCAUAUGAGCCUCCUCUUCAUAGGCUUGUUACUACACUAUAUUUGUUUUCUAUAUAAAAACCAACUUGUACUCUUUUGUUUAAGUAAUGUGGAAUAUUGGUAUUUUAAAAUACCAACUCAAUCUUUAACAAUCCUCCACAUAUUUCAAAAUACUCAAUUUCUUUCGACUUCAUCAUUGUCCAUAGAGUUUAAUGCAUAUGAACUGGUGCCUUUGGGGCUAUGAACUGGCCAUUGAAUAACUAACCAUGUGUCAUAGGAACUUGGUGAAACUGAUAAUUUCUAUAAACCAAUAUUCUUUUUUUUGUAAGGCAGAUGACUAGAAGCUCACAUUAAACUCUCUCAAUAUUUUGUUGUUCUGCGGUUUGGCACUUUAGUAGCCCUGUGCCCUUGUAUUCAUGAGCGCUCUAGAGAAGCAUGUUUAACUCUCAUAGGAACUUAUCCAAUUCCACACUAACAUAGGUGAACCUCCAUCAAGUAUGUCAUGCAGUUUUAACACACCAUCAUACAUAAAAAUUGAGUUAUGGAGUUCAUGAAAAGCUCAAUUGCUUAACCUAACUCACUGCGAUAAACAUUAUCUUAUUAUAAGGAGGACUUAUAAAUAAAGAAAAUCUUUAUUGAAUAAAAAUAAGAUUACAUAAUAUUGAGAGCAUUCCAAAACAACAAGUAACUUAUUGAACAUUUUUCAUGGAUCUCCAAUCACAUAGGUAGGGUUACCAUCACUCUUGUCUUUUGAUCUAGACAGUAGUCCCAUCUCCCUUGAUGUGAUCUCUACUAAACUCUUGUUUAGUUUUUUUGGUUAGAGGAUCGGCCAAAUUCAACUUUGACCUUAUAAAAUUUAGGCUCAUAACAUCUUAUUCCAGUAGCUGCUUAAUGAUACUGUCUCAUAAUGUCUAUACUCUUUUUAAUAUUUUAAAUUAGUAUAUAUUAAUCAAUUUUACUAUAGUUUAUGAUGUUUUUAUAUGAAAAAUAAUUAUGAAAAAUUAUGAAGAUAAAUAAUUUUAAUUUGAAGAAAAUAAAAAAUAAAAAAUAAUAGUAGUCUACUAGUGCACUAUAUUAUCACAAGUUAUAGAGGUAGGUAAUAACAUCAAUUAUUAAAAUUUAUUUAGGUAAGGGUAAAAAUUAAUUAAUUAGAUAGAGAUAUUUUAGAGAAUAUCUUUUAAUGUUAUUAUUUAGACUUUUUAGAUUAAACAAAAAAUUUAAAAAUUAGCUUGGUAACUGAAUGAUUUAGUGAUUGAAAAUUUUCAUUAAGUUGAAAAAAUAAAUGGACUCAAUGAUUUAAAUUAAAUUAAUUAAGUUAAAAAAAAAACAGCCGAUUGGUACACCAUAGUUUGUGACCUUGUUUAUCAUGUUUGAGAAUCGUGGAUUAUAUUCAUGAUAAAGAUAAAUGAAAUAGGAGUAGAGAUGAAGAUGAUAGAUCCAUUGCGUCUUGUCUGUAUCACAAAGCAGAGUUCUAAUCGUUUUGUAUUUCUCUGAAAGCAGACCCCAAAAUUAAGCAGAGCCAUUAAUCCCCAUAACAAUAGAAUUGAAAUUCCGUAAAAGCCAAGACAAAGUGGACCUACAUUCGUGUGAAAGCAGAGCACAUCAUGCUGCUUGAUUAUGCAUUUACGAAAAGGCAGUAUAUUUCCUGGCGUCAUAUGACAGAAUACAGAUCUUGUUUCUAGAUGCUUGCCAUUCAAAUGUAGGUUUAGAUUUUAUUUUACAAACAUUUAUACUUAAAAAUUCUUACUAUAUGAAUUUUAGUUUAUUUUUUAAAAUUAAUCGAUCCCAAACAGUCUAGUUCUAGAACAGGGUCCACAGUUCACAGUCACAUGCAAGCUUGACACGUAUCGAUCCAGAAAACACCUAAUCAAAAACACAUGCAAAGGAAAACGAUUUUCUCAUUCGCUUGAUGACUAUAUAUAUCAUUCUCGUUCGUCUCUGCAAAUUUAAACCCGCAAAAUCUGUCAGUGUGAAAUGGAGUUGCCUCUGAAAUCCAUAGCUGUUACCAUUGUUAUUCUAACGGUGCUAACAUGGGCAUGGAGAGUGCUGAACUGGGUGUGGCUGAGGCCCAAGAAGCUGGAGAAAUUCCUGAGACAGCAAGGUUUAAAAGGCAAUUCUUACAGGCUUCUGUUUGGUGACUUGAAAGAAAAUUCCAUCGAGCUGAAGGAAGCCAAAGCCAGACCCCUCAGUUUGGAUGACAAUAUUGCUAUUCGUGUCAAUCCAUUCCUUCAUAAACUGGUAAAUGAUUAUGGUAUGUAUGUCAAUCCCGGCGUGUACUCUUUUAAUUUUACUCGUUCAAAAGUAGAUACGUUCUGUUCUGGUCUCAAAUGACUCAAAUAUCUGGACUGUGCCACUGCUUAAAGAAUUAAUCCUCUCCGACGAAAGAAAUUUGAUUAGACUUCUGAUUCAGUAGAGAUGGUUCACGUAAAGAUAAUUCUUGAAAAUUUUGGUGGGUUAAAACAUAAUUUUACGCUUCUUUGAUCAGAGAAAAAAAUCGACGUUGCGGCUAAACUUCUCUCUCUUUUUUUUCCUUUUUUUUUUUUUUUAAUUAAGUGGUGAUACUUUACCACUCAGCCUUGACUGAGUGGCUAGAACCACUAAUGUAUUGAUGAGAUAGGUGCGUGGGUGUAAUUCAACCUGUGGAUGGGCUAUGCCACAUGUAAAAUUCCCAGAGGGCAGCGUUGUUCCUUUUGCUGAGUGUUGUCUGAUUAAUUCACUGUUUCAACGCCGUUAGGCUUUUACAUUAUCUUAUAAAUCGUGCCAUGUUUCUAAUUGUUUACCUUAUAAUGGGCAAAGUUGCUUGUUAGAUCUUUUCUGCUUGAGGUAAAAUCAAUUAGUAUGAAUGGUUAUUCUUUGACUGAUUUGUGAAUAAAAUCACUAAUUUUUCACAGCUUAGGUAUACUACCAUUUUCAAUGUACCAUCUGCCUCUAACAAGUAACAUGUGCGUAUAUUGGUAAAAAAUUUCUGCAGGUAAGAAUUCUUUCAUGUGGUUUGGUCCGACACCAAGGGUGAAUAUUAUGAAUCCUGAUCAAAUAAAAGCGAUAUUUACCAAGAUCAAUGAUUUUCAAAAAGUCAAUUCAAUCCCACUUGCCAGGCUGCUGAUAGUUGGAUUGGCUAGCCUUGAGGGGGAGAAGUGGGCUAAACAUAGAAAACUCAUCAACCCAGCCUUCCACCAAGAGAAGCUCAAGGUUUAUUAAUUAACUUCUCCAUUUGUUUACAUAUCUUUGGAAGAUUCGAUUUUGCCCUCAUUUAGAUUUCUUGCUUUUGUUACAGCUUAUGUUGCCAGCAUUCUACUUGAGUUGUACCGAAAUAAUUACAAAGUGGGAGAAGCAAAUGUCUGUAGAAGGAUCAUCUGAGUUGGAUGUAUGGCCUUAUCUUGCAAAUUUAACAAGUGAUGUGAUUUCUCGAACGGCUUUUGGGAGUAGUUAUGAAGAAGGAAGAAGGAUUUUUCAGCUCCAGGCAGAGCUAGCUGAACUCACAAUGCAAGUCUUUCGUUCAGUUCACAUUCCAGGAUGGAGGUAUAUUCACAUUUCUCUUCACUGGAAACAUUCAUAUAUACAUGUCAUAUAGGAUUAUUUAUGAGUAGGCUUUGAUUAGCUUUGUGGGAGUUAUUUUCUUUCGCGCAAAAUAUUAGAAGUAGACCUAGCUGAUUUCGGCUCAGAUAUCUUGAUUGUGCUACUGCUGUACGGCCAAGGCGGAUGUACGGUACAGCAGAAAAAAAAAAGAGUAUGCAGAGUAAAAAAUUGACAAGGAAAUCCGGGCUUCAUUGAUGGGAAUCAUCAAAAAUAGGGAGAAGGCAAUGAGAGCAGGGGAAGCUGCGAAUGAUGACUUGUUAGGCAUACUGAUGGAAACCAGUUUUAGAGAGAUUGAAGAACAUGGAAAUAACAAAAAUGUUGGGUUCAGCAUGAACGAUGUGAUCGAAGAGUGUAAGCUAUUUUACUUUGCCGGCCAAGAGACUACCUCUGUUUUGCUUAAUUGGACGAUGGUCUUAUUGAGCAAGCAUCAAGAUUGGCAAGAACGUGCAAGGCAAGAGGUUUUGCAAGUGUUUGGCAAUAAUAAGCCCGACUAUGGUGAAUUGAACCACCUCAAAAUUGUAAGUACGAAGGAAAUAGUAUUCGAUAUUGAUCAAUUUGAUCAUAUUAAUCUCAGUUGUGUUUGUAUGUAUGUGACAGGUCCAGAUGAUACUUUACGAGGUACUCAGGCUUUAUCCGCCCUUAACUGCGCUUAGUCGAGCUGUUCUUAAGGAAACGAAACUCGGAAACUUGACAUUACCCGCUGGGGUUCAAAUUGGCUUGCCAAUGAUCCUAGUUCACCAGGAUCCUGAACUUUGGGGUGACGAUGCAGUUGAGUUUAAGCCGGAAAGGUUUGCGGAAGGAAUUUCAAAGGCGGCAAAAAAUCAAGUUUCAUAUUUCCCAUUCGCAUCGGGUCCUAGGAUAUGUGUUGGACAAAAUUUUGCUCUAGUAGAAGCAAAAAUGGCCACGGCAAUGAUUCUUCAAAACUACUCAUUCGAGUUGUCUCCAUCCUAUGUCCAUGCUCCAACGGCGGUUCCAACCCUUCAUCCGGAACUGGGUACCCAAUUGAUUCUACGGAAACUAUGGUGCAAAAAUAAUUAAUACCGGCAACUAUAAGAUGAGCAUGAUGCCAAUGUAGACUUUUUUAUAAUGAAGUUUAAUGUAUUUAGGGUGCGUUUGGCACAUUGUAUUGUAUUAUACUGUAUUGCAUUAGUACUGUAUUAUAAUAAUAUUGUACAAUAUUUGGUGCUACACUGUAUUAUUUUUUUGUGAUUAAUUGAAAUUAAAUAUUAUAUUAUAUUAUAUUAAUAUAUUUAAAUUGUGUUAAUAUUUUAUAUUAUUUAUAUUAUUAUUAAUUUUAAAUUAAUAUGAUUCAAAUUUAUUCAAAUUUAAAUAUUUAUUAUUAGUUAUAAUAAAUUAUAAAUUUAUGAAUAAAUUAUAAUGUAAAAAUAUUAAUUUAUUAAUAAAUUAAUAUUAUUCAAAUUUAUUGAACACUAGGGUUUCAAAUAUACAAACUUAUAUUUAUAGUAUCUUUGAAAGUCUUAUUGAUAUAAAUACAGGUACUGUUAAAAUUGAAUCAUUUAUUGAUUUAUUAUAUGUUAAAGUCGAUGUACAAUAGACACAAUUCACUUGACAUAUUAAAUUCUUUGUCCACAGCAAGUUCCAAGAAAAUAAUAAACCUAAUAAGAAUCUAAAUAAACGUGCUUCACUAUAAUUAGUAACCAAGUGUCUUAUGUUUCAUUUACGCAAUUUAUAUUUUAUUUCACACUUAAUAUUGAUUUAUAAAUUAUAUAUUACAUUUGUAAGUUUUUCUUUUAUUUACCAAUAAUAUACCAAUUUAUCACUCCUAUAUUAAUUUGUUUGUUUUACCUUCUACUUACAAGUCUAAUAUUUUAUUUACAUAAUUUAUAUGUUAGUUCACAGUUAAUAUUGAUUUACAUGUUUUAUAUUAAAUUUAUAAGUCUUAUGUUUCAUUUACAUAAUUCAUAUUUGAUUACAUAAAUUCAUGACAUCAUCGAGUGACCUUGUACUUUAUAAUCGAGAGAGGCUAUUUAUUUAUAUAUUCUAAAAGUUAUUUUUAAUCCUCUUUAUUUAAUAAAAUUUUAGAUUAUAAAAACGUCCUUUUAUGAAAUUAGUAUUAAGGAUUGAAUAAUUUUAACUUGAAACAAAUAUCCUUGACACACCCAUGUAUUAUAAAAUCUUAAAUCACCAUCAUCAUCUUCUUCUUCUUUUUUAAAUCAAUUCUUUAUCAAUUGGAAAAUUUGAAAGAUUGAAGACUUCUUUGCAAAUUUUUGUCAUGGGUGCACGUAUCCUCACUCUAAUAUCGUUUUCACCAAAUAUAUUUCAUUAACAUCUUCGAAAUAAGAUUAAUGGAAAAUUAUAUUUAUGUAACUGAUACCUCAAUGAUAAAUUGUAGGCAAUACAUACGAAAAAUCAAAAUCACAAGAACUAUGAUUCAAUAAAAGAAACGAAGAAUUAUGAUUCAAUAAAAGAAAAGGGAUAUAUAAUUUAUCUCAAGCCUUUAAUAAGAAGAAAGAAAAUUACUUUCGAAAAAGAAUAAUAAAACAGGAGCCCAAAAAAAAAAAAUUCAAGACUAUUUUUUAGAUUUAUAUAUUUUACAUAGNNNNNNNNNNNNNNNNNNNNNNNNNNNNNNNNNNNNNNNNNNNNNNNNNNNNNNNNNNNNNNNNNNNNNNNNNNNNNNNNNNNNNNNNNNNNNNNNNNNNNNNNNNNNNNNNNNNNNNNNNNNNNNNNNNNNNNNNNNNNNNNNNNNNNNNNNNNNNNNNNNNNNNNNNNNNNNNNNNNNNNNNNNNNNNNNNNNNNNNNNNNNNNNNNNNNNNNNNNNNNNNNNNNNNNNNNNNNNNNNNNNNNNNNNNNNNNNNNNNNNNNNNNNNNNNNNNNNNNNNNNNNNNNNNNNNNNNNNNNNNNNNNNNNNNNNNNNNNNNNNNNNNNNNNNNNNNNNNNNNNNNNNNNNNNNNNNNNNNNNNNNNNNNNNNNNNNNNNNNNNNNNNNNNNNNNNNNNNNNNNNNNNNNNNNNNNNNNNNNNNNNNNNNNNNNNNNNNNNNNNNNNNNNNNNNNNNNNNNNNNNNNNNNNNNNNNNNNNNNNNNNNNNNNNNNNNNNNNNNNNNNNNNNNNNNNNNNNNNNNNNNNNNNNNNNNNNNNNNNNNNNNNNNNNNNNNNNNNNNNNNNNNNNNNNNNNNNNNNNNNNNNNNNNNUCUUCUUCUUAAUCAAUUGAAAGCUUUACUUUCUCAUAAAAAAAAAAAAAGAGUGUGCAGAGUAAAAACUAAUUAUUUUAAAGAGUGAGUAUAUUUGAACCCACCAAAUUACUUUGUAAACUCAUGUACUUAUUAAUUCUAUUGUUAAAAAUUUUAUAUUAUACUUUAUAAACCCAUGUUAAUAACCAACAUAUCCUUGAAAUUAAUUCAUGAUUUUCUGCAACAUUUUUCUUCUCUUCUUCUUCUUCCAUCUCUCCAACCCUUGACGCAUUCAUAACCAAAGGUCGUAUCCUUCAACUUCUCAAGUGGAAUUUAUUUUUGGUCCGUGCUUGUCAUUAAACUGCUAUGAAAUAUAUAUAAUAUCAUGAAAAAAUUAAAUGACAAUAAGAUGAUAGUUGUAAUGAAUAAUCAAUUGAUUACACAACUAAUUCAAGCGCUCAAUAUUUGUCAAUGGCAUAACUCUUCCCUUUCUUAUAUAGUGCAAAUUUAAUGAAAUAAAUUUUAGGGAAAUUAUCAGCCAUAUACCCUUAAAUGACACCCGUAUCAAACGUGUGUGAACACUUUUCAAGUGUAUUACUCGUAUACCCUAAGUUGAGAACACUUUUCAAGUGUAUUACUCGUAUAUCCUAAGUUGACAAAACACUUCUGCCAUCCACCAAUCUAUUAACUUUCGUUAGAAAGUUAACAGAAUUGUGACAAAUUGACUCUGCUGUACCGUACAUCCGCCUUGGCCGUACAGCAGAUUAACUGAGUUUUAACGAAAUGGUGGGAAAAUGCUAACAGUUUAAACGUUUGGUGGUAAAAUGAUAGUUUUAUCAAACCAUGGUACUGACAUGAUGUGUCAGAAUACCUUUGGUGGAAAAAUGAUAAUAUCCCUUUUACAUAGUAAAAAUUUGAUUUUAAAUUUUAAACGUUGUAUUUGGAAUAAUGAGUGCGAAGCGGACCUAAGCGGGGGUAGCCCGGAUUAGUCCAGGAAAGUUAUUUAUACCCCUUAUUUUUUUUAUUAAUUUUAGAUAAUAAUAUAGUUUUAUUUUUUUUAUAUAUGUCCCUAAUUUAACUACCCUUAUGUUUUUUUUAAAUCAGUUUUAUAAAAUAAUAGAGUUUUUAUUUUAUUUUCAAACAUGUUCCUAAUUCAAUUAUAUUUUCUUCCCAGUUGGAAUUAGUGACUUAUUUCAUGAAAUAAUUAAAUUAUAUAUUUAUUGAAUAGAUUGAAAAGAUUUGGGGACUAAAAUAUUAUUACUGUUUUAAUUUAUUUAUAAAAAUAAUUUAAUUGAAAAAAUGCCAAUACUUACAAAAAAAGAUAUAUAGUAACAACUAUCUAUCAACAUUUCAUAAACUUUUAUGUGAAUUUUGAGAUUUUAGUUAUUAGUUACAUUAACCAAGAGGACAAGUUAGAAGAUAAAAUUUAAAUAUUUUGAGGAGUUUUUGAUAGAAAAACUAUCAACAGUAGGUUCUUUAAAAAAAAGGUAGAGUGUAUGACAAAGAAACAAUGACACCCAAAUAAAUUUAUGUUAAGUUGAGUUUAGUUUAUUAUUGAAAUUUUUGACUAAUAAUAUUUUAAAAUUUAAAAAGAUGAAUAAAUUUUAAUUGUUUAAUUUAUUUAAGUUUGGUAAUUAAGUACUUGACUUCAAAUAUAAAAGUUUUACUACCAUUUUUAAUAAAUUGUGAUUACAUGUAUAGAUUUAUUUUAACUUGAAAUUCUUAAUUGAUUUACUUAAAGGUUUUAUUGAGGACUUUUUUAGUAUUUUAAAGAGUGUGCAGAAUUAAGAGAGUAGCUUUUUUAGUAUUUUAUGAGAUCGUGGCUGCAGCUGUUAAGAGAGUAGCUUUAAAAGGAAAUGUGGCAAACAUGGAGGCAGAAGCAGUGCUGCUCGGUAUUCAAGUAGCUCAGAAAACAAAUUGUGCCCAAUUCAUUGUUGAAUCAGACUUGAAGGAAGUUGUGGAGCUCACUUUAAACAAGAAGGAAAGUUUGGCUGAAAUUUGUUGGAACAUUGAAGAAAUACAAGCAGAGUUGAAAAACCAAGCCUCGGCAGCUAUUCGUUUUGUCCCAAGAAAGUCUAAUGUAAUAGCCCAUAACUUAGCUAAUGUAGCUCUUGAGUUUGAGGAAGCUGUCACCUGGAUAGGUGAUUUCCCUGUCCAGGUGUUGAUGUUGUUCUCUUCUUCUUAAUCAAUUGAAAGCUUUACUUUCUCAUAAAAAAAAAAAAAGAGUGUGCAGAGUAAAAACUAAUUAUUUUAAAGAGUGAGUAUAUUUGAACCCACCAAAUUACUUUGUAAACUCAUGUACUUAUUAAUUCUAUUGUUAAAAAUUUUAUAUUAUACUUUAUAAACCCAUGUUAAUAACCAACAUAUCCUUGAAAUUAAUUCAUGAUUUUCUGCAACAUUUUUCUUCUCUUCUUCUUCUUCCAUCUCUCCAACCCUUGACGCAUUCAUAACCAAAGGUCGUAUCCUUCAACUUCUCAAGUGGAAUUUAUUUUUGGUCCGUGCUUGUCAUUAAACUGCUAUGAAAUAUAUAUAAUAUCAUGAAAAAAUUAAAUGACAAUAAGAUGAUAGUUGUAAUGAAUAAUCAAUUGAUUACACAACUAAUUCAAGCGCUCAAUAUUUGUCAAUGGCAUAACUCUUCCCUUUCUUAUAUAGUGCAAAUUUAAUGAAAUAAAUUUUAGGGAAAUUAUCAGCCAUAUACCCUUAAAUGACACCCGUAUCAAACGUGUGUGAACACUUUUCAAGUGUAUUACUCGUAUACCCUAAGUUGAGAACACUUUUCAAGUGUAUUACUCGUAUAUCCUAAGUUGACAAAACACUUCUGCCAUCCACCAAUCCGUUAACUUCCAUUAGAAAGUUAACAGAAUUGUGACAAAUUGGCUAUUUUGCCCUUGAAACUCAAAAUAUAAGGUAAAAAGAUAAAUUUACCCCAAAAAUUAACGUAAAUUUUCAAUACACAAUUUUUUUUUAUUUUGUUAUUAACAAUACAUUUUUUUGAUUAAAAAAAAUGAAUUAUUAAUGGUACAUAUUAUUAACAAUUAUUCAUAAAAAAAAUCCAUAUUAUACCAUAAAAAAUUAUUAACAACAUAUUAUUCACAAUUAUACAUAUUAUACCAUAAAACUUUCCAGUUGGAGCUUGGAGGAGUAGAUCUUCAAAAUUAGGUUAAAUUUUAAAGGCGUAUAUUCGGUUGUAAAGUAGUUUUUUUUAGCAAUUAUUUACAAUUAUCCGAUAAAUGGGAUGACAUGUUAUUUUUAUCAAUAUAUAUCAUAUGACAUGUCAUUUUGUACUAGGUAAAUGGGAUGACAUGUCCUUUUUUUAAAUCAAAGUUUCGUCAAUCUUAAAAGACUAAAUUGCCCUUAUGAUGUUCGCGCUUGCAAACGGAAGUUAACGGAUUGGCGGACGGCAGAAGUGUUUUGUCAACUUAGGGUAAACGAGUGAUACAUUUCAAAAGUGUUCACACACGUUUGAUACGGAUGUCAUUUAAGAGUAUACGACUGAUAAUUUUCCUAAAUUUUAUUGCUUGAAUCUAGAAUAGCUUGACUAGAACUUAUUGGUUUAUUGGAUUCCAAUGAGCUUUACUGGUGAGAUAGUUUUGACCAAAUCCAAGUAUCCAACAACUCGAUUGGAUUUGUUUUCGACCAAAGGAGUUGAAGAAAAUUUUUAAAAAAAUUUAAAAGUAUGAAACAAAUUUUCUCUUAUGUCCACAUUGAACAAAUUUAGACAUGAUUAAAAGAUGAGAGCAUGAAGUAUAUACAUACUAUUAUGUCUUUAAUAGUGAUUUACAUUAGAGACAAUUUAGUAGUAAAAAUGUUUUCUAAAACAUGGGUCAAAUGAGUAUUAUGGUGGAUUCAAAUAGUCCCACCAUUUUUCAAAAGAUUAGGUUAUUUAUACUCCAAAAAUUACUUUGAACACUUUAUUACUUUGUACAAUAAUGUGUUGAAUUUAAAAUAAUUAAAUUUUACUUUCUACACUCUUUAAAAUAAAAAAAAAGGACCUUAAUUAAACUAGUUAAACUAAUUUACUCAAAACACCAAUUAAACUAUUGAGCAUCCAAAAUGAAUUAAUAACAACUUAGUAUAUACACAAAGGAAUCAAAUUAUAUUCUAAACAUAUUCUUUAUUAGCUUUUGUCUAUUAAAGAAUGUAUUCAAUAUUAGUUUUUGCACCCAAUUUAUUAACCAAACAAUUGAAAAUUUUUUUGCUAUCUAGCCAAAAAAAAAAAAAAAAGAAAGAAAAAAAAGGAAAAAAAGAGGAAGAAGAAAUAGCCGAAGAAAAAGAAGACUAAAAGAAGGAUGAGGAAGAGGAAGAAGACAGCAAUUUUUUUUUUGUCUUCUGAAAAUCAAAGAGUAAAAAUAUGCUCAAAAUAUAUUAAAAGUAUUGAUUUGCUCUUUGUUUAACUAAAUAUUGUUUAAGAUAUUGGAUUUAAAAUUUUUCGGGUUUAUGGUAAGAUAAUCAUAUAUUGAAUAGUGAGUGUUUGGAGUAAUUUUAUUAUGUUAGUUUAUAAGAGAGAUUCCAUAUUGGAAAUUCAUAUAAUAAGUAUUUUUGUAAUAAAACAAUUUAUUAAAAUAAGAAUAUUCUAGUAAUGUUAAGAGUGCAAAUAGCCCCACCCUUUUUAUAAAAUAAGUAAAUGAGUAUACAUAAAUAAUAGUAUAUUUUGAGUAUGUUUUAAAGGGCAAAUAGGCCCACCAUGCAUAAUUUAUUUAGAUGAGUUUUAUUUUAUUUAUUUUUUGUUAAUUUCAGUUAUCUCUAAAUUCUUGUAAACCUUAAUUUACCCUAAUGAUCAUUCAAAAAAUAAGAUCAAAUGGGAACGAUUGAUGAUUUCUUUUUUCUUUUUUUACCUUCUUAAUAGUAAUUGUGGAUUGAUUAAUGUUUAUUAUAGUUUGAGGAUAUUUUGAGAAUAAUUAAUGUAUUAGGGGUAAACAAUUUUUUUUUUUCAAAUAAUUAACCGAACUUACAUUCUCUAGUUCUAUAGAAGACAGUCAAUGAGUGACAAGUCCACAAAGAUCACCACAUGCAUGAUUGAUAUUGACACGUGUACCAUUAGCUGGAGACAAUAUAAUGGUACAGGAAAAUUCGAAACUAAGAAAAGCCAUUGAACAUAUGCAAACGAAAAAAUGUUUUUAAUUCACUUUCAACUAAUCUACCACGUAGGCAAGUCUCAUUUCUUUGAACACUUCAAAAAUCUCUCUGUGUGAAAUGGAAUUGCCGCUGAAAUCCAUAGACCUGACCAUUGUUAUCGUAACAGUGGGAACUGGGCAUGGAGAGUGCUGAACUGGGUGUGGCUGAGGGUCCCAAGAAGCUGGAGAAAUUCCUGAGACAGCAAAGGUUUCAAAGGCAAUUCUUGCAGGCUUCUGUUUGGUGACUUGAAAGAAAGUUUAGACGAUAAUAUCUCGACUGGAUUGUGCCAUUAUUAAUAAAACUAAUUCAGUUUGCACAAUUGUAGAGCUGAUAUAAGUGGAAGAAAUCCAAAUAGACUUCUCGUUAUAAAUGUAGUUAGUAGAGAUCAUACACAUCAAGAUAAUUCUUGAAUAUUUUUAUGGGUUAAAACGUAAUUUUUUUUAAUUAAUGAAGAAAAUAUGUAUGGUGUUGAAACAUUUGAGCUAUGUUGUUUGCGAGACCAAUAAUUUUCUUGAUAUCAUGGGCCAAUGGGUGUAACUCAAGCUGUGGUAAGUUAUGCCACGAGCAAAAUAACCAGAGCUUAAAAAUUGAUGCAGGCAAUAAUUCAUUUAUGUGGUUCGGUCCGACGCGAAGGUUGAAUAUUGUGAAGCCCGAUCAAAUCAAAGAGAUAUCUACCAAGAUCAAUGAUUUUCAAAAAAUCAAUUCAGAUCCACUUGCCAGAUUAUUGGCACUUGCAUUGGUUAGCCAUGAGGUGACAAGUGGGUUACUAUAGAAAUCUUAUCAACCAGUUCCACCAAGAGAAGCUCUAGGUUAUUAAUUGAUUUCUUCAUUUGUUUACAUAAAUGUCUUCAUUUUAAUUUCUUUCUGUUUCGUUUCAACUUAUGUUGCCUGCGUUCUACCAAAGUUGUAGUGAAAUAAUUACAAAGUGGGAAAACCUGACGUCUAAAGGAGGAUCGUGUGAGUUGGGUGCACGGCCUUCUCUUGCAAAAUUAACUAGUGAUGUGAUUCUGAGGACGGCUUCUGGGAGUAAUUAGCAAUGUAGGAGUUGAUUUUCUUCCAAAAAUAUGGAAGUAGGUUUGACCCAUCCUGGGCUUAUAACUUCGAUCCAUGUCGUCAUAUGGUUAAUCUAAGAUGUUAAUCAUAUUGUUGAAAUCGAUAAGUAGGAUUUGAUUAGUGCAUUCAAUACGUUCUUGUAUUUUCUAUUGUUCCUAUUUCUUAUAGGCUGGCUGGUACCUUCAGAAAGAAAUAAGAGAAUGAAGGAAAUUGACAAGCAAAUACGAGCUUCACUGAUGGGAAUAAUUAAAAACAGAGAGAAGGCAAUGAAAGCAGAGGAAGCUGGAAAUGAUGACUUGGCAUACUGAUGGAGACCAAGUUUAGAGAAAUUGAAGAACAUGGAAACAACAAAAAUGUUGGAAUAAGCUUGAUCUCAAGAUGCAGUAUUUCGGUGCAAGAAGGGCUAACAAAAGUAGUUUGAUCUCCAUGAUACAAUUACUAUUACGAUUGUGAUGUUGCACUUCAACUUGAUAGUUCAGAAUAGCAAAACGUACAAUGACGAAAGAAAGGAAAACAAAGAGCAACAAAGAACAGAGAGCAAGAGAGUAAGUUUUUGGAUGACCAUAGUGUGAUAUAUUCGGCUCUUUAAAUAGAUACAAGCCCUAACCCCCUUUUCCUCUCUAAAUCUGAAUUAUAAUUAUGUUUAUUAAAUCCUAAUUCCAUUAGGAAUUGAAUUCUCAAUCUAAUUCGAAUUAAAAUAAAUAAAAUUAAAACAAAGGACAAAACAUAAUAGAUGGCCAAGCCCACACUCAUACAUGACACCCCAUGGGGGGAAGGAGGGUCCCCAUUGCGAGUGAGUUAUUGGGUACGAGCAACCAAUUAAUAGAGUCAUGGAAUGAACUCCUCUCUCGCGCUUGGUUUCAUGCAUAUGAGCCUCCUCUUCAUAGGCUUGUUACUACACUAUAUUUGGUAUCUAUAUAAAAACCAACUUAUACUCUCUUGUCUAAGCAAUGUGGAAUAUUGGUAUUUUAAAAUACCGACUCAAUCUUUAACAAUCCUCCACAUAUUUUAAAAUACUCACUUUCUUUCGACUUCAUCAUUGUCCAUAGAGUUUAAUGCAUAUGAACUGGUGCCUUUUGGGCUAUGAAUUGGCCAUUGAAUAACUAACCAUGUGUCAUAGGAACUUGGUGAAACUGAUAAUUUCUAUAAACCAAUAUUCUUUUUUUGUAAGGCAGAGGAAUAGAAGCUCACAUUAAACUCUCUCAAUGUUUUGUUGUUCUACGGUUUGACAUUUUAGUGGCCCUGUUCCCUUGUAUUCAUGAGCGCUCUAGAGAAGCAUGUUUAACUCUCAUAGGAACUUAUCUAAUUCCACACUAACAUAGGUGAACCUCCAUCAAGUAUGUCAUGCAGUUUUGACACACAAUCAUACAUAAAAAGUGAGUUAUGGAGUUCAUUAAAAGCUCAAUUGCUUAACCUAACUCACUGCGAUAAACAUUAUCUUAUUAUAACGAGGACUUAUAAAUAAAGAAAAUCUUUAUUGAAUAAAAAUAAGAUUACAUAAUAUUGAUAGUGUUCCAAAACAACAAGUAACUUAUUGAACAUUUUUCAUGUGAUCUCCAAUCACAUAGGUAGGGUUACCAUCACUCUUGUCUUUUGAUCUAGACAGUAGUCCCAUCUCCCUUGAUGUGAUCUCUACUAAACUCUUGUUUAGUUUUUUUGGUUAGAGGAUCGGCCAAAUUCAACUUUGACCUUAUAAAAUUUAGGCUCAUAACAUCUUAUUCCAGUAGCUGCUUAAUGAUACUGUCUCAUAAUGUCUAUACUCUUUUUAAUAUUCUAAAUUAGUAUAUAUUAAUCAUUUUUACUAUAGUUUACGAUGUUUUUAUAUGAAAAAUAUUGAUGAAAAAUUAUGAAGAUAAAUAAUUUUAAUUUGAAGAAAAUAAAAAAUUAAAAAUAAUAGUAGUCUACUAGUGCACUAUAUUAUCACAAGUUAUAGAGGUAGGUAAUAACAUCAAUUAUUAAAAUUUAUUUAGGUAAGGGUAAAAAUUAAUUAAUUAGAUAGAGAUAUUUUAGAGAAUAUCUUUUAAUGUUAUUAUUUAGACUUUUUAGAUUAAACAAAAAAUUUAAAAAUUAGCUUGAUAACUGAAUGAUUUAGUGAUUGAAAAUUUUCAUUAAGUUGAAAAAAUAAAUGGACUCAAUGAUUUAAAUUAAAUUAAUUAAGUUAAAAAAAAAACAGCCGAUUGGUACACCAUAGUUUGUGACCUUGUUUAUCAUGUUUGAGAAUCGUGGAUUAUAUUCAUGAUAAAGAUAAAUGAAAUAGGAGUAGAGAUGAAGAUGAUAGAUCCAUUGCGUCUUGUCUGUAUCACAAAGCAGAGUUCUAAUCGUUUUGUAUUUCUCUGAAAGCAGACCCCAAAAUUAAGCAGAGCCAUUAAUCCCCAUAACAAUAGAAUUGAAAUUCCGUAAAAGCCAAGACAAAGUGGACCUACAUUCGUGUGAAAGCAGAGCACAUCAUGCUGCUUGAUUAUGCAUUUACGAAAAGGCAGUAUAUUUCCUGGCGUCAUAUGACAGAAUACAGAUCUUGUUUCUAGAUGCUUGCCAUUCAAAUGUAGGUUUAGAUUUUAUUUUACAAACAUUUAUACUUAAAAAUUCUUACUAUAUGAAUUUUAGUUUAUUUUUUAAAAUUAAUCGAUCCCAUACAGUCUAGUUCUAGAACAAAGUCCACAGUUCACAGUCACAUGCAAGCUUGACACGUAUCGUUAACACCGCUUACUGGGGACAAUGUCUUUGUCCGGGGAAAUUCUGAAAUCAUCGAUCCAGAAAACACCUAAUCAAAGACACAUGCAAAGGAAAACGAUUUUCUCAUUCGCUUGAUGACUAUAUAUACUCUUCUCGUUCGUCUCUUCAAAUUUAAACCCACAAAAUCUGUCAGUGUGAAAUGGAGUUGCCUCUGAAAUCCAUAGCUUUGACCAUUGUUAUUGUAACGGUGCUAACAUGGGCAUGGAGAGUGCUGAACUGGGUGUGGCUGAGGCCCGAGAAGCUGGAGAAAUUCCUGAGACAGCAAGGUUUAAAAGGCAAUUCUUACAGGCUUCUGUUUGGUGACUUGAAAGAAAAUUCCAUCGAGUUGAAGGAAGCAAAAGCCAGACCCCUCAGUUUGGAUGACGAUAUUGCUAUUCGUGUCAAUCCAUUCCUUCAUAAACUGGUAAAUGAUUAUGGUAUGUAUGUCAAUCCCGGCGUGUACUCUUUUAACUUUACUCGUUCAAAAGUAGAUUUGUUCUGUUCUGGACUCAAAUGACUCAAAUAUCUGGACUGCGCCACUGCUUAAAGAAUUAAUCCUGUCUGAUGAAAGAAAUUUGAUUAGACUUCUGAUUCAGAAGAGAUGUUUCACGUAAAGAUAAUUCUGGAAAAUUUUGGUGGGUUAAAACAUAAUUUUAUUUUUACGCUUCUUUGAUCAGAGAAAAAAAUCGAUGUUGCAGCUAAACUUCUCUCUCUCUCUCUCUCUUUUCUUUUUAAUUAAGUGGUGAUACUUUACCACUCAGCCUUGACCGAGUGGCUAGAACCACUAAUGUCUUGAUGAGAUAGGCGUGUGGGUGUAAUUCAACCAGUGGAUGGGCUAUGCCACAUGUAAAAUUUCCAGAGGGCAGCGUUGUUCCUUUUGCUGAGUGUUGUCUGAUUAAUUCACUGUUUCAACGCCGUUAGGCUUUUACAUAAUCUUAUGAAAUCGUGCCAUGUUUCUAAUUGUUUACCUUCUAAUGGGCAAAGUUGCUUGUUAGAUCUUUUCUGCUUGAAGUAAAAUCAAUUAGUAUGAAUGGUUAUUCUUUGACUGAUUUGUGAAUAAAAUCACUAAAUUUUCACAGCUUAGGUAUACUACCAUUUUCAAUGUACCAUCUGCCUCUAACAAGUAACAUGUGCGUAUAUUGGUAAAAAAUUUCUGCAGGUAAGAAUUCUUUCAUGUGGUUUGGUCCGACACCAAGGGUGAAUAUUAUGAAUCCUGAUCAAAUAAAAGCGAUAUUUACCAAGAUCAAUGAUUUUCAAAAAGUCAAUUCAAUCCCACUUGCCAGGCUGCUGAUAGUUGGAUUGGCUACCCUUGAGGGGGAGAAGUGGGCUAAACAUAGAAAACUCAUCAACCCAGCCUUCCACCAAGAGAAGCUCAAGGUUUAUUAAUUAACUUCUCCAUUUGUUUACAUAUCUUUGGAAGAUUCGAUUUUGCCCUCAUUUAGAUUUCUUGCUUUUGUUACAGCUUAUGUUGCCAGCAUUCUACUUGAGUUGUAUCGAAAUAAUUACAAAGUGGGAGAAGCAAAUGUCUGUAGAAGGAUCAUCUGAGUUGGAUGUAUGGCCUUAUCUUGCAAAUUUAACAAGUGAUGUGAUUUCUCGAACGGCUUUUGGGAGUAGUUAUGAAGAAGGAAGAAGGAUUUUUCAGCUCCAGGCAGAGCUAGCUGAACUCACAAUGCAAGUCUUUCGUUCAGUUCACAUUCCAGGAUGGAGGUAUAUUCACAUUUCUCUUCACUGGAAACAUUCAUAUAUACAUGCAAAAAAAAAAUUAAGGGUUUGAUUAGUUUGUUUAGUUCUUGUCUUUUCAGUUGUUUCAUUGGUUAUAUAUAGGUUUUUACCUACAAAGAGAAAUAGGAGAAUGAAAGAAAUUGACAAGGAAAUCCGGGCUUCAUUGAUGGGAAUCAUCAAAAAUAGGGAGAAGGCAAUGAGAGCAGGGGAAGCUGCGAAUGAUGACUUGUUAGGCAUACUGAUGGAAACCAGUUUUAGAGAGAUUGAAGAACAUGGAAAUAACAAAAAUGUUGGGUUCAGCAUGAACGAUGUGAUUGAAGAGUGUAAGCUAUUUUACUUUGCCGGCCAAGAGACUACCUCUGUUUUGCUUAAUUGGACGAUGGUCUUAUUGAGCAAGCAUCAAGAUUGGCAAGAACGUGCAAGGCAAGAGGUUUUGCAAGUGUUUGGCAAUAAUAAGCCCGACUAUGAUGGAUUGAAUCACCUCAAAAUUGUAAGUACGAAGGAAAUAGUAUUCGAUAUUGAUCAAUUUGAUCAUAUUAAUCUCAGUUGUGUUUGUAUGUAUGUGACAGGUCCAGAUGAUACUUUACGAGGUACUCAGGCUUUAUCCGCCCGUAACUGUGCUUAGUCGAGCUGUUUUUAAGGAAACGAAACUCGGAAACUUGACAUUACCCGCUGGGG
rnacentral:lncRNA from 1 species